rnacentral:lncRNA from 1 species
ACAAAUCCUGCUUGAGAGAUCUAAGCCAUUGCCUUUCCUAACAGGCUGAUUCAUCAUCAUCAUCCUUAGCUUCCAUGGCAACCCAAAUUGCAACCUUGUCAUCAAGAUUAAUCCAGCACCCUAAAACCAAAGGGUCCAAGAAAAUCUGGCCGACAACGUCACAUCAGCAUUCUGAGCGCUGGACUCAUCAUAAUUCGGAUCAAAUUAAUGAUGAUCAUGUGAAGGGAAAGAAGAUGAAGAUGAAGCGGAAGCCAAAACACUGGGCACAAGAACGUUCGAGAUUAGGGUUUUGGUACGUGACAACAUCUAUAAGAUACACACUAAGGAAGGCAAGAGCCUUUUACAAUGAGUUCUGCAGCGAGAAGUACGAUGAUAAUCCGAAAGUGUUCAAACAAGUAAUGAUUGCUGACCCUUAUUUCUCAAUCCCAGUGAUCCCCCCUCCAAUGUAAAUUAACACUGUACUUUAGUUAUGUCAAAAGUUCGAAGUUAUAUAUGAUUAUGAGUUAAUUAAGCCAAGGUAAUGUUUAAAAAUAAUAUCGAGCGUACCUAAUUUGAGCUAUAUCUAAAAGUGUUAUGCUGCAAUAAUGUACUAAAUCACACCCAGUGAUACUCUAUAUGAUAAAAGUUUGUAUGUACUAAUAUUCAUUCAAUCCAAUUUGUCAAUUGCACACUUUAAUGUAAAUGUCAAAUUAUAUAUAUAUGUGUUUCUAGCUAGGAUCAACUAAUUAAUUUGUGGGGAGAAAGCGUUAAUAAUCUCCACUCAAGUUAUUGAAUAUAAUCCUGUAAAGUUAGCUUUCUACAUUAUAUGGCACGAUCAUUUUUUUACUUAGGUUUCUGACCUUCAGCGAUUUAUACACUAUCCAUUAUAUCCAUUGAUUUUAGUGUAAAAUCUGCAUGCUUUUAGUUAACAUUUUUGAAAAUAUUAAAUUUAAAUUUAAUAUUACAGUAAAAAAAUCUGUUGGGAACCUACUGUCAUGAUAUAUAACUGGCAAGAGUAAUCCAAAAACCUACUUCAGUGAGAAAUUAUGUACCACAUUUUCUAUGUAACUAGUGAAAUUGAUACUGGGAGGGAGGUGCGGUAAGAACUACUGAUCCAAGAGAUGACUCUAAAAUAUGUAUGAUUAAAAGGACUAAGAAACCUCUAAGGGGAACUGAUCAGUCUUAGCUACUUAAAAUUUAUGUACUAUAAUAUUUGGAAACACUCAAAACGCCAAACGGGCCUACAAAAUUUUUUAAAAUUCAUUCAAAAUUCAACUAAGUUAAUCUAUGUCACAUCCUCUUAAAGUUACGAAAAGGUGGUACUACCACAAGAAAUGGCCUCCAUAUAUUUCAAUUCAAUGGCUGCCUUCUGGAGUUUUACAUUUCUAUUUAUAGUUAUGUGUUAAACGAUUCAUAUUGGUGCUUGUUUUCCAAUUUGAUGUUUAAUCUGUUUUCAUUACUACUAUCAAAAUAAGCAUCAAAUUUCCACCACAUAAAAAGAAUCCAUAUGAUAAUGUCAUAUAAGGACCACCAAAGAUAUCAUAUAUUUUCUUGAAGUACUUCAAUUUAUAAUAUAGAGCAAAGUCGGCCGACAUGAUUGAAUGUCGGUGAGGGUAUUCUUUUCUUGGAAAUUAAAUAUGCAUUUGAUUUAUAUCGAAAAGUUAGAGAUCUAGUCCUAUCUUGAUUAUCGUAUCACUCAUUUAUUAAAUAAUAAAAUUUAUAACUUAUAAAAUUACUUAAAUACUAUUUAAUUGAUGAAUGUGACAUCAAUUGGAACUAAAUUAGAAAUUAAAUAUUAAGAUACUUAGUAUUGCUCCUAUAUUUAUGGGUGAUUGAUGAUUAAUAAAUUAAUAAUGGAUAAGGAAGACGCAUGACAUAAUAAAAGAGCUUUCAACAUUUCAAUCUAUGUGGGAUUUAUCUAUGAAAUGGUAGUUAGAAUAGAGUAAUAAAUAAUUUUACAAAAUAACGAAAUUAAUCAUCCAAUAGAAAAGUAUCACAUAAUAUUUAAGUUAAAAUACUGCAAUAAUAAAUGGAAAUUAUAGUAUUAUUAUUUUAAAAACUCACCGGUGGAUCGAGAUCUAAAAACUCAGUACUUUAAAUAUUUUCCCUUAGCCAUGUUUGGCAUGCCGCGUUAUACUGUAUUGGCGCUCUGCAUUGCAUUAAAAUAUGACAAUACGAUGUGUUGGUGCAAAUUUUGUCCCAACUUAUGAUAUGAAAAUUUCGACUGAGGACAACCCCCUUAGGACUUGGGUUCCUCUUUAUUAGAUUUUAUGAUGGUGAGUUCAUUCUUUGGGCUGAUCUUUAUGGGCCUUUAUAUAUGCUCUUCUGAGUUCACUUCCUUAGGCAAUCAGAAGGUCCUUGUCUUGUGAUACUCUACAAAUACAAGGAAAUGAUCAGAGGGCCGGCUUUGCCGGCGUAAACCCUCCGACGGUCAAGUCAAUCACCGGACUUUUGGAAAUAUAAAUUUAGAAAGAGAAAGAUUAGAGGGAGAAAGUUAGCAUUUUUCCCUUUUGAGUCUCUUUUUUGUCUUACCUUUUAGUGAGAAUGAAAGACAUAUUUAUCGACCAAACUGAUUUGACUUGGGUCCUAGUUAUUUUGAUGACAAAUGUCAUUGUUCUUGUGACAUUUGGCAACACUUGUCCUCUAGUGCCCAUGUGGAUUGACACAUGGAUAUACAAACUUGUCUACAGAUUAGAGGAAUGAACGUUUUAUCCUUAGGUUAUUUUUACUAAGACCUUGGGAUCAUAAGAGCCUUCAAACUUAGGAGGUUUGUUAUAGGAUAAGAGUCUAGAACCUCAGCACGUUUUGAACUUUAAAUCAUUGCCACCUAGUUGAUUUAUCCUAGGUGAUUUGUCUUUGGAUAGGAAUCUAGGACCUUGGCUCCUUUUAGGCUUUGAAACCUUGUUACUUAGGAGGAUCAUUCUAGGUGAUUUGUCCACCACUUCGUGGGCUUAAUUGGGAGGAAAUUUAUUAGACGGGCCUUAUUGAGAUUAAAUUUAUUUGGGCCUUAUUAGACUUAUUUUAUUUUUGGUCCAACACGAUGUUUGGUACUUCUUCGAUAUUGCAUUAAGAAAAAAAUUAAUGUUCACUCGGGUUUAUACUAUAUUAGCUUCUUCUUCUUCGUCUUCUCUAUUUCUCUCUCUUUCUUUUUUCCUUUUCCUCUCUUCUUCUUCGUCGUCCCUGUUACUCUCUCUCUCUUUUUGUUUUAUUUUUUCCUUUUCCCCUCUUCAUCUUCAUCUUCUCUGUUUUUCUCUCUUUUCUUUUUUCCUUUUCCCCUCUUCAUCUUCAUCUUCUCUGUUUUUCUCUCUUUUCUUUUUUCCUUUUCCCCUCUUCUUUUUCUUCGUCUUCUCUGAUUCUCACUCUCUCUCUCUUUUUUCUUUUUUUUUUUUCCCUUUUCCCCUCUUCUUCUUCGUCAUAUUUGUUUCUCUCUCUCAUUUUUCUUUUAUUUUUAUUUUUAUUUUUUUUCCUUUUCCCCUCUUCUUUUUCGUCUUCUCUGUUUCUUCUUCUUCUCAGUUUCUUGUUUGUCAUCUUCUCCUCCAUUUCUCAGUUUCUUAGGGCCCGUUUGGUAUUAUUUUUGAAUUUAUAUUUUCUGAGAAUAAAAAUGAAAAUGAAAAUGGUGUUUUGCAGUUGCUGUAUUUCGAAUUUAAGUAUGCAUCUGGUAUUAUUUUCUGUAUCCUGUAUUUUAAAACUGAAAACAGUAAUAUGCGUUUGGUAUACACAGUUGAAAAUGAUAAAAACAGAGAAUAUGCGUUCGGUAAUACUUUUUUCAAAAACAGUUUUUACUAUUAAGCAUUUACUGUUAACAUAAAUAUUUCUUUAUUAUUGAUUUUGAUGAUAACAAAUUUGAUUAAGAUUUAUUAUUAAUCUUUUAAAAGCUCAAAAUAGUUUUCAUAUACUUUUAAAUCAUCAUUCUCACUUUAUAAAGGCUUUAUUAUAUAUUCUAUGAAAAUAUUUUUGGUUAUUCUCAUGUUAAUGGUUUCAAUUGAAAAAGCUUUGAGAUAUUGCUUAAAAUCCUAAAAAUGGACCUAAUCGACAAGUUUUAUAAAGUUUUAGGCCAUAGUAUAAUUUUAUAAAGUUUUGGAGUCAAAUUAUAAUUUUACAAAAUAGUUACUGUAGAAAACGGUGAUCCGACAUCUUGAUAACGACUCCCCGACAUCGAACAGAAUUGAAGAUUAGUCUCUGGACACUAACGGCGAUCUGACAUCUAGAUAACGGCUCGCCGACAUAGAACAGAAUUGAAGAUUAGUCUCUGGACACUAACGGCGAUCCGACAUCUAGAUAACGACGAUCCGACAUCGAACAGAUUUGAAGAUUAGUCUCUGGACACUAACGGCGAGCCGACAUCUAGAUAACGGCGAUUCGACAAUUUAAAAAUUCAGCCCAACGACGAUCCGACAAAUACAACAUAAUAAUUUAAAACAAAAUUAUUAUAAAAAAUUUACAUGAUGAUAAAGUUUUAGAAUUAACAUUAAUUAAAAAAAAUUACAUUGUCAUUGUUUUUACAUCAUAAUUAAGAUAUAUAUUACAACACAUGAUUUAAACAAAAUAAUUAUAAAAAAAAUACAUGAUAGACAUUAUACAUUACGUAUGUAAUCAUGCCACAUAGAAGCUGCAAUUCUAUCUCUUGUAGCACUCAUCUCGGCGACACUUGCUGGAGAUAAAUCAAUCUUAGUAAGUGGCCUACUAGUGUCUCCUUCUUCGUUGGUAACCAAAUCUUACACAUCAAAAUCCCCAAAUAACCUAUCACUUGCAUUUUCUCGUCAAAUAAAGUUAUGUAAAGCGCAACACGCAAUUGGAAUUAGACGUUGCUUACGUAAACUAUAAUUAUGCAUAUCCCUUAAAAUUGAAAAUCGCGCUUUUAAAACACCAAAGCAUCGCUCAAUUACAUUACGCAAUGAUGAAUAUCUAUAAUUAAGCAACUCAUCACUUAUAGUGUUCCAAAUUUUCUUAGUGAAAGUUGAUGUUUGUAAAUCACCCUUUUUAACAUGGUCAUGUACAAUGCGAAUAAAAACAGUUUCGGUCCGGCUAGACCAAUCAGCCUUAUCCUCAACAUCAACAUCAUGUGAAUCCAUAUCUUGAAAAAUUAGAAAAAAUAACACAUCAAAUAAUGAUCAAAUUCAACAUAACAUAUACAUAUUUCAGCAACAUGUCAUACAUUAAAAACUGAAUGGUACCCGAAAAAAUAAAAAAUAAAACAUAUAUCAAAUAUUAAUCAAAUUAAAAACACUGCUAUUAAAUUUUUAGAUAUAAACAUACAAUUUUCAGUACAUGCUAUUAAUCCCCCACUCAAUUUUCAGUAAUGUAAUAACCCCCAAUACGAUUAAUCUACAAUACUCUAGUUUCAGUACAUGCUAUUAAUCUACAAUAUCAUCGUAUUAAAAACAAUUAAUUAGCUGAACAAAAAAAAAGAAGGGUGUUUCAGAACCUAUUCAACCCACGAGUUCUAUCACCAGUCAUGACCAAUUCCUUAUUUUAUUGGGUAAUUUUUACCAUAUUUUAUUAGAGAAACUAAAGUGAGAUCACAAAAUAAUUGAAUAAAAAUUAAAACAUUUGCCAUUUCGUCAAAUAUGCACCAUAAUUUUACAUUCAACAUCUCCUAUUUGUUUGAGGUCCCUUUAAUAAACCAAUAAACUCGAAUUAAGCAUCUGUAUAAAAGAAUUCCCACAAGAAAUUGUUUGUUUUAAUAGAUUUAAUCUCUAAAAUAAAUGAGGAAAAAUCCUAGUAGGUUGGCCAAAAUUUGUCACUACAUAUGAACAACCUCAGAAAUUUUCAGAAGCUUUAAAAAUCACUCAAAUCAUCUCUCAAAAAUUUCAGCUCAUAAACAAAAUAAAUACCGGCAAGUGACAGAUUCGGGAGAGCAACAAUGGUUGGGCAAGUGCAGAUCCGAGUGAGCAACAACGAAGCAGCAGUAGACGAAGAUCCGAGAGAGCAAGUGCAGAUUCGAGAGAGCAAAGAUGAAGUAGCAGUAGCUGGACGGAGACGCAGUAGCAGCAGCUGGAUGGAGUCGGAGCAGCAGCGGUUAUGGCGGAGAAAGAGCAGUGGCAGCGGCUAGCACACCAAGAGUGACCAAGAGAGAGUGGAUCGAGAGAGAAAGAUGUUGGAUGAAGAUAAGGGGAAGGAGAGAGUGCAGAUUUGCUGCAACUGGAUUGAGAAAAUUGAGGGGAAAGAGGGAGCUGCAGUGAAUUGGAUUGAGAGUGAGGGCUGCAGUGAAGAGAAAAGUGAGGGUUGCAGGGUCACGAUUUUUCUUUUGUUUUUUAAUUCAUUUUUAGGUUUAGUCUGUAAAAUUUGGAGAACAUGUUUAACUUGUUUUCAGUUGUGUAGUUAUAAUAAUGAAUCCGGAUUUUGUGUUUUGUAAUUUGUUUUGUGAAAAAAAUUCACCGAACAUGUUUUAUGUGUGUAUUAUAAAAAUGAAAACAAAAACAUGGCUUGAAAAACGGUACCGAACGGGGCCUUAGCUUUUGUGCUUUUGCAUUUGCUGCUUUUUUUUUUUUACUUUUGCUUUUUUUAAAUAAUAUAACUUUUUAAUAUAAUAUAAUAUAAAAUUUUCUUUUCUUUUAUUUUUAUAUCAUAAUUAUUAAUAUAAAUUAAUAAUUUAUUAUUCAUAUUUUAAUUUUUAUUAUAUUAAAAAUAUUACUAAAUAAUGUAUUAUUUAAUAAUAAUUAAGGAAUAGGAAGUUGUAAGGACCUGUAAUCACUAAUCAUCUAACAUCAUUAAAGAUAGUUGUCUUGAUUCAUUUCAACAACUAAGAGUAUUAGGAUCAUACUUAUAUAAUUACAUUAUAAUCCAAUAUAAAAUGUUUGCUACAACUUCAUAAUCUGACAGGGCCAUGCAUAUCAACAUAGCUCCACCCUCUGAUGUUGUCAUCAGUUGGAAAAGCUUAUUUUGCAAAAAUUAAAUGAAUCCUUUCUAGAUUAGAGAGAAUACUAAGGAACCAAGUUUUCUUAUAAUGUUACACUUAUCACUAUUGGUUGAUCAAAAGAAGUAAUCAGUAAUUUUAGUGGUAAUGAAAUUUACAAUUACAUAGGUGAGUGCCAUCUAGCUAGUGCUGCUGCUAGCCUCAAAAUCCCUUCUUUGAUAGCACCGCAGCCAUAAUUUUCAAAGGCUUGGGUCCCACUUCUGCUCCAUGUGGUGUCUGUUUCUUAAGCCUCUUCUCUUCAUUUUUGGCUGCCAAACUUCACAUUUUAUAGCCAAUUAAGUCUGCUGCCUCUCCUUAUUUCCGCUGCCAAGCUUCCCCUUGAUUAUCCAAUUGUUUGGAGGCCACACAAAUUUCUACAGGAGGCAAUGUGUUAUGCAAGACUCCUUUGAGGACUACUUCAGAUUUAUUAUCAAUUUUACCCGCCACAUGUCAUCAUUUUAGAUCGAACUAAAAUACAAUAAAAAGUAAUUUUAUUAAGUUCAAUUAAUUAACCUGUUUGAUUUUAAAACAAAACACAAAAAGAUGUGACUUUUCUCAAAGUUCAAACUGUCUCAUUUUGCAAAGCCACGAAACCCACAUAAUUCUUUUUUUUUUUUUUUUUCUCUUUUAGUUACAAGAAAUAAUGGUGGAAGGUUAUUAGGUGACAGCUCUCCUGAGGAUCAGGAGCUUGACAGAAUGUUUUUAUCUUUUUUGUGACAUAUCAAAUCACAAUUUUCUUUUUUCACUGAUAUUUGUCAGAUUUGAUUCAGAACAUGUACGCUUACGAAGGCCUGGAAAUUAAAUGUGCGUUGGAUUCUUUAUAGCUCUUUAAGAUAAUGCUUAAUAUUUAUGAUUUUUUAAAUAAAAUAUUCAAGAAUCUCAAUUUCCUCCCCCAACUCAGGAAGAGAGCUCAAUUCUCACCAGUAACACAACCCAAAUAAGUUUUUUUCAUAAUUUGUUGGAUUAAAUUUCCCUUUUAUCAAAGUAGGUUUUCAAGUUCCCAACAAACUUCUUAAGACUGCAGUCAAACAUUUAAGAAAGCUUGGGGAAUUGACAGAUAAAGACUGAGAAAGAAACACAGCGAUUGGAGCAUGGUACCGUGGCAUGAAAGUAUUGAACUAUUGACAGAUGAAAAUAAACGAGUCAUGUAGUACUUGGAUAAUAAGAGUUCGUAUCCUUAAAGUACACUCGUUUAUUAAAAUUACAAGAAACUCAAAUAAUAUCAACACAAAAUCGUACCAACUAAAAACAAGAACUAAUAUCUUAUGAAGGUUGGUGAUUACUAUUAGUUGGUUUAUUAAACGACAUUUGUUGCCCUUGAACAUUGUCAAUGACUACUAAAAAGAUUUGAGAUAGUGGAGGAUUUUUGCAUGACUGGCAAUUGUAUACCAUUUAUUCUUCCAUCAUUUGUAAUCAAAUAGUUACUCAGAUUGUUAGUGGCCGUGUGUUCUUGGUUUAUUUUUUAUCGGUAUUUUUUAGAGUUUUCUCAGUAUCAUAUUUUUAUUAAAGGUUUUCUCAUUUCACCAGCAUCCAUGCUUAUUGUGAGCAUGUUUACAGUUGCCGGAACAUUUAAUAUUAGAAAUGAAAUAAUUAGAUAUGCAUUGACUUUAGUGUUCACUUUGCAUCAAGUUUUUAUACAUUUCUUUUUGGCAAAAAAUACUGUUUGGAUUCACGCCCUAACAUUACUUAAGUUUAUUCUUCCAUCCUUUUCAGACCAUUGUAAUCAAAUGGUUACUCAGAUUGUUAGUGGCCGUGUAUUCUUAGUUUGUUUUUUAUCGGUAUUUUUUAGAGUUUUUACUGAAUAUCAUAAUUUUGUUAAGCGUUUUCCCAUUUCACCAGCUUCCAUGCUUAUUGUGAGCGUGUUGAUAGUUGCCGGAACAUUUAAUAUUAGAAAUUAAGUAAUUAGAUAUUCAUUGACUUUAGCGUUCGCUUUGCAUCAAGUUUUUAUACAUUUCUUUUUGAAAACAAAUACCGUUUAGAUUCAUAACAUAGCAUUACUUAAGUUUAUUCUUCCAUCCUUUUCAGAUCCUUGUAAUCAAAUGGUUACUCAGAUUGUUAGUGGCCGUGUGUUCUUGGUUUAUUUUGUAUCGGCAUUUUUUAGAGUUUUUGCUGAAUAUCAUGAUUUUGUUAAGCGUUUUCUCAUUUCCCCAGCUUCCAUGCUUAUUGUGAGCAUGUUGACAGUUGCCGGAACAUAUAAUAUUAGAAAUGAAGUAAUUAGAUAUGCAUUGACUUUAGCGUUCACUUUGCAUCAAGUUUUUAUACAUUUCUUUUUGAAAACAAAUACCGUUUGGAUUCAUACCCUAGGAUUACUUAAGUUUAUUCUUCCAUCAUUUUCAAACCCUUGUAAUCAAAUGGUUACUCAGAUUGUUAAUGGUCGUGUGUUAUUGGUUUGUUUUUUAUCGGUAUUUUUUAGAGUUUUUGCUGAAUAUCAUGAUUUUGUUAAGUGUUUUCCCAUUUCACCAGCUUCCAUGCUUAUUGUGAGCGUGUUGAUAGUUGUCGGAACAUUUAAUAUUAAAAAUGAAAUAAUUAGAUAUGCAUUGACUUUAGCGUUCGCUUUGCAUCAAGUUUUUAUACAUUUCUUUUUGAAAACAAAUACCGUUUGAAUUCAUACCAUAUCAUUACCUAAGUUUAUUCUUCCAUCUUUUUUGCACCCUAUCAUUUCUUUUGUAAUAAAAUGGUUAGUCAGAUUUUUAGUGGCCGUGUGUUCUUGGUUUGUUUUUUAUCGGUAUUUUUUAGUGUUUUGGCUGAAUAUCUUGAUUUUGUUUAGGGUUUUCUCAUUUGACCAGCUUCUAUGCUUAUUGUGAGCAUAUUGACAGUUGCUGGAACAUUUCAUGUUAGAAAUGAAGUAAUUAGAUUUACAUUGACCUUAACGUUCGCUUUGUAUUAAGUUUUUAUACAUUUUUUUUUGAAACAAAUACCGUUUGGAUUCAUACUCUAGCAUUAUUUAAGUUUAUUCUACCUCACUUUUGUAUCACAUAUAAAGUAGGUAGCCUAAAAAUACAUUCUUUGCUGGCACCAUAGCUUUCAAAGUCUUGGGUCCCAGUAUUGCUACUUGUGCCUAUGUUUUUUAAGCCUUUGCAUCUCCCCAUUUUGGUUGCCAAGCUUCUCAUUUUGUAGCCAACUAAGCUUCUGCCUCUCCCCAUUUUUGCUGCCAAACUUCCCAUUUUAUUGACCAACUGUUUGGCGGCCACGUGAAAUUUUACAAAAGCUUGCCCUUUAUGCAAGACUCCUUUGAGGGUUACUUUCCAUUUGCUGUCAAAUUUACUUUCCAUGUAUCAUUGUUUUGGAUAGAACUAAAAUACAAUAAAAAUUAAUUUUAUUAGGUUCAAUUAAUUAACCUAUUUGAUUUUAAGAAGAAAAAAAAUCCAAAAAAAUUGAUUUUUUAUCACGUUUAAACUGUUUUAUUUUACAAAGCAACCAAACCCAUACAAUUCUUUUCUUUUUUUUUUUAAUUAAGUUAUAAGAGAUAAUGAUGGAAGGUUGAUUAUUUUCUUUUGAUAAGGCCAGGUUGUAGAAGCUGCAACCAACAGCCUCGACAUUUUCACCUUGCAUGAACAAAUGCCUUGGCCUGGUUGCAUCAGCACAAACACGCGUGGAGGAUUCCGAUUGGCUAUGUUACGUGCAGAAGUUGUAACAUAGCAAGGUCCAUUUUCAGAGUCUUCAUACAGUAAUCAAAUGGCUACUCAAAUUGUUAGUGGUCAUGUGUUUUUAGUUUUUUUUUUAUCGGUAUUUUUUAGAGUUUUUGCUCAAUAUCGUGAUUUUUGUUAAAGGUUUUCUCAUUUCACCAGCUUCCAUGCUGAUUGUAAGCAUGUUUACAGUUGCCGGAACAUUUAAUAUUAGAAAUGAAGUAAUUAGAUAUGCAUUGACUUUAGCGUUCGCUUUGCAUCAAGUUUUUAUACAUUUCUUUUUGAAAAAAAAAUACCGUUUGGAUUCAUACCCUAACAUUACUUAAGUUUAUUCUUCCAUCAUUUUCAGACCAUUGUAGUCAAAUGGUUACUCAGAUUGUCAGUGGCCGUGUGUUCUUGGUUUUUUUUAUCAGUAUUUUUUAGAGUUUUUUUUAAUAUCAUGAUUUUGUUAUGUAUUUUCUCAUUUCACCAGCUUUCAUGAUUAUUGUGAGCAUGUUGAUAGUUGUCGGAACAUUUAAUAUUAGAAAUGAAGUAAUUAGAUAUGCAUUGACUUUAGUGUUCGCUUUGCAUCAAGUUUUUAUACAUUUCUUUUUUAAAACAAAUACCGUUUGGAUUCAUACCAUAUCAUAACCUAAGUUUAUUUUUCCAUCUUUUUCACACCCUAUCAUUUCUUUUGUAAUAAAAUGGUUACUCAGAUUUUUAGUGGUCGUGUGUUCUUGGUUUGUUUUUUAUCGGUAUUUUUUUAGUGUUUUUGCUGAAUAUCUUGAUUUUGUUUAGGGUUUUCUCAUUUCACCAGCUUCUAUGCUUAUUGUGAGCAUAUUGACAAUUGCUGGAACAUUUCAUGUUAGAAAUGAAGUAAUUAGAUUUGCAUUGACUUUAACGUUCACUUUGCAUCAAGUUUUUAUACAUUUCUUUUUUGAAACAAAUACCGUUUGGAUUCAUAUCCUAGCAUUACUUAAGUUUAUUCUUCCAUCCUUUUUAGACCAUUGUAAUCAAAUGGUUACUCAGAUUGUUAGUGGUCGUGUAUUCUUGGUUUGUUUUUUAUCGGCAUUUUUUAGAGUUUUUACUGAAUAUCAUAAUUUUGUUAAGUGUUUUCCUAUUUCACCAGCUUCCAUGCUUAUUGUGAGAAUGUUCACAGUUGUCGGAACAUUUAAUAUUAGAAAUAAAAUAAUUAGAUAUGCAUUGACUUUAGCGUUCGCUUUGCAUCAAAUUUUUAUACAUUUCCUUUUAGAAACAAAUACCGUUUAAAUUCAUAAUCUAACGUUACUUAAGUUUAUUCUUCCAUUCUUUUCAGACCCUUGUAAUCAAAUGGUUACUCAGAUUGUUAGUGGUUGUGUGCUCUUAGUUUGUUUUUUAUCAGACACUUUUAGAGUUUUUGCUGAAUAUCAAGAUUUUGUUAAGCGUUUUCUCAUUUCACAAACUUCCAUGCUUAUUGUGAGCAUAUUGACAGUUGCCAGAACAUUUAAUAUUAGAAAUGAAGUAAUUAGAUAUGCAUUGACUUUAGCGUUCGCUUUGCAUCAAGUUUUUAUACAUUUUUUUUGGAAAAACAAAUACCGUUUGGAUUCAUACCCUAACAUUACUUAAGUUUAUUCUUCCAUCAUUUUCAGACCCUUGUAAUCAAAUGGUUACUCAGAUUAUUAGUGGUCGUGUGUUCUUGGUUUGUUUUUUAUCGGCAUUUUUUAGAGUUUUUGCUGAAUAUCAUGAUUUUGUUAAGCGUUUUCUCAUUUCACCAGCUUCCAUGCUUAUUGUGAGCGUGUUGACAGUUGGCGGAACAUUUAAUAUUAGAAAUGAAUUAAUUAGAUAUGCAUUAACUUUAGCGUUCGCUUUGCAUCAAGUUUUUAUACAUUUUUUUUAAAACAAAUACCGUUUGGAUUCAUACCAUAUCAUUACCUAAGUUUAUUCUUCCAUCUUUUUCGCACCCUAUCAUUUCUUUUAUAAUAAAAUGGUUAGUCAGAUUUUUAGUGGCCGUGUGUUCUUGGUUUGUUUUUUAUCGGUAUUUUUUAGUGUUUUUGUUGAAUAUCAUGAUUUUGUUAAGGGUUUUCUCAUUCCACCAGCUUUUAUGCUUAUUGUGCGCAUAUUGACAGUUGCUGGAACAUUUCAUGUUAGAAAUGAAGUGAUUAGAUUUGCAUUGACUUUAACGUUUGCUUUGUAUUAAGUUUUUAUACUUUUUUUUAAACAAAUACCGUUUGGAUUCAUAUCCUAGCAUUAUUUAAGUUUAUUACACCUCACAUUUGUAUCACAUAGAAAGUAGGUAGCCUCAAAAUACCUUCUUUGUUGGCACCAUAGUUUUCAAAGGCUUGGGUCUUAGUGUUGCUGCAUGUGCCUCUGUUUCUUAACCUUUUGCAGCUCCCCAUUUUGGUUGCCAAGCUUCUCCUUUUGUAGCCAACUAAGCUUCUACCUCUCCCCAUUUUUGCUGCCAAACUUCCCAUUUUAUUGACCAACUAUUUGGCGGCCACGUGAAAUUUUACAAAAGCUUGCCCUUUUAUGCAAGACUCCUUUGAGGGUUACUUCCCAUUUGCUAUCAAAUUUACUCGCCAUGUAUCAUUGUUUUAGAUAGAACUAAAAUACAAUAAAAAAUAAUUUUAUUAGGUUCAAUUAAUUAACCUAUUUGAUUUUAAGAAGAAACAAAAUUCAAAAAAAUUGAUUUUUUUAUCACGUUUAAACUUUUUUAUUUUACAAAGCAACCAAACCCAUACAAUUUUUACUUUUUUUAUUUAAGUUAUAAGAGGUAAUGGUGGAAGGUUGAUUACUUUCAAAGGACAAAGCUAGGUUGUAGAAGCCGCAACCAACGGCCUCGACAUUUUCACCUUGCAUGAACAUAUGCCGUGGUCUGGUUGCAUCAGCACAAACACGCGUGGAGGAUUCAGAUUGGCUAUGUUACGUGCAGAAGUUGUAACAUAACAAGGUCCAUUUUCAGAGUCUUCAUACACUAAUCAAAUGGAUACUUAAAUUGUUAGUGGUCGUGUGUUUUUAGUUUGAUUUUUAUAAGUAUUUUUUAGAGUUUUCUCAGUAUCAUAUUUUUAUUAAAAGUUUUCUCAUUUCACCAGCUUCCAUGCUUAUUGUGAGCAUGUUUACAGUUGCUGGAACAUUUAAUAUUAGAAAUGAAGUAAUUAGAUAUGCAUUGACUUUAGCGUUCACUUUGCAUCACGUUUUUAUACAUUUCUUUUUGGAAAAAAAUAUUGUUUGGAUUCAUGCCCUAACAUUACUUAAGUUUAUUCUUCCAUCAUUUUCAGACCCUUGUAAUCAAAUAGUUACUCAGAUUGUUAGUGGCCGUGUGUUCUUGGUUUAUUUUUUAUCGGUAUUUUUUAGAGUUUUCUCAGUAUCAUAUUUUUAUUAAAGGUUUUCUCAUUUCACCAGCAUCCAUGCUUAUUGUGAGCAUGUUUACAGUUGCCGGAACAUUUAAUAUUAGAAAUGAAGUAAUUAGAUAUGCAUUGACUUUAGCGUUCACUUUGCAUCAAGUUUUUAUACAUUUCUUUUUGGCAAAAAAUACUGUUUGGAUUCAUGCCCUAACAUUACUUAAGUUUAUUCUUCCAUUCUUUUCAGACCAUGGUAAUCAAAUAGUUACUCAGAUUGUUAGUGGCCGUGUGUUCUUGGUUUAUUUUUUAUCGGUAUUUUUUAGAGUUUUUACUGAAUAUCAUGAUGUUGUUAAGCGUUUUCUCAUUUCACCAGCUUCCAUGCUUAUUGUGAGCGUGUUGACAGUUGCCGGAACAUAUAAUAUUAGAAAUGAAGUAAUUAGAUAUGCAUUGACUUUACGUUCGCUUUGCAUUAAGUUUUUAUAGAUUUUGUUUUGAAAACAAAUACCGUUUGGAUUCAUACCCUAGCAUUACUUAAGUUUAUUCUUCCAUCCUUUUCAGACCCUUGUAAUCAAAUGAUUACUCAGAUUGUUAGUGGCCGUGUGUUCUUGGUUUGUUUUUUAUCGGCAUUUUUUAGAGUUUUUAUAAAAUAUCAUGAUUUUGUUAAGCGUUUUCUCAUUUUACCAACUUCCAUGCUUAUUGUGAGUGUGUUGACAGUUGCCGGAACAUUUAAUAUUAGAAAUGAAGUAAUUAGAUAUGGAUUGACUUUAGCGUUCGCUUUGCAUCAAGUUUUUAUACAUUUUUUUUGGAAAAACAAAUACCGUUUGGAUUCAUACCCUAGCAUUACUUAAGUUUAUUCUUCCAUCCUUUUCAGACUAUUGUAAUCAAAUGGAUACUCAGAUUCUUAGUGGCCGUGUGUUCUUGGUUUGUUUUUUAUCGGCAUUUUUUAGAGUUUUUGCUGAAUAUCAUGAUUUUGUUAAGCGUUUUCUCAUUUCACCAGCUUCCAUGCUUAUUGUGAGCGUGUUGACAGUCGCCGGAACAUUUAAUAUUAGAAAUGAAGUAAUUAACUUUAGCGUUCGCUUUGCAUCAAGUUUUUAUACAUUUUUUUUAAAAACAGAUACUGUUUGGAUUCAUACCAUAUCAUUACCUAAGUUUAUUCUUCCAUCUUUUUCACACCCUAUCAUUUCUUUUGUAAUAAAAUGGUUACUCAGAUUUUUAGUGGCCGUGUUCUUGGUUUGUUUUUUAUCGGUAUUUUUUAGUGUUUUUGCUUAAUAUCAUGAUUUUGUUAAGGGUUUUCCCAUUUCACCAGCUUCUAUGCUUAUUGUGAGCAUAUUGACAAUUGCUGGAACAUUUCAUGUUAGAAAUGAAGUAAUUAGAUUUGCAUUGACUUUAAUGUUUGCUUUGUAUUAAAUUUUUAUACAUUUUUUUUUGGAAACAAAUACCGUUUGGAUUCAUAUCCUAGCAUUAUUUAAGUUUAUUCCACCUUACUUUUGUAUCACAUAGAAAGUAGGUAGCCUCAAAAUAGCUUCUUUGCUGGCACCAUAGUCUUCAAAGGCUUGGGUCCCAGUGUUGCUGCUAUGUUUAUUGUGAGCAUGUUAAAGGUUGCCGCAACAUUUCAUAUUAAAAAUGAAGUAAUUAGAUAUGUACUGACUUUAACGUUCAUUUUGUAAAAAGUUUUUAUACAUUUUUUUAAAAACAAAUACUGUUUGGAUUCAUACCCUAGAAUUACUUAAGUUUAUUCUUUCAUAUUUUUCAUACCCUACCAUUUCUUUUAUAAUUAAAUGGUUACUCAUAUUGUUAGGGGUCGUGUGUUCUUGGUUUGUUUUUAUCGGUAUUUUUUAGAGUUUUUGCUGAAUAUCAUGUUUUUGUUACGCGUUUUCUCUUUUCACCAGCUUCCAUGCUUAUUGUGAGCAUGUUGACGGUUGACGGUUGACGGUUGACGGUUGCCGGAACAUUUAAUGUUAAAAAUGAAGUAAUUAGAUAUGCAUUGACUUUAGCGUUCGCUUUGCAUCAAAUUUUUAUACAUUUCUUUUUGAAAACAAAUAUCGUUUGGAUUCAUACCCUAGCAAUAGUUAAGUUUAUUCUUUCAUCAUUUUCAAACCCUUGUAAUCAAAUGGUUACUCAGAUUGUUAGUGGCCGUGUGUUCUUGGUUUGUUUUUAUCGGUAUUUUUUAGAGUUUUUGCUGAAUAUUAUGAUUUUGUUAAGCGUUUUCUCAUUUCACGAGCUUCUAUGCUUAUUGUGAGCAUUUUAACAGUUGCCGAAAUAAUUCAUAUUAAAAAUGAAGUAAUUAAAUAUUUAUUGACUUUACCGUUUGCUUUGCAUCAAGUUUUUAUACAUUUUUUUAAAACAAAUAUCGUUUGGAUUCAUACUCUAGAAUUAGUUAAGUUUAUUCUUCCAUCCUUUUCAGACCCUUGUAAUCAAAUGGUUACUCAAAUUGUUAGUGGCCGUGUGUUCUUGGUUUUUUUGAUCGGUAUUUUUUAGAGUUUUUGCUGAAUAUUAUGAUUUUGUUAAGCAUUUUCUCAUUUCACAAGCUUCUAUGCUUAUUGUGAGCAUUUUGAUAGUUGCCGGAAUAUUGAUAUUAGAAAUGAAGUAAUUAAAUAUUUAUUGACUUUACCGUUCGCUUUGCAUCAAGUUUUUAUACAUUUCUUUUAAAACAAAUACCAUUUGGAUUCAUACCCUAGCAUUACUUAAGUUUAUUCUUCCAUCCUUUUCAGACGCUAUCAUUUCUUUUGUAAUAAAAUGGUUACUCAUAUUGUUAGUGGCCGUGUGUUCUUAGUUUGUUUUUUAUCGGUAUUUUUUUAUAGUUUUUGAUGAAUAUCAUGGUUUUGUUAAAUGUUUUCUCAUUUCGCCAGCUUCUAUGCUUAUUGUGAGCAUGUUGAUAGUCGCUAGAACAUUUCAUAAUAAAAAUGAAGUAGUUAGAUAUGCAUUGACUUUAACGUUCGCUUUGCAUUAAGUUUUUAUACAUUUUUUUAAACAAAUACCGUUUGGAUUUAUACCAUAGCAUUGCUUAAGUUUAUUCUUCCAUCUUUUUCAUACCUUAGCAUUUCUUUUAUAAUCAAAUGGAUACUCAUAUUGUUAGGUGCCAUGUGUUCUUGGUUUGGUUUUUAUCGAUAUUUUUUAGAGUUUUUACUGAAUAUCAUGAUUUUGUUAAUGGAAGCUUAUUUCGCAAAAAUUAAAUUGGUCAUUUCUAUAUUAGAGAGAAUACGAAAGAACUAUGUUUUUUAUAUUCCGAGGAGCUCAGAAAGAGUUCAUAGAAAAUCACCACCUCAUGAAAAAAUCAAAAUAUAUUUGUCCCCCACACAACUAGAUAAUGCUAAUACAAUUAUCACUAUUAUAUCCCGACUGAUAUCCCUGAUGAUAUUUGUCUAUUGGUCGAUCAUAAGGAGUAACAAGUAAUUUAGUAGUAAUGAAAUUUAAAAUUUACUGUUACAAAGGUGAGUGUCACCUCGCUUUUGUAUCACAAAAUAAGCAGCUAGCCUCAAAAUCUCUUUUCUGCUGGCACCAUAAUCUUCAAAAGCUUGGGUCCUACUUUUGCUCUAUGUGCCUUUGUUUCUUGAGCCUCCGCCUCUCCCUAUUUUUACUGCUAAGCUUCCCCUUUUAUUAGCAAAUUGUUUCAUUCAAUGCAUAUACAAGCAAAUUCUGUUGGUCACUCUCACUCAUCUUGGUCAUUCAGAAAUUUUAUUUGAACUUCCAUCAUUACUUAAAUUUAUUCUUCCAUCGUUUUCAUACCCUAGCAUUUCUCUUGUAAUCAAAUGGUUACUCUUUAUGGGGGUGUGUUUUUGAUUUGUUUUUUAUGGGUAUUUUUUUAGAGUUUUUACUGAAUAUCAUGGUUUUGUGUAGGGUUUUCUCAUUCCACCAGCUUCCAUUCUUAUUAUUAGCAUGCUGACAAUUGCUGAAACAUUUCAUAUUAGAAAUGAAGUAAUUAGAUAUGCAUUGACUUUAACAUUCGCUUUGCAUCAAGUUUUUAUACAUUUCUUUGUGGAAACAAAUUUUGUUUGGAUUGAAGCAUCCACAAUAUUCUCAGUAGGAGCGAUCUUUGGAAUCAGAGGCUUUGGUUGUUGGAUGCAAAACAACGAAAAUAGGGUAGCUACUGGAGAAGAAAGUGCUGGUGGCGCUAAUGGAUAAGUAGUUCAACAAAUAAAAGCAAAAGUCAGACAUUAGUCAGACAUUAGUUAUGCUUUUACAUAUUCUACAUGACACCAGUUCAACAAAUAGAAACAAAACUCCUUGUAGAUAUUCUACAUGACAUUUACAAAAGUCAAACAUUAGUUAUGCUUCAGACAACUUGAAGACAAUGAUUCUUUGUUUAUUCAGCCCUUUCACUCCAUUUUGAUGGUUUUUGUAACUUUAGUUCAGUACAAAAUAUUGAUGAGUUAUUUGUACAAUUAGUACAUAAUUGAAGAGUAUAUUUUAUGGUAAUCACUAACCAUCUAGCGUCAUUAAAAUUGGCUGUCUUAAUGCAUUUCAACAACCAAGAAUUUUGGGAUCAUAAAACUUGAAAAUAUAAUUGCAUGAAUCCGAUACAAAAUGUUUCUUACAGCUUGAAAAUAUGUAAAGGCCAUGCAUAUCAACAUCGCUCCGCCCAUGAUAUUGUCAUCAAUAGAAGCUUAUUUAGCAAAAACUAAAUUAGUCGUUUCUCGAUUAGAGAGAAUACUAAGAAACCAUGUUUUUUAUAUUGCGAGGAGUCCAAAAAGAGUUUAUAGAAAAUCACCACCCCAGGAAAAAAAUCAAAAUAUAUUUGUCCCCCAUACAACUAUAUAAUGCUACUACAAUUAUCACUAUUAUAUUCCAACUGCUAUUCUCGGUGAUAUUUGUCUAUUGGUUGAUCACAAAAAGUAACAAGUAAUUUUACCUGUAAUGAAAUUUGAAAUUUAUUGUUACAAAAGUGAGUGUCACCUCGCUUUUGUAUCACAAAGCGAGCAGCUAGCCUUAAAAUCCCUUUUCUGCUGGCACCACAGUCUUCAAAAGCUUGGGUCCCACUUUUUCUCCAUGUGCCUCUGUUUCUUGAGCCUCUGCCUCUUCUUUUUCCCAUUUUUGGCUCCAAAGCUUCCCUUUUUAUAGCCAAUCAAGUCUAUGCCUCUCCCCAUUUUUGCUGCUAAGCUUCCCCUUUUAUUAGAAAAUUGUUUCAUCGCAUGCAUAUACAAGGAAUUUCUGUUGGUCACUCUCACUCAUCUUGGUCAUUCAAAAUUUUUAUUUGAACUUCCAUUAUUACUUAAGUUUACUCUUUCAUCUUUUUCAUACCCUAGCAUUUCUCUUGUAAUAAAAGGGUUACUCAGAUUGUUUGUGGCGCUGUAUUCUUGGUUUCUUUUUUAUCGGCAUUUUUAAAAGUUUUUGCUGAAUAUCUUGGUUUUGUUAAGGAUUUUCUUAUUCCACUAGCUUCCAUACUUAUUGUGAGCAUGUUGACAGUUGCCGGAACAUUUUGUAUUAGAAAUGAAGUAAUUAGAUAUGCAUUGACUUUAGUGUUUGCUUUGUAUCAAGUUUUUAUACAUUUCUUUGUGUAAACAAAUACCGUUUAGAUUGAAGUUUUCGUAAUAUUUUUAGUAGGAGCCAUCUUUGGAAUCAGAGGAUUUGGUUGUUGGAUGCAAAACAACGAAAACAGGGUAACUGCUGGAGAAGAAGGUGCUGGUGGCGCUAAUGGAUAAGCAGAUCAACAAAUAGAAGAAAAAGGCAAACAUUAGUCAAACAUUAGUUCUGCUUGUACAUAUUCUACAUGACAGCAGUAAAAGUCAGACAUUAGUUAUGCUACAGGCAAUUUGAAGAUGUUGAUUCUUUAUUUAUUAUGCCUUUUACUUCAUUUUGAUGGUUUUUGUAACAUUAGUUCAGUAUAGAAUAUUGAUGAGUUAUUUGUAAAAUUAAUACAUAAUUGAACAGCAUAUAUUACGGUCAUCACUAGUCAUCUAGCAUAAUUAAAGAUGGCUAUCUUGAUGCAUUUCAAACAACCAAUACUGUUGAGAUUAUACAGCUUGAAAAUAUAAUUGCAUGAAUUCGAUAUAAAAUGUUUCCUACAGCUUGAAAAUAUGCUAGGGCCAUGCAUAUCAACAUCACUCCUAUGAUAUUGUCAUCAGUGGAAGCUUAUUUCGCAAAAAAAUUAAAUUAGUCCUUUCUAGAUUAGAGAGAAUACUAAGGGACCAUGUUUUUUAUAUUAUGAGGAGCUCAGAAAGAGUUCAUAGAAAAUCACCACCUCAGGAAAAAAUCAAAAUAUAUUUGUCCCCCACACAAUUAUAUAAUGCUACUACAAUUAGCACUAUUAUAUCCCAACUGCUAUUCCCGAUGAUAUUUAUCUAUUGGUUGAUCAAAAUGAGUAACAAGUAAUUUUAGUAGUAAUGGAAUUUGAAAUUUACUAUUACAUAGGUGAGUUCCACCUCACUUUUGUAUCACAAAGUAAGCAGCUAACCUCAAAAUCCCUUUUCUGUUGGCACCACAGUCUUCAAAAGCUUGGGUCCCACUUUUGCUUCAUGUGCCUCUGUUUCUUGAGCCUCAACCUCUCCCUCUCCCCAUUUUUGGCUGCAAAGCUUCCCUUUUUAUAGCCAAUCAAGUCUCCGCCUCUCCCCAUUUUUGCUGCUAAGCUUCCGCUUUUAUUAGCAAAUUGUUUCAUCCCAUGCAUAUACAAGCAAAUUUUGUUGGUCACUCUCACUUAUCUUGGUCAUUCAAAAAUUUUAUUUGAUCAUAUGUUGUUAAAUAAAUAAAUUAUCAAGGUCCAGUUAGCUAAUGAACAAAUGAAUGAAUUGAAAUUAAUUAAUUUCUAUUUUACAAAUAAUGUAUGAUCAUCAUGAGGAACCACCAAAAUCUCUCAUCAUGUCAUCUCUAGCAUUCCGCAUCUGUGCGAUUUGUCCAAAUAUGGCCCUUUACGUAGUACCGCUGGCAUUGUUUCUUACACCAUUCAACGACGAAGGCUUAUUUUAUUUAAUGAUUUCUGGUUUAUUAGGCUUUUCGUAUUUCCAAAUAAGUUUUAUACAGCCGCUGCUACUAGAUUGUGAUAUUGCUACCUUGAAGUUUAUUAGAAGCCAACCCGUUGUUUUUAUGGAAACCAAUACCGAUGCUGCUACUACAGUAAAAAGGACCACCUAACAGCUCAGGCUCAGACGAAAUUGUGUAACUUUACAAAUUAUUUGUUUUUAGUUUAUACUAAAUUCGUAGAGCGAUAUAGAGAGAAAGAAAGAGAAAUGUUCAUGUCCAUAAUCUUGAAAUUUAUUAAAAUUUGGGAAAAAAAUUUGGGAAAGUUUUCAAACCAUGAGGUUUAAUAGUGGUUAUGUCUAUGAAAGCUAUUUAAUCAUGUAGUUUAAUAUUAUAAUCAUAUAAUGCUAUUAAAAGACAUAAUUUAAUAGUUUUUUUAAAUUUUAAUAAAGUUCAGAUGCUGGACCAAAUCAACACUAUAUAUAUAUAUAUAUAUAUAUAUAUAUAUAUAUAUAUAAAAGAUCAACUUGUCAUUUAUGUUACUAACAAUUGAAACCUUAUUAUUAUCAACUUGUCAUUUAUGUUACUAACAAUUGAAACCUUAUUAUUAUAUAUACUUGCUUGUUCACUGCAUUUAAUUUAUUUUCGAAAUCAAAAUUAAUUCUUAACCCCUCCUUCCCAAUAAAGGAAAUAGUAUCUGAUGCCAACUCUUGAGUUGAAUGAGGAAUUAAUGGGAUACACUUUGUAACAUACAUGUUUCCCAACCCCCCCNNNNNNNNNNNNNNNNNNNNNNNNNNNNNNNNNNNNNNNNNNNNNNNNNNNNNNNNNNNNNNNNNNNNNNNNNNNNNNNNNNNNNNNNNNNNNNNNNNNNGAAUUAAAUGUUACGUCAAUUGCUUGCAGAAAGUAACUCAAUCGAAUUGAAAUUUAUGCAUAGGAGAUUGAAUCCAGAAUUCGAGUCGUCCUGAAACUCAAUUUCCAAUCAUAAAUUUCUCAGAAGAUAGUGACGACCUAAAACUCAAGAAUUUGUUAUUUAAAUUAUUAACUUGAUCGAGCAUGAAAACGUUUACCAUAAGCUUUCCUUACUAAAUGCAAAAGUGAGGAUACCCCACACACACAUAUAUGGGUAAAUUAAAAUAAUAUAGAUUAAAAGAUGAUGGGACAAGACUUGGCCCGCCCUUAAUUUACCCCACACCAUCUCAACAGUCGAAAUAAUAAAAUAAUUCACUAGUUGAAAGGAAUUUAGAUCUAUCACAAACAUAUAUUGCAAUUAAAAACAAAAAAUUAACAGCUUAAUUAAUUUUUUAGAAGUAUUGUUUACAGUUAUUGUUUAUCUGCAUAAAAAAUAUUCAUUUUUUAAAAACACAAUAAAAUGCAGAAAAUAAAUGACACGAAAAUUUUUUCAUGGUUCGGAUUAAUCAAUCCUACAUCCAUGAGGUCAUGCCUAGAUGAAAAGUAAUUUACUAAGUUGAGAUGUUACAACUUAUAGAUUUACCAAACUUAAGACUCUCAUUUAUAGUUUAUCACCAUACAGUUUACUCAACCUUAGACUGAAUCUGCUUCUCUUGAAUAAUUGAUACCCCUCUUGAUCCACGUUCUUCAAGGCACUUCACAAAGUGAUCAAUAACAAUUCUUCACAAAGUGAUCAAUAACAAUUCUUCACAAAGUGAUCAAUAACAAUUCUUCAAAUUUUUAACGUCUAGUGAUCCAAGAUCCACAUAGUCUCCACAGAGAUGAAAAGAAGAUAAGAAAACAAAUCAACACAACAUUAUGCGCCAAAUCCGAAUUCUUUAGGGAGGAUGCCGAAUUUUGCUUCUCUACUUUAUGCUUUGUGUUGUGCGUCACUUCAAUUGUAAAAUACCUCUUUUUAUAUAGGCAGUAGAGUUUCACCAAAAUAGCAAGUCUUAAAAGACUUGAAUUCUUUUCAAAUAAAAGUUUCUUUCCUCUUAUAAUUCCCAUAAAUCUGAAUAGGAAUAAAUAUGAUCUUCUUGCCUUGCUUGUCUUCCAAGAAAUAUUUAAAGCAUUUAAUGAACUUCCUGUUUGAACAAAUUCUUGAUCUAAACAGAUCUCAUGCGCUAAUUAUAGAAUCUCAUCAUUAAUUGACUUUUUAAAUUAGACACCUAAUUAAAUUAGGAAAAAAAAUUCCUAAUAAAUUGGAAUCUCACUAAAUUAGGGAAUUAAUAAAUUAAUCUCUAUUAAAAAAUAUACAAUAAAUAAAUUUUCAAUUUUACUAGACUUGCCAUAAGAUGCCAACUCUAUAAAUAAUGGACUUAACACUAGUGUUUUGUUACAUGACAGAAUUGUUAAUCCAAUUGUGGGAUCGUCAAUAAAUUCCAGUGAUUUUAAUGAAACGGUCAAUGAAUUCUUACAGUGAGAUCCGUAAUUGUACACGCAAUAGAGCACUAUUGGAAUAUCUUACUACCUCAAUAUGUUGACAUGGUAGGACAAUUCGACCCAAAUUUUUCUUGUUGAGUUUUUAUUUUAUUGUCAAAUAUUUAGCUCCUUUCUACUUCAUAUUUUAAAUUUGUUUAUAGAACAACUUUAAAAAAUUAAAAAGAAGUACAAAUAUAUUAAUUUUUAAAAUAUUAAAAAAAAUUCUUUUUGUUUUCUGUUUCUUCUGGAUCGUAUAAGCUAACGCUUAGGUGAAUAAUAACCAACCGACAGUGAAACUAUCAUAAAUCACUUCCAAAACAUUAAAAAUCAUUGAUGACAAUUGUAAUAAGUAAGAGUAAUAUCAAUAAAUAUUUUAAUUAUAGUGUUAUAUAUUAUUAUUUAAAAUUUUCUAAAUUGUAUUAUAUAGAGUUGAUGCACAUGCUCGAACUGAAUAAAAUUUCUACCUAUGUCCUUUGAAGGCGAGACUACACCAUAAUACUAUUGUUAAGAAUAUCAUGAUUAACAUACCCACAGUAAUCACGAUUCUCUCAAAUCUAAAUAAAAAAUUUUGAAUAAUUAAAAUUAAUAUUGUAUUACACUAAACUUAUAGGACAUCUAGAGGAUUAUUUAAUUUGCUUUUAAAAGUAGGAUUUGGGUCAAGUCUAAAUUAAAUUUUAGUCCUCAUCUUCUUAAAAGUUUGAACUUGAAUAACCAAUCAGAUAAAAAUUAUUUGAAAAUGAUUUCAUUAGGCCCCUGGUGACCAUAGAGAGGACUAUAUAUAUUUUAGUUUCUUUGCCAAAACACAAACUACAAACAAGAGAAAAAAGAGAGUAAUGGAACAGAAAGAAAUAGUAACCUAAAUCUAUGGAUGCACAAGCGACAGUUCUUGGGAGUUUUCUCAUGAAGCCUUCGAUUCAGGAGCUGGCAAUGAGUGCGUGCGAGCGACGCUCCCCAUGGUGGUCUCUCGUUGAGCAAGUUGUGGGUUCUCAUUGCAUAGCUCACCCAAUGAGUUAGAUGCUACCACGUGUUUCUCACCAGAUCGCUUAUUUUAAUUUAAAACAAGACAUUUGCCUAUCAAAGUAGGAUUCAACUAUGUUACAACUGUGGUACGAUACCUUAGUUGCUUUCAGCUAUUGAAUUCAACUAAUGCAACUGUACAACUGUAAAUCUAAUGACUGAUUGCAACUGUGGUACCAUAUCCAAUUGCAACCUAAUUUUACCCAUCAAAGUAUCGAAUAUAAAUUUUUAAGUACAGUGGACAAGAAUGUCCGGGCCGGUCUAGUCUAGGCCUGUGGAUUUUUGGACUAACUCUUCACACGAGGACCUAAAUAUGGACAAAAAAUUUUAAAGUAGGCUGUAAAUUGGUCUAGUUAAGGGCUUAUGGAAAAGCCCAAGGUUAUGCUUAUGUAUAGUCCAUGUUCUUGGAAUUGAUAGCUCAAUGUGAUUGAUAUAGCUGGCAAAAUUUAACACGACCCGAUUACCUGACACGAACACAACAUAAAUAAAUGGGUAUGAGUUGUCAAAUUUAACACGAUUAUUAAAUGGGUCGGGUCCGGGUCAACACGAUUUUUUUCCGUGUCGGGUUUGGGUUAAAAUUAUUGACCCAUUUACCCUAUCAAUGACCCGAUUAUAUUUUCUAGUUUAAAAUAAUUUACAUAUUCUUAUAAUUAAAACUCAAAUAUUAGAGAUGAUUUUCUUUUUUUUUUAUUCUUUAAAAGGGUGAAUAUAAACACAGUGUUUUAUUUAUAAAAUUUUACAUACAUUUAGAGCUUCAAUAGUGUAAAUGUGUAAAAAUUGAUAGACAUGUAUAUUUUAUAAUAUUGAUAUAUAAUAUUAUAUAUAUAUAUAUAUAUAUAUAUAUAUAUAUAUAUAUAUAUAUAUAUAUAUAUAUAUAUAUAUAUAAUUAAAACCUCAAUAGUGUAAAUGUGUAAUAUAUUGGUAGAUAUAUAUAUUUUAUAAUAUCGAUAAAUUAUGUAUGUAUGUAUGUAUGUAUGUAUGUAUGUAUUUAUGUACAUACGUAUGUAUGAUAGUGUGUAAAUAUUUUAUGUAACUUUUGUUCAAUAUAUAGAUAUUAAAUGGGUUAUUGGGUAACCCGAUUAUUUUUCCGUGUCGGGUUUGGGUCUCAAUAUUUUGACACGAUUAUUAAAUGGGUCGGGUUUGGGUCGACCUAAAUUUGACACGACACGAAGCUGACACGACACGAACACGACCCGAUGACCCGUUUUGCCAGCUCUAGUGGUUGAUAUGCUUCUCUUUGUUACUGCUUCUCCUCAGGUAAACUCAUUGUAAAUGAUGCAAUGGAAUUUAUUCUCAUGCUCUCCAGAUUCAAGAUUGGUUCUUGGAAUUCAGAGGUUGCUCUAUUGUCAUUUUAUGCUAGCUGCUCAUAGCCAACAAUCUCAACCCUUUUCUGUAUGUUGCUCAUUUACAUUGUUUAAAGCAUGUACAAAUUCACUGACAUUCUCUCCAUUAUGGCUUGAAUACAUAGCAUUGAGCACCAUAUAAAAAAUUUAGCAGACCAACACUUAAGUCAUCUGUACUUUAAAGCUGUUUUACUACCUAUUUUGCCUGCAGUCCAUUUCCAAACAUUCACAUGUAGGUAUAUGUGUGUGUGUGUGUGUGUUUGUGGCCCAUAUUUGGUCUUUUAGUGACUAAUGGAGAAUUGGUUGGUGUCCUUUCUUCAAUUCACCUUUCUUUGAAUCUUUGUUGUAAUGGGCAAGACACUAGGAUAGAAUUUCAAAUUGAAAGAGAUUUUGUUUUCCUGAUGGGAAAGUAAACUUUUAAUGACUUCUUCUCAAAUCCAUUAACUACUAUUCAUUCCUAUGUGCUUAUUUGGUAUUAGAAAUUACUAAGCCGAGCAGUGUUGGUGAGGAUUGAAAAGAUAUGUAUAAAGACUCUUGACUUCUUUAUGAUCCAUCUGCCUCAGUUUACUUAUGUCUGGAAAUAUUUAUUGUUUAGCCAUUGGGAUUAUGUCUGUCUUCACUCUGUGUUAGCCUUAGGGCCUCGUUGUUAUAGAUUUAUGGUGCCGCUGUGCUCAGCCCAUCUAGCUUAAAUGUUGUGUGUGUAUGCGUGUGUGUGUGUGUCUGUUUUUUUUUUUAAUUGUUCACUCAAAGUGGCUAAAGUGCAAAGUGAGAUAAAUUUGGCAGGGGGUUGUAAUGUGUGUUUUACUUUGAAUUAAUUUAAGGACUUGCAGCGCUUGCUUGGUCAGUGCUGAAAUGGUUCAAAUUUUGUGUUCUGCUUGCUGAUUUUCUUGUCUAGUUAUUGUUAACACGAGUUUUGAUGGUGCCCCACAGGUGGAGUUCAGACUUGAGAAGCAUAAUGUCUUCCCCUGGUAGCUGGUCCUGUAACAAGAAAUAUCUGUUUCAGGUACCAAACACAAACCUUUUCUUUGUGCUUGUUCUGAAAUGAGUGCAAUUGUUUUGGCUAAGAACCUUGUCGCCAAAAAAGUUGUCGUGUCAAACUGCAUGGUUAUUGCUUAUAUAGUUGUAGAAGCCUGUACUGCUUCAUUUGCGUUCCUGUUAACUUGUUUUAAGUGAUUUCUGACUGACUUCAACUUACCAGGUGAUUGCUAUGGAAAUGUUGUUUUAGAACACUUAAUAGAGAAUUAUAGUGUUUCAAGGAUAUAUGUUUGUUUGCUUCUCUGGAAACAGGAUCAUUACCCAAAGUAUGUAUUCCAUUUCUUCCAACUGAAAUUUGAUGUUAACCAAGGAAUUUAGAGCAUUUUUUUUUCUAUUUUAUUUAUUUUUUUAUUUUUGUUGGUAAGUGAUAAGAUGGUAUAAUUAAUACUCAUCUCGAUCACCUUAUAAGUUUCCCUGGUAUUGAUUUAGAUAUUUAUUUUCUCUCUUCUGGUUUCAGGGGUCUUGAUGCUACACAUCCGAGAGAUGCUUUGCCUUUCUCAGCUGCGGAGAGUUUAAUGUCACGGAACAACUGAUGAGAUUAAUUACUUCAAUAACGUUAACGAUUUACCAAGCCAUUAAUAUCUGAAAUAGAAAUUCAAAAUAAAUUUUCAAUUUCAUAGACAGUACACGAUUUGAUAUCAAUCUAGCAUUUUUUUUUUUUAAUAAACUCAAAAGGGUCGGUACUACUGAUGUAAUUCUUUGCUGUAAGCUAGCAAAUAAGAAAACAGUGUCACAAUAUUUUGGUGACCGGGCCGAUGUUGCUAUGAAAUGGCCCAAUGUGGUACUAAUUCAUAUUUUAUUUUCUCCACUGAGAGCCUACAAUCAUUACAUAAAAUCACACACAAACUAAUUUUUUUUUCCAAUAUUAUUAUUAUUUUUAGUCUCAACUUGUCAAACUGUUCUUGAUUUAUGCUGUACAGUGAGAAAGAACUAGUUGGGUUUAUGAUUAUGUUGCACUAUUUCGGAAAGAUGCAGCAGAGACAGUAGAGCUAAAGUUGAAGAUGAUCAGCAGAAGACAUAGGUUGAAAAAUGAAAUCCGACUCCAGAGCAGUAGCCAGUUCUGGCCACAGGAUAGCAGACACAGUCCAAGAGCCAUCACACUUGGCACUUGGCCUUUGAUUUAUAUAACCAACUCCAGACCUCUCAAUAAUUGAACUCACUGCUCCCAGGACUGGGCUCCCAAACCCAAAGUCCAAUUCAACCACUGGAAAUCUUCUUCCUGAUGACAUCAGGACUGCUGGACCGUCUCUCCCGAGCACCACUCUUGCCGGCAUCAAUCCAGGCCUGUGGCACUCUAUCCAAUCAAUCAGGUCCAAGAAGUGAGCUUCAUUUGUCACUUUUGUUAUUGAAUCAUGAACCCUGCUGGCAAUUUCUGAUAUGGACCCUUGCUUCAGUUCUGUAACACUUGCUUCUCCAACAGCCAGAGACAAAACAUUUCCUAUGUAACUUGACAUGGGAUUUUCAUAUUUACGAAUUCUACUGCAUCCAUCAAGUAACCAAUCCAUCUUGCACUUUCCAUGUUUCUUGUCGAUGGAAGUGACCAUAAUCUUCCAUAUGUAAGCUGAGAAAGCUUCAACUUUUGUUCUUUUUUUGCCAUUCACAGAUGCUAGUUGUUGCAGCCUGCUAAUGCUUGAAGCAUCAAUGUGGUAGAAGCGCUUCAGCAAGAUGUUCGUUGGCGGAAUGUUUGAGAUCUCUUCUAUGGUGCACUUGACAAAAGUUUGAUCCAAAGAAGGAUGAUAGCUUGGCGGGAAACGUGCACGAAGGUUUCUCCGAAGAUCUGGUGAGCAUGUUAUUGGUUUUUGUUGAGCUAUUUCUGACCAUGAGACAAGAAACUUGCCGAAGGUACUUGCAUCGCCAAGUGCAUGGUCGAAACUGAAAGUAAUCGAAAUGCCUCCACAGGUGUAACUUGUCACUUGGAUUUGCAAAGGGAAGUCUGGCUGAAUAGAGACUAGCUUUCCUUGAAGAGAUUCAUUAAGGUUGUAGAAAUCGAGAUUCACUAAAGGGAUAUUGGCUUCGGCUUCUAAAACUAGCGCUCCAUUCUUGUCACAAAUGAUCUCGGGCUCGUUAGUUUGAGGAUUCUGAAUGAUUCUACCAGCAAAAGGGUAGUAAAAAUUCAGAGUUUUAGCAAGGGAGAUUCUCAGGGUCUGGAUGAUUAAGGGAUAGUUUUUGCCAAAAGGCCUGCAGUAGAAGUAGAAGUAUGUGACUGGAAAACGGCCGGAAAGUAGGUCAAGGUUUGAGAGUUGAAGGGUAUGAGGCUCUGGCAAGGGACCCAUAGCUUUGACAAUACUUUUUCCAGUGGGUUUUACUUCAAGUUUUCCAUCUGCUGAAGCCUGCAGUAAUUCCAUUGGAUUGUUGCCAAAACGUUUGUGUCAUAUAGCAAAGCUCAAGUGUAUGAUAUUUCAUCAAUUAGAGAUACAUUUAUAUAGUGAAGUGAUUUUAUUACUUUUUGGCAUCAGCAAGCACUUGGCAAGUUUGGGUCGUCGAGUUUGGUUGACAACAUGAUAGUGGAAUGAAAGUUGUUGAUCUGGGAAUCACUUUUGGUUUUAAAAUUGAACCACCUUUUCUUUGCAUAUUGGAAGACAAUGCUAGAUGUAAUAGAGUGACUCAUUAUUUAAAAAAAAAAAACUCAUCCCAUUAUCUCAGCAUGUUAAGGUGGUAAGACAUGAGAUGACUAGUAAAAUUGUGUGUUUUAAACUGAGAUCCAUUAACUACUUUAAUUAUAAAUUUAGUGGGUCUCACUUUGGAUCUUACUGAUAAUCUCAUUAUAGGUCCACUGCUCUAUCACAUACUAGAGUAAUAUUAAACCGUCAUAUUUCCACCCUAUUGUUAUAAGGAGACAGUAAAACCAUUUUUUACAUAUUUCUUUCAUUGCUUCCCAACCCUAACAUGUAUAAGAGCACAUUAUAAUUGCAACAAAUUUUCAAGGAUAAACCAAUCAAAUAAUGGAGUUUGGGAGAAGAGAAUCCCACUUGUUGAUAUGGUCCAAAGUAUGCAUUAUCAUAAGAAAAACAAACUGUUGGCAGUAGCAUACAUGGCAGCAUAUUUUGUUUGUAAAGAUUCUCAUUGUAAAACAAAAUUAAAGAGUCCACAAACAAUCAAAAUCUUGCGAUAUACUUAAGUGGAUCUUUGGUGACAAAGAGUGGUACAUGUCAUUAUAAUCAAGAUUUUUGUUGGGGUUUGCUGAAAGCAUGAAACUAUAUAUACCCACUAACAUCUUGUCAACACUAGUAUUUACACUGUAUUGAUCAUCGUCACAAUGCAGUUCAAUAGUUGACGAGAGAACAAAUUUUACGGAAGGGUAAUGAUACAGUCGCAAAGUAUUUUUUAUAGGAAUAAUGUUGUAUAAACUAAUAUGAUAUCAUUUAUUAUAAUUGGUUGAAUUAAAAAUAUUAUAUGACUCAAAUGAUUUUUUUAUUUUUUAUUUUCAAUCGACUAAUCAGAUUAUUCCACAUCAAAUUAUAUAAGAUUGUUUCUUCACAAUUUCUCUAUAUAAAAUAUUGUCGAGUGUGGUUUCAUUUUAUUGCGAUGAUGUCCCCAUUGCUGAGUUUCGGUUCCCGUUAUAGGUUGUUGCAGAAUUAUGUAUGCACCCAAGGCCCAAGGGUUGGUUUCGGUAGUCUAGGCGAGCUGGGCUGUGCUCAUACAUUCUUGUGUUUAAAGAAAGAUUGGUGAUGUGUGAUCCUGCAGUAUAUUUCAUUAGCCCAUUUUUUAAUUAUGUUAUUUAUUCUAAAAUUAUUCUUACGAAAAAAUAAAAAAUAUUUAAAAAAAUUCACUCUCAAUCUCUCAACCGAUUAACUUCUCAUUUCUCUCAAUUUUCUUUUAAUUGAUUCAAAAUUUGAAUGAAAUAUUAAGUCAUAAUCAAAUCCCAUAUUAAAAUUAAACAAAAUCUUAGGUUAACACACAAAGAAAAACCAAUAUCAACAGUAACAAAAAAAGAAAUCACUUGUUUAUAAAAUUUAACCAAACCCAAUAUUGAAACUUGGGUGGAGUUGAUGGCUAAGCUAAAGAGAGUGGGGUGGGGGAGAGAGAUAAAAUAAAAUUAAAAACAAUUAUUUUCAACAAGGUUAAUUUUGAAAAUAAUAAGACAAACUAAAAAUUAGAGGCUAGUGAGACAAUUUAAGGGGGGUGGGGGGUCAAAUAUCAUUACUCUUAAAGAAAAUAUUAUAUCAAACCAAAUACAUAUUAUAAAUCUAAAUUAUACGAGAAAAUUCUUGAUGUUCUUGCGCAAUCCUCCUUAUUUAUUUAUAAUUCGUCAUGCAUAUAUAAAUAUUACCACAAUUAUUAAAAAAAUAUACGCGACAAGAAGUGGAUGAAAUUAAAAUGGAGAAAAUGCUCCUAAAACAUCCAAGAGAAGAAAUCAAACUACAACAAAUAACAACUUGACAGCCAUGGAGAUAUCUCUCCUGCGCUCCUUUACAAUAUUCUUUACCACUAAUAUUGGUUCGGGCAAGGAAAUGACAGAAACGCCUGGGCGUGUUCGCUAAUAAGAGACAAGUCAUUUUUUCACUUUGAAAUUUUUAUUUAUCAAUCUGAUUGCAUGUAGAAAGUGGAAAAAACGACAGCCACAUCCUGCAUUAUCCAUUGGCUCCCAUAUGAGACUUGAGCUUGAUCAUCUCCAUAAUGGAAAAUAUUUGAGCAACCAUAUGUUACAAACUAAUCUUACUUGAUUGAUUGAUACAUUCUUCAUGUGAUCGCACAUGCAUUUGUUGUUCAUAAAUUUGUGCCCUAACCCGGCUUUCAUAAAAUAAUCCAUGGUACCUUUCUCACGUUUGGAACCUACUAGAAUUCCCCCACACUUAAUAUUUUUCACUUGUGCAUUGUUCAUAUCCAUUAGUGUAACAUGUGGAUUGUGGCUUCAAAAAAGCUAGGAUGUAAAGCUUUGAUACUAUAUAUAGGCUAUGCAAUUACAUUAAUUACCAAAAAGUCGAAUAUGACGUUACAAAGUACACAAUCAUGCAAGGAAAAUGUGGUCCCAUAUGUCACAUGUUAAAGUACUGUAGUGCAUUCAUUUCCAUUCUUCAAAUCCUUUGAUCAUCCAUUAUUUAAGCCAUGAAGCAGUGGUGGCAUUUCACAAAUCCUGCUUGAGAGAUCUAAGCCAUUGCCUUUCCUAACAGGCUGAUUCAUCAUCAUCAUCCUUAGCUUCCAUGGCAACCCAAAUUGCGACCUUGUCAUCAAGAUUAAUCCAGCACCCUAAAACCAAAGGGUCCAAGAAAAUCUGGCCGACAACGUCACAUCAGCAUUCUGAGCGCUGGACUCAUCAUAAUUCGGAUCAAAUUAAUGAUGAUCAUGUGAAGGGAAAGAAGAUGAAGCGGAAGCCAAAACACUGGGCACAAGAGCGUUCCAGAUUAGGGUUUUGGUACGUGACAACAUCUAUAAGAUACAUACUAAGGAAGGCAAGAGCCUUUUACAAUGAGUUCUGCAGCGAGAAGUACGAUGAUAAUCCAAAAAUGUUCAAACAAGUAAUGAUUGCUGACCCUUAUUUCUCAAUCCCAGUGAUCCCCCCUCCAAUGUAAAUUAACAUUAGUUAUGUCAAAAAUUCGAAGUUAUAUAUGAUUAUGAGUUAAUUAAGCCAAGGUAAUGUUUGAAAAUAAUAUCGAGCGUACCUAAUUUGAACUAUAUCUAAAAGUGUUAUGCUGCAAUAAUGCAAGAAAUCACACCCAGUGAUACUCUAUAUGAUAAAAGUUUGUAUGUACUAAUAUUCAUUCAAUCCAAUUUGUCAAUUGCACACNNNNNNNNNNNNNNNNNNNNNNNNNNNNNNNNNNNNNNNNNNNNNNNNNNNNNNNNNNNNNNNNNNNNNNNNNNNNNNNNNNNNNNNNNNNNNNNNNNNNNNNNNNNNNNNNNNNNNNNNNNNNNNNNNNNNNNNNNNNNNNNNNNNNNNNNNNNNNNNNNNNNNNNNNNNNNNNNNNNNNNNNNNNNNNNNNNNNNNNNNNNNNNNNNNNNNNNNNNNNNNNNNNNNNNNNNNNNNNNNNNNNNNNNNNNNNNNNNNNNNNNNNNNNNNNNNNNNNNNNNNNNNNNNNNNNNNNNNNNNNNNNNNNNNNNNNNNNNNNNNNNNNNNNNNNNNNNNNNNNNNNNNNNNNNNNNNNNNNNNNNNNNNNNNNNNNNNNNNNNNNNNNNNNNNNNNNNNNNNNNNNNNNNNNNNNNNNNNNNNNNNNNNNNNNNNNNNNNNNNNNNNNNNNNNNNNNNNNNNNNNNNNNNNNNNNNNNNNNNNNNNNNNNNNNNNNNNNNNNNNAAUUUAUGUACUAUAAUAUUUGGAAACACUCAAAACGCCAAACGGGCCUACAAAAUUUUUUAAAUUCAUUCAAAAUUCAACUAAGUUAAUCUAUGUCACAUCCUCUUAAAGUUACGAAAAGGUGGUACUACCACAAGAAAUGGCCUCCAUAUAUUUCAAUUCAAUGGCUGCCUUCUAGAGUUUUACAUUUCUAUUUAUAGUUAUGGGUUAAACGAUUCAUAUUGGUGCUUGUUUUCCAAUUUGAUGUUUAAUCUGUUUUCAUUACUACUAUCAAAAUAAGUAUCAAAUUUCCACCACACAAAAAGAAUCCAUAUGAUAACGUCAUAUAAGGACCACCAGAGACAUCAUAUAUUUUCUCGAAGUACUUCAAUUUAUAGUAUAGAGCAAAGUCGGCCGACCGGAUUGAAUGUCGGUGAGGGUAUUCUUUUCUUGGAAAUUAAAAACGCAUUUGAUUUUACAUCGAAAAGGUUAGGGAUCUAGUCGAUCUAGUCCUAGCUUGAAUAUCGUAUCACUCAUUUAUUAAAUAAUAAAAUUUAUAACUUAUAAAAUACUUAAAUAUCAUUUAAUUGAUGAAUGUGACAUCAAUUGGAAUUAAAUUAGAAAUUAAAUAUUAAGAUACUUAGCAUUGCUCCUAUAUUUGUGGGUGAUUGACGGUUAAUAAAUUAAUAAUAGAUAAGGAAGAUGUAUGACAUAAUAAAAGAGCUUUCAACAUUUCAAUCUAUGUGGGAUUUAUCUAUAAAAUGGUAGUUAGAAUAGAGUAAUAAAUAAUUUUGCAAAAUAACGAAUUUAAUCAUCCAAUAGAGAAGUAUCACAUAAUAUUUAGGUUAAAAUGCAAUAAUAAAUGGAAAUUAUAGUAUUAUUAUUUUCAAAACUCACCGGCGGAUCGAAAUCUAAAAACUCGGUACUUUAAAUAUUUUCCCGGGAAAAAAAAUACAGCUAAUAGACUGGAGUAAAAGGAAAUCGUUGCUAAUGAUCACAAUUUGUCAACCCUUACAAUAUUUUUGAAGACUAGAAUUAACUAUAUCAAUGGCAAGAAAAAUAAUAUCGGUAUGAGUUUGCACUCUUUCUUCAAAAUCUUCACCUACUAAAAAAAAUUGAAAUAAUAACAAGUUUGGUCUUUUACACUAUUAAUUUUGAUCUAUCAUUUUUCACUGGCAGGCUUAAUUCCAUGAGAUCGCCAAGAUAUGUCUUUACUAGCUAGCAAUGGAUGAUGUGCCCCACCAUUAAUUGGAAAAGAACCUUUGAAUAUCCUGGUCACAAAGACCAGCAGAGAGCAAUCUCCUUCCCCUACAAGAAAGUAAUUUUAACUUUCAGCUGUGCAAUUUGUUGUUAGCCCUGCCCUAAGAGGUUUUCAAGAAAUUUAUUUAGUUGGUUAUUCUAGUUCAAGUCAUGACAGAGAUAGGGAAUUAAACGAUUAAUUUAAAUUCUACCCACCCCUCUACCUUAAUAAAUAAAUAAAUAAAUUGAUUGCUAACCCGAUUGUGUCAAAGAAAUGUCACUUCCUCCUACCUAACAUAGAUGACAGCCCAAGAUAAGUGUCAUGGCAGGAAACUCCUUGCAAAGAAUGAAAGAAAAAUCACUCUCUCUUAUUCCCUUAGGGUGCGUUUGGCACACUGUAUUGUAUUAUGUUGUAUUGUAUUAUUUUAAUGCUGGUGUAUUGUAUUAUGCUGUAUUGCAUUAGCACUGUAUUAUAAUAAUGUUAUACAAUGUUUGGUGUUACACUGUACUGUAUUAUUAUUUUUAAUUAAUUUAAUUUAAAUUUUAUAUUUUAUUAAUAUAUUUAAAUUACAUUAAUAUUUUAUGUUAUUAUUUAUAUUAUUAUUAAUUUUAAAUUAAUAGUAUUUAAAUAUUUAUUAUUAGUUAUAUUAUAUUAUAAAUUUAUUAAUAAAUUAUAAUAUAAAAAUAAAAAUAUAAUAUAAUAUUAUUGAAUAAAAAAGUAUAUAUUUAUUAAUUUAUAUUAAAUUAUAAUUUAAAAAUAAAAAUAUUAUAUAAUAUUAUAUUAAAUUAAAAAGUUAUCUUUAUUUUUUAUUAUUAUUAUAAAUAAAAACAAAAGUUAAAACAAAAAGUAAUUGAAAAAGAAAGAAGAAGGUAAAAAAAAAAAGAAACGCAAGCAGCAAGCUGCCAAGGAAAAGAGAAAAAAAAAGGAAAAAGGAAAGCUUAAUGCGGCAACUGCCGCAUUAAGCAAACCCGACUCACAGUCGGGUUUGGCUAAUGCGGCAGUUGCCGCAUUAUCUACAGUACUCUAAUACCAUGUGAUAUUUUCCCAAACAUGGUAUUGGUAUUAAUUUAAUGUAAAUAGUAAUUUAAUACCCCUUUAAUACUAUAAACAAACACACCCUUAUAGUUUUUGGGCUAGCUAGCAGAAAGGAUUUCUCAUUGGUAAAGAGUUGAUCUGAUGCAUCGGAGAAAUUAUCAAAGAAUAUUUUUUUCCCUCAAUUAACUGGCUUCAUCAAAUGUUCCCUGAAAAGACCAAACUGUCAUCUGCAAAAUAUAAAUGAGAGUAGAUGGCACGUAGAGACAAAAUUUAAACCCAUGAAUUUCCAUUUUCUGCUUUAUUACACGGUGACUUUUUCUUGUGCUGAAAUCAAACCUUAAAUCGUGCUGGUUCCUAAGAUCAACCACCCUAAAAAUGCAUCAGAUUAUAGGCCAAUUAGCCUAUGCAAGGUUAUUUAUAAAAUCGAUGUAAAGCCUUUUGCAAACAUAUUAAAUAAGAUUCAAAUGAAUAGGAAGUUGUAAGGACAUGUAAUCACUAAUCAUCUAACAUCAUUAAAGAUAGUUGUCUUGAUUCAUUUCAACAACUAAGACUAUUGGGAUCAUACGUAUAUAAUUACAUUAUAAUCCAAACAUUUCAUAAUCUGACAGGGCCAUGCAUAUCAACAUAGCUCCACCUCUGAUGCUGUCAUCAGUUGGAAAAGCUUAUUUCGCAAAAAUUAAAUGAAUCCUUUCCAGAUUAGACAGAAUACUAAGGAACAAAAUUUUCUUAUAACGUUACACUUAUCACUAUUGGUUGAUCAAAAGUAGUCAGUAAUUUUAUUGGUAAUGAAAUUUACAAUUACAUAGGUGAGUGCCAUCUAGCUAGUGCUGCUGCUAGCCUCAAAAUCCCUUCUUUGAUAGCACCGCAGCCACAAUUUUCAAAGGCUUGGGUCCCCCUUCUGCUCCAUGUGGUCUCUGUUUCUUAAGCCUCUUCUCUUCAUUUUUGGAUGCCAAACAUCUCCUUUUAUAGCCAAUUAAGUCUGCUGCCUCUCCUUAUUUUCGCUGCCAAGCUUCCCCUUUGAUUAGCCAAUUGUUUGGAGGCCACACGAAUUUCUACAGGAGGCGAUGUGUUAUGCAAGACUCCUUUGAGGACUACAGAUUUAUUAUCAAUUUUACCCGCCACAUGUCAUCAAUUUAGAUCAAACUAAAAUACAAUAAAAAGUAAUUUUAUUAAGUUCAAUUAAUUAACCUGUUUGAUUUUAAAAGCAAAACACAAAAAGAUGUGACUUUUCUCUAGUUCAAACUGUCUCAUUUUGCAAAGCCACGAAACCCACAUAAUUUUUUUUCUCUUUUUAGUUACAAGAAAUAAUGGCGGAAGGUUAUUGGCGACAGCUCUCCUGGGGAUCAGGAGCUUGACAGAAUGUUUUGAUCUUUUUUGUGACAUAUCAAAUCACAAUUUUGUUUUUUCACUGAUAUUUGUCAGAUUUGAUUCAGAACAUGUACGCUUACGAAGCAAGGUCCAUUUUCAUUAUAUGCACUGGGUUAUAUAACUUACAGCAUGAAACGACAGGAUCAUAAAGCAGUGACUAGGUGACGCUGUGACAGCUCUGAUGAGGAUCAGGAGCUUGACAGAAGAAAGUAUUAGGCUGCAAGAUAGGGAUAGGAGCACUGUUACCCCAUGAAUUAUAUAACGUUAAAACAAAGGGUCCUCUUUCCAUGAAAAUAUAUACAAGCAAAUUCUGUUUUUCUUUCUCACUCAUCAGGGUCAGCCAUUGUUUAGUUUAUUGACUUUGGCUUUGAAUUUUAUCUAUUUUAAUGAUAACGCAAAAGUUGGCUGCUGCCUCGAGUUUGAAAUCAAUUAAUUUACUUACAGCCUGCUAACGUAUUCCCUUAUAGUUUUUGGGCUGGAUAGCAGAAAGGAUUUCUCAUUGGUAAAGAGUUGCUCUGAUGCAUUGGAGAAAUUAUCAAAGAAUAUUUUUUUUCCCCUCAAUUAACUGGCUUCAUCAAUUGUUCCCUGAAAAGACCAAACUGUCAUCUGCAAAUAUAAAUGAGAAUAGAUGGCACGUAGAGACAAAAUUUAAACCCAUGAAUUUCCAUUUUCUGCUUUAUUACACAGUGACUUUUCUAGUGCUGAAAUCAAACCUUAAAUAGUGCUGGUUCCUAAGAUCAACCACCCUAAAAAUGCAUCAGAUUAUAGGCCAAUUAGCCUAUGCAAGGUUAUUCAUAAAAUCAAUGUAAAGCCUAUUGCAAAUAUAUUAAAUAAGAUUCAAAUAAAUAGAAGUUGUGAGGACCAGUAAUCACUAAUUAUCUAACGUCAUUAAAGAUGGUUGUCUUGAUUCAUUUCAACAACCAAAACUAUUACGAUCAUACGUAUAUAAUUGCAUUAUAAUCCAAUAUAAAAUGUUUGCGACAGCUUCAUAAUCUGACAGGGCCAUGCAUAUAAACAUAGCUCCGCCCUCUGAUGUUGUCAUCAGUUGGAAAAGCUUAUUUCGCAACAAUACAUUUGAUGAUUACAUACUGUCCUAAAAAUUUUAUCUCCAAUCUGAAAAUUCAGUAUAUAGUUUAUUGAAUUUGGCUUUGAAUUUUAUCUAUUUUAAUGAUAACGCAAAAGUUGCCUACUGCCUCGAGUUUGAAAUCAAUUAAUUUACUUACAGACUUCUAACGUAUUUUUCUUAGGAUGUAUUGUCAUGUCAAGGGUUUCCAUUUCCAACGGAAAAAAUAAAGAAAAAGAAAGAAAUGGAAUUGUUUUCUAACACCAAAAAGGAUAAUUUCAAAUAACUCCCAUUAGCAAAAAGCCAAAAACUGAAUAUAUUAGUUUGCAUCGACUCACUGCAUGCAUCACCAUUCAGCAAGCCAACAUUUUAAUCACUGAAUGCCACCAAAAUAGAUACACUGAUUAGCUUUAACCUAAAUAAAUAAAAUUGAAUAAAGUCAGAAAGUCCUAAUAACCGAUUAACUUAUAUUUUUCAGAUUUGAUUCAGAAUAUACAUGUUUAGAAGACGAAGAAACUAAAUGGGAAGUUGAUUCUUUAGCUCUUUCGAAUAAUGUUUAAUAUUUAUUAUUAUUUUUUAAACUCAACUAAGUUACCACAAUACCAUCAAAAGAAGUUAAAACAAAAAUAAAGAAAAAGAAAGAAAUGGAAGUGUUUUCUAUCACCAAACGAAAAAGAUAAUUUCAAGUAACUCCCAUUAGCAAAAAGCCAAAAACUGAAUAUAUUAGUUUGCAUCGACUCACUGCAUCACCUUUCAGCAAGCAAACAUUGCAACCACUCAAUGCCACCAAAAGAAACACGCUGAUUAGCUUUAGCCUCUGCCUCUCCCCAAUCUUUUUCAUACCGUAGUAUUUUCUUGUAAUCAAAUGAAUACUCAAGUUGUUUGUGGCGUUGUGUUCUUAAUUGGUUUUUUAUGCGCAUUUAUUAGAACUUUUGUUGAAUAUCAUGGUUUUGUAGAUGGUGUUCUCGUUCCAGCAGCUUCCAUGCUUAUUGUGAGCAUGUUGACAGUUGCUGGAACAUUUCGUAUUAGGAAUGAAGUGAUUGCAUAUGCACUAACUUUAGCAUUCACUUUGCAUCAAAUUUUUAUACAUUUCUUUGUGGAAUUUAAUACCGUUUGGAUUGAAUCAUCCGCAAUAUUCUCAGUAGGAGCCAUCUUUGGAAUCAGAGGCUUUGGUUGCUGGAUGCAAGACCGAGAAAAUAGGGUAGCUGCUGGAGGAGAAGGUGCUGGUGGCGCUAAUGAAGAAGCAGUUCAACAAAUAGAAGGCAGGAUCAGAGAAGCGAUGAAGUUCAUAAUUUUUAACUAUAUAGCUGCAUUUUGCAUCGCAUUAAUUUCUAUGAUUUUGAAUAUUAAGUGUAUUAGAAUUGAAAAAAAUCAUAAGGAUAACACUGAUAAAAUUCUUAAAAUGGUUAACUCUGAUCAAAGCAAGUAUAAUAUUCCGAUUCUGAUAUGUUUAGCAGUUCCUUCUGUUAUUGGCCAUAUACCGCUUUACUGGGAACGAACGUUGCAUUUCUUGGUACGUUAGAAUACUAUUUAAAUUUUUUUAUUACAUAUCUAAUAAUCAUUAUUAAUAUAUUAUUAAUAUUUUUUUAGGCCUGGUGCAAUACUCAAAGCCAAGUGUUUCAGGGCUGGAGUAAUAACAGAUGGGAACUGUUUCAGGCCUGGCAAAAUGCCCAAAUGCAACACUUCCAGAAUUGGUGGAAUAUGCAGAUACAAAAUAUUCAAAACUGCUGGGUAGGAAUUGGAAAUUGGUGGAAUAUCUGGAUGCAUGAUGUUCAAAACUGCUGGCCAGGACUUGGAAAUUGUUGGAAUGUGCAAUCUAGCGUAAGGAGAAGCACUGGCGACGAAGAACGUGGAGAAGAAGAAAGUGCUGGUGUUGUGGUGGAAUUAGAACAUGUGGGGACGCGUGCUGGUGGUGUGGUGGAACCGGAACAGGUUCAGGUGAUGACUGAUAAUUAAUUUGGGGUUCAUCUUGGUUUCAGAUUUGAUUUCUCCUUUUUAGCUUUUUUACUUUUUUUUAAGCUUUCUGAUGCUGUAUUUUGAUGCUUUUUUACCUUUAAUUAAAUGAGAUAACUAUUAGCAAAUCACAAUUUGGCUCCAAUUGAUGUAAUGAUUGUCUUGAAGCUCGUUCACUUUUGUAUGAAACGAGACCUAAAUGAAACAAGCCAAGACUGCCUUUCUCUUCAAUAUCCUUGAUGGUAAUAUCUCUGGAAGCAGCAAAUUGAUGGGUAAUCAUCAUGGUCCCUUAAAUAAAGGUCUACAAACUCAAUGAUAUUAUCUUCUACAAAUGGUUCGUUAGCCGUAUUAGUUAUAUUGUCAAUGUACGCUAAGGACAACAUAAAGCUCUGCAACUGUAGCAUGGUAAUAAGUGAGUUGCCAGGGCGUGAACGAGAAAAGUUAAAUAAUGUCUCCCUGGCUAUGCCAGCUAGUACGGUAGGGUUAAGAUAAGAGCCUGAGAUACUAUAACUUUCAGAAGUUAUUGACUGCAAAUUAAAAUGUCUAUUCAAGGAUGUUCGAUGCCUCUAAUUAACUUCCCAUUUGCUAUCAAUUUUACCCGCCAUGUGUCAUAAUUUUAGAUAGAACUAAAGUACAAUGAAAAAUAAUUUUAUUAAAUUCGAUUAAUUAACUUGCUUGACUUUAAAGAGAGACAAAACCCAAAAAAUUAAAUUUUUAUAAGUUCAAACUGUUUCAUUUUACAAAGCAACAAACCCAUAUAAUUUUAUUUUUCAAAUUAAGUUAUAGCUCUUUAAAAUAAUGUUUAAUAUUUAUGACUUUUUUUUUAAUUCAACUAAUUACCACAAUACCAUUGAAAGAAAUUAAAAAAAAGGAAGAAAGAGAAAUACGGUGGCGUAUUUGAUGAUUACAAACUGUCCUUAAAAUUUGGUGUCCAAUAAGAAAAAAUUUGGACAUAAAUCUUGCUGGAUCAAUCCUUAAUUGGAAACAAAAUUUAAAAUAUAGCACUUAAAGGAAAAAAAAAAGAGAGAUUUUGAAUUUAAGAGAAACAUAGAAAUCAAAAUUUAAUGAAGCUACGUCUAAUAAAUUUGACUCCUUUAUAAUCAUAAGUAAAAUUUUAAUUUUUAAUUUUUGAUUGACGAUUGUUUAUCCACUUGUUAGAUGAUUGAUGAUGGUUCUUCAGAAAGUCUUAUGGUAAAGGUAGAGUCUAUGACGCCAUUAACGGUGGUCAUAUGAUAUAAACUUGAAAUCGUGUAAUAAACUAAUAAUUGGGUAAAACAAAUAUUUUUUUGGCAAUAUAAAUUCAAUAAAUUUUUUUUUAGCAAUAAGUUAGCUUGCAGUAAAUGAAUGAAUAGGAAAAUAAUAGGUUAAAUCUCUAUUUGACUUGUAAAUAUUUAAUCCAUAUUGUAUAUGUAGGGAUGGCAAUGGAUUGGAUUUGAUCCAAGAUCCAUGUGAUCCAAAUCCAAUCGGAUCGGAUUUGGAUCGGUUUAAAAUGGAUUUGGAUCGGAUUUGGAUAUCGAUGUGCGGAUCUAAGACGGAUCUGGAGCAGAUAUGGAUCUAUCUUAAUAUCUAAAUCCAUAUCCAUAUCCACUCAUCUUUUAAUUUUAUUUUAUUUUAAAAGUUUCUUAAUAAUUGUGGAAUGAUAAUAUGAUAAUAAAUUUUAUUCAUAGCAUAUAUAGUAGUAUUUACCAUGUAUUUAAACUCUUAAAACUUAAAGGUUAGUUUUGUAAAUUUAAAGGUCAGCCAGCCUCAAAGCAUGUACAUGCAAUAUUCAAAUUGCAAUCCAAAUAAUAUAACCUGGUAAUUUAUUUUAUCAUAUUGGCCAAAUAAUUUUUAAGGAAUACAAUUAUUCAUAUAUUUAGUCAAAUAUGGUCAUAAUAAAAAUAAUAAAGGACUGAAUAUAAAUCAUAUUUAAUUUAUAUGUCAUUAUUUAAUGUUGUAGGAAUGAGAGUAGGUGUAUCGUGGAUAUUAGAAUGAUGAAAGAGAUAAUAGAAUAUUAGAUUGAUCUUACUCCUGCAAUUACUUCUAAAUGAUAUUUUAUUAUCUUUCUUAUUUGUUGUUUUGGUAUAGAAGUAUAAGCUACAAUAUUUAUUAUAUUUUUGAGAAAAAUUAUAUAAUUUAUUUGUUAUCAAUACAUUUUAGCCUUCAAUUUUCAAUCUAAAAAAUUAUUACUUUUUUAUUACAGAAUUUUAGAAUUCAUGACGGAUCUAGAGCAGAUUUGGAUUUUAAUUUUUUUUCGGAUUUGGAGCGGAUAUAGAUAUUUAUUUCUUUUUUGGAUCUGGAUAUGGAGCGAAAAAUAUGGAUUCAUAACGGAUCUGGAGCAGAUACGGAUCUUGAUUUUUAUUAUGGAUUUAGAUCUGGAGCAGAGUAGAUCCAACCCAUAUCUGCCCCAUUGCCAUCCCUAUGUAUAUGUAAUUAGUCCAACUCAUGGUGCAUUAUUCAUAUAUAUAUUUCAAUAUUUGGGCUCCUAUAAACUCAAAAACAGUUACUCAUAAUUGUCUUAAAGCUCAUUUACCUUUAUAUGAAACAAGCCAAGACUGCCUUUCUCUUCAUUAUCGUUGAUGACAACAUCUUUAGAAGCAGAAAAUUGACAGGUAGUUAUCAUGGAAUCCCUUAAAGAGAGGUCUAUAAACUCAAUGAUAUUAUCUUCUACAAAUGGUUCAUUAGACUUCUUAGUUAUAUUGUCAAUGUACACUAAGGACAACGAGAAGCCCUGCAAAUGUAGCAUAUUGAUAAGUGAGUUCCCAGGACUUGAACGAGAAAAAUUAAAUAAUGUCUCCCUGGCUAUGCCAGCUCGUACGUUAGGGUUAAGAUUAGAGAUUGGGAUACUAUAACUAUCAGCAGUUAUUGACUGCAAAUUAAAAUGUUCGUUCAAGCAUGUUGGGUGAAUCCUCUAAUUAACUUGGAAUGGACUCGAUAGGGAGUUAUGAAGGAUGAGGUACCUUGAUGCUAAUUAAUGUCGUCCGAGAUCCCAGGAAAGUGCAAUGUCCUGCUUGAUGCUAAUGUGGUCAAUGCAACUGAAACCUUCUAUCUGACGUCACCUUAAAUGCAACAUAAUCACCUCAAAUUGGGCUCUGAGUGUUUCUCACAUGCUGUUUUGAGAGAUCUGAAUUCUAUGCACCAUAACAUGAUCAAUGAAAUGGAUUGUAGGACUGGAAAGGUCUGUGGCGGCCACGUUUGGUGUGUUUUUAUUAUCUUAAUUUGUAGGCAAUCCCUGCUUCCUCAAGGUUUGAAACGUAGAUGUUCUUAUACAUUGUCACAUUAUGUGUGGCUGGUAAUCUUGUUUUGAUCAAUAGGAUACAACAUUACACAUAUAUCAUCAUUCAUCCAAAACUUUCUAGCAAAAGUUUGUCAUUGAAAGUUCAUGGCACUACAACAGAAACGAUUUUUAACCGCAGAAAAAAUCUGCCGUCAAAUAGUUAAGAUGGUAUUAAUGGAUGCACUAUUGAGGUCCUGUUUGAGAUUGAGAUGCUGUAUCUUUUAAGGUACAGUUGUUGUGAAAAAAAAUUAUAAUUAUAAAAUAAAAGUUACUAAUACGUCGCAAAUAUAAAUUUUAAAUAAUAAUUUUGGUAAAAUUAUUAAAAAUAUAAUAGAUUUUUCACUAUACAAGUAAAAAAUUAUAUCAAUAAAACUUUCAAAUUAUAAUAGAUAGUGUUUACCAAAUACUUUAGGGUGUGUUUGGUUGAAGGAUUAAAAGUGGGGAUUGGAAUCUUUUUUUUUUUUUAAAUUUAUCCUAGUCUCAUAUUUGGUGCUUUCAAGAGUAUUAGAAUUUAGUUAUCUUAGGCCCACAAGUUAAUCUCAAUUUUGUAAAACAAAUUAUCCCAAGGGGGGGUCAUGGGAUUAGUUAGUAUUCGAUUAUAUUGAUAACUCAAUUAAACAUAAUAAUUUAUAAAUAUUUAAAUUAUAGUAAUACGUGAUAAAUGUAAUAAAAAAUAUUGAUUUUAAUAAUGUAAAUAAUAAAUUAUACUAAAAUCAUUAUUAAUUUUACAUUAAAUUAAAAUUCUAUUUUAAUUUAUUUAAAUAUUCAAUAUUUUUAUAAUUUCAAAUUUACAUUAUAAAUUAAUUAUUAAAUUAAUAUUAAAAAAUAUACAUUUUUAUAAAAUAAUAGAUUAGUGAAUAAAAAAAUCUCAUAAAUAUAUUUAAAAAAUAAAAAUUAUUUAAACUAUGAUUUAUAUUUCAUUAAUAUCAUUAAGGUUGAUUUGUAUAACUAAUAAUACAAAAUCUUAGUUUAUAAUAAUAAUAAUAAUAAUAAUAACAACAACAACUUUUAAAUUGUAAUAUUAUAAUAUAAGAUAUGAUUAUUUAUAUUCCAAUCCAAUAUUGCACCAAACACAACAUAGUAUUAUAAGUAAUCCAAUAUUAUCCAAUCUGAUCUGAUUCAAUCCAAUCCAAUUCGGCAUACCAAAUGAGCCCUUAGUGCUGUAGCUUUUAAAUUAUAGUUGUUUAACUUCAAUCGCAAACGCACCCUAAUUCGUGAGCCUAUAAAGUCAUUUAGUUUUUACAGCAUAGAUUUAAUGCUGUAAACAUCGUCGUUAAAAGUAGUAGACGACAAAGAUUGUUGCCAUUGAUGGUCAGUUUAACGACAGCAAUUGCUCUCCAGCCAUAAUUAAAAUAGUGAAUUCUAUUUGCAAUCUAACGACACACAUUACUUUGCUAAAUAAUAAUCUAAAAUGGUAGAGUGAAAUUGCCGUGGAUUUACUAUUGUUUUUUUAAAAGUUUUUUUUAAAUAUUUAUAUGUCACAUGCCUCAUCUAAUAAAAAUGAAUAAAAUAUCCAAUAAUAAAAAUUUAAUUACAACAAAUCACCUUUGUCCAAUAAAAAAAGAAAAAUGUUACAAAACACGAAGCCUUCCUUUUGCACCUAAAUGCUAAAUUCGUUUGCCUCCCAGAAUCAUUCUUGUUCGUAGCUUUAAAUCACUGCAAAAAUAACAAGACAAAUGUUAAAAUCUAGAGAAAACAAACGAAAUGUAUGUAAUUAAAUAAAUUUUCAUUAUUCUAUUGAAAACUAACUUUUGUAUGUAUACAUGUUUCCAAGAAAUGAAUUAAUGUAUGUAAUUAAGAAUGUAUGUAAUUAAAUCUUUCAUUCUUUCUUCAUCAUAGAACUAGGCCAAUUACAAUAAUUAAUAAUUAUUAUAAUUAUUUCCAAUUAGUUGCCAUCACUUGUUCGACCCCGAUGCAUAGGAUUUAUCCAAUUAUAAGAUCUAAUAUUACUAAGCACAACGUUGCCCAAAAAGAAUUUUAUUUAAUAGAAUGUAUCCGCCGCACUUAUUUACCAGUUAUUAAGAAUUAAAAUUAUAAAAUCAUGAUCACCAUUCACCAGUUAGAGUUAAUAAACUUUACCAGUAAAGCAUCAACCUAACAAAAAUAAGAAAUGAGAGAUUAAUGCUCCAUCAACAUACAGAUAUAAGAAUAUAAAAGAUUAAAAGAAUUAUUGAAGACACGCAUGAGCUAAAAGAUCAAGUAAUAUACAUGUUUAUUGCCCAUAAGAAUGAAACAAGUACUUACAUAAGAAAAGCCCCAAAUUGCUUGAUACAUCCAAGUGCUCAAAGGGAUCAUAUAGUUCGAAAAACUGAAAAAAUAAUUAAAGAUAACAUACAAGUCAUAAUACAUUCAUGUAACUUUAAUAUGCAAAUUUCCUUGAAAGAAAAAAAAAAGCCAAAUUUUAUGCCUUUAUGAAGAUUUAUAUCACAAGAAAUGCAAUGAGGGCAUAACUGCAGUAGCUACAAUGGGGACUCAUUUUAUAAUAUGCAUAAUCAAAAGAAUCUAACUUUUGUGUGAUGAAAUUAAAUAUUUUAAAAAAUAUAUCAUUUUCUAGUUUGCGUACUUUUCUUGCUCGUAGGGCCUCAACUCUGACUAAACAAAGCUUGUUUGUUAAGAAUUAGGCAUUCUUUUUCAAUCACAAUAAAAAAUGAACAAUAAUAAAAUUAAGUAAUGAUACAACCACAAACUCUUGUAUAAACUUAUUUUGUACAAACUGACGUGGCAUUAAUUCAUUGGUUGAAUAAAAAUAUAAAUUAAUAAAAACAAAUCAUGUGGGUCAAGUGAUAUUUAAUUCAACCAAUCUUAUCAUGCCGCAUCAAUUUGUACAAAAUAAAUUUAUACAAGAGUUUGUGUUUGUAUCAUUACUCAAUAAGAUUUAGGGAAUAACAUUUAUAUUAAAACGAACCCUAGAAAUAGAAUUAAUGAAACCUAACGAACGAACCCUUAAUAUGCAUAUAGAUCUCAAUGAGACGAAAACCCUAGGAAUAAUUUAAAUAAACAUCUGAUAAAAAUAAUUUCAAUUGAAAAUUUUGAAAAUGAAUUAUAAACAAAACACAAAUUGGAUCAAGGAUACUACGGACAACACAUAACUAGGUAAAUUAAAAUUCAAAAUCCAAAGAAGAAGUGAAAAUGCCUUUAAGAGUUUAGGCACAAGAAAGGAGUAGAUGUAAAUUAUUUAACAUUAGAGUGGAGCCAUAACUGCAAGGAGAGCAACGGAGAAAAACUAGAUAAUAAAGUUUGUUGAAAGUAAAAAAGGGAUUUGUAAUUUCUUUUCUAUUUUUAUUAAGCAUCGUUGUGGAUUUCUAGUUCAAUGCAAACGUAUUUAUUCUAAAAAAAGUAAGAAAAUCAACGAUAAAUAUAUUUACGCUAUUUAAAAUAGUAUAAUCAACAAAAACGAUAUCUAUGCUGUUAAAAAUGUUAUCAUCUACGGCAAAUAUUAUAUGCCGUCAAAAGUAGCUUUUACAUUUUACGGCAAUUAUAUUUUUUAUGCCGUUACAUCGAAGUCAUCUACUCAUCUUAUCUAUUGACAGCACGUAAUAAAAGCAUGCUGCUGCUAAUUUUUUCAAUGGCACAUAUUUUAGACAUGCUGUCUUUGUUAACUUUUAAUGGCAUUGCAUGUUGAGUUCUGCUAUUUGAACUUCGCGAAGACAAAAGAACGACAGAAAAAAUAUGUGCGUGUGUGCCCCCACCAAAACACGUCAGCGACCUUUACAUGCUUCUUUGCUUUUCCUUUCUUCUUCCAUCAUUCACUCCACCUCUCUCUCUGUCUCACUAAACAAUGACUCGUUGAUGCCCUGAAACGUACACCAAAGGUAGCUAGCUGCUUCAAGCUCAUACAUCAAUGGCGAAAACAACAAUAAGCAUUGGGUCGUUCUUCUACAAGUUCCUCUCUCUCUUUCUCCUCCUACUUCACUUGGGUUGCUUCAUUUUCCCAUCCAACAACAAUCCCUCACCAACAAGAAAGAAACGCAAGGCCUCUCCUCUCUCUCCAUCUCCGUACUCCCCGUCUCGCCUUAAAACUAAACCCCACAAGGCUCUCUCAUCCUCUUGGUCCUAUCUCAAACGUAUCUUCUCUAAUUCAAAGACCCUGAAACCCAGCUUGUCCCAGACUAGCUCUAUGUGACCUGGGGCAAAGCGGCAAUUCCAGCAUUUGCAAUCAGACAUAUUGCAGCGUCUGUGGGAUCAUAAAGUCGGGAUUCUCACCCAAGCUGGACGGAAUUUCCACGCUGUCGAGCAGAUGGAGAGCCCACGUGGCGAUCCCUGAGGAGAUUGAGGAGGAGUUCAAGUUCAUGAACCUGAAACGGGCAAUGUUGGUCUGCCGGGUCGUGGCGGGCCGGGUCGGGUGCGAUGCCGAUGACGAUGUGGAUAUGGCGAAGGAGAAUGGCGGGUUUGACUCGGUCGUCGGGAGGGGUGCCGGUGGGGUCAACUCAAGAGUGGACGACGAUGAGGAGCUUUUGGUCUUUAAUCCCAAGGCUGUGCUUCCUUGCUUUGUGAUUGUGUACACUGUGUAAUGACGGUGGUGUUGGGAGUGUGUGUUCUGUUAAAUCUCCUGAGAAACUUCAAUAUGCAAUCUGUAUGUACGUAACCUUAUUUUGUGACAAAGUUUUGUACUGUAAAUGUGCGGUGGCGAUGGAGUUCUGGUUGCCGGUUCUUGAUGUGGGUCCCAAUAUAUGUGCCCGUGACUGCUUGCUGUAGUUUAUUUUGUCCCACUUAGUCAAAUACAUGAUAAUCUAUCAAAUGGUGCCCGUAAAUUUUUCUCUCUUUCUUUCUUUUUCUCCCCAAAACAACUACUAAUCGUGAUCAGCACAAUGAUGGUGGUUAGUUGAGUACAACUGACCGGCAUAAUACAAUGUUCUGAAAAUCAGAAGAAGGCAGGGAGCUCGUCCGAUCAACAAUGGAGAGAUCUCGGAAGAGUAAUGUCACUUGUAAGGUUAAGAUAAAUGGUACGCAGAUAAAUUGAGGAGGAGUCUGGUAACGAACGAAGCAAACUCAAUGGAGGGGAGUCUGGUAACGAACGAAGCAAACUCAAUGGAGGAGAGUCUGGUAACGAAGCAAAUGGAGGAGGAGUAAACUAAGGAAAGGAAAGGAAAAUGACUUGUUGGGGAGGUGGCAGAAUGUCCAUCGUUUUCUCUUUUUUUUUGUGGGUCCACGUAAUAUUAAAAGAAGAAAAAAUCAACACGUGAAACGGCAAUUUAAAAUUGCGUUUCUGUCGUCCCUUUGUCUUCAUUUCGUUCGUUUAUCAUUUUCCUUGCAUGUUAUACGUGGUCAAAAUUCUGCCGCGAAAAGUCACUUUUGUUCUAGCAUGCCAGUCUUUAAGAUGUUGUCUGGGCAAUUUAACCAUUGAACAUGCCAACCGCGCGGCCUAUGGUAUUCCUCACUUCGUACAACUUCAUUAAUGUCUUUUUUUUUAAGAAAAAAAUCAAAUUUAUGAACUUUUAUGUAUAUUAAAGUUUUGUUACAAUAAUUAACCACAUUUACUAAGGGCAAGCAGAAUUCACUCAUAUUUCUUGGAUGGGCAAUACAAUAUUGCCAUGAAUUCUUUGGUUAAUCAGAUCCUAUUAUCCUAGUCCUCAUAGAGAAAAUUCAGGAAGUUCUUCUUGAAAAUGAGGUGAAUCAUAAAAAGAUUGUGGUGGCCGGACGGACUAUAGAAUAAAUAAAUAGAGCAUCGUUAAAAUUAGAGCUUCACAAUGGAUAACACUCUGCAUGAUUUAAAUUGCGCUAGGCUUCCCAAAUUGCACAAUCCCACAUAUAUACCAACAGGCGAUGACAUAAAAUAGGUAGUGACAAGUUAGCAGACAAAUAUCCUAAAGUUCCGUGAAGAAUAGAAGAAAAUUUUAUAAUGCAAUUACAUGUAAGGAUUUUGACUUGUAAUUGACAUCCUGGAUUCUUUGAAUCCCCUUCAUGAAACCUUAUGAACAGCAAGAUUGGUCUCCAGUACUUUGAUUGAUUUUUUGCCUUGGAUACCUUGAUUCUCAUUGCUUUGACAAUUGAUACUUUCCUUAUGAGCUAUAAGCUAGUAAUAACAAUGGAAUAGAUAUAUAGAUUGGUAGAAAAGGAACAUUCUCUUAUGCUUUUUCCUUCAUGAAAAGCGCAUCUUCACUUAAGGACGUUGACAAGACUUUUGGACACGUGUCUGUCGCGAAAUUCCUACGCAACAAAACCUCCCAGCUUCUAGGUUUCGAGACAAAUGCGAGGCGCUGGGAAGCAAUAUAAUGCUCAGUUUACACUACUUCAGUUUUAGUUACAAAUUAAUUUUAUUUCUUAAGCAAAACUGAAUGGUACUUAAAAAUCUUAAUAAAGUACAUAUAAAAUGAAACUAAAUAUUAAUUUCAAUGAUAAAAUCUUUUAGGAACAGGAUUGUUUGCAACACAAUAAUAAAAGGAUGUCAUCUAUAUUUCAAUAAGGUAAAAUAUUAUUUCCAUUCACAUAUAGAACAAUAACGUUUUUGAAUAUCACAGUUACAUCUAAUAUUGUAAAAAUGAUAAAGAAACUAUCCACGUAUCAAUUAAAUUAUCAUCUUCUUCAUUGCUAGUUGAAGCCUCCAACACAGUUGCUGGUGAUCCAUCUUAUUGCAAUUGGGCGAUGGCAGUCUAAAAAGAAAAUGAUUUUCCUUAUAGCUAUUCUGGUUGAAGGUUGCAGUCUCAAAAAGUAAAGGGCAUGAUUCACUCACAAAAGGGGAUUGAGGCAAGGCUGUCCUCUAUCUCCUUAUCUCUUCAUUCUCUGUGCAGAAGCUUUUUCACAUUCACUAUAAUGCACAAAAUUGCAAAAACUGAUUCAAGGGCUGAUGUUCAGCAACCAUUUGUCAAUCAACCAUCUUUUUUUUUUUUUGCAGAUGACAGCCUCAUCUUCACGAGAGCUACAACUGAAGAUUGCACAAAUUUGAAGCAAAUUUUUGAUAAAUAUGCAGCAGCUUUAGGCCAAAUCUUCAACUACGAGAAAUCCUCAGUGUUCUUCAGUGGAAACACCCCAAUAAGGCAAAUCAAUGAGAUUAAAAGCAUUUUUCAGCUCAAUGUUGUGGCUAGACAUGAGAAGCAUUUAGGGCUGCCUUUUAUGGUGGGAAUAAAAAAAGUGAGCUUCUUUAAUGACAUCAAGCUAAGAGAUUUUAGCAAGAUAUCUAACUGGCAAAGCAAAUUUUUCCCAAAUGGAGAAAAAGAAGUUCUGAUCAAAGCAAUUGCCCAAGCAAUCCCUGCCUAUGCUAUGAGUGUUUUUAGAAUUCCAAUAGGGCUAUGUGCUGAUAUUCAAAGAGAAGUAGCUCCAUUUUGAUGGAAUUCAAAAAGAGACCACAGAAGUGUUCACUAGACCAAAGGGGAGAGAAUGUGUAGAUCCAAAGGAAAGAGGGGAUGGGAUUCAGGGAUUUAUUUAGCUUUAAUCAAGCCUUAGUGGCUAAAUAGGGGUGGAGGAUUAUCCCGUUCCCUGACUCAUUGAUGGUAAGAGUUUUGCAAGCACUAUAACAUAUACAACUUAAUUUUUCCUAAUUAAGUGUAUUAUGUAUUUUUCAUUUCUGUAUUAAUUUUAAAGUUGUCAGAUUAGUUACAAAUUAUUGCGGAUAAACUUGACACGACUCGAUUUCUUAUCAUAAAUUAAUGAAUUUGAGUCGAGUUAAUUAAUGAAUCGUGUUUUGAUUAAAUUUAAAUUUUUUACGACAUUAAAUCGAGACAAUUUGAGUGUGAUUAAAAGGUUGGGUAAUCAGAUUUUAUUUUCAUCAUAGGUCUGGUAUUAUAUUGAUUUGUAUUAAUUUUUUUAAAAAAAGAGAAGAGAAUCGGUUCUAGAAAUUGAGAAGGGGAGAGAGAGAGAGGGGGAGAAGGAGAGACAAGGAGAGAGAGAAGUUGACCUGUUUGACCCGUCCCGACCCGCGAAACUGACCUGGAUCCAACUCGCGAUCUAACCACCUCAUCGAUCUAGCCAGGUAGCAAUUUGAAGCUCGUGAGACGCAGGUCAUAUCCCAGUUGUCUACAAUGCCCGAAAACGAUCCGAACACCAGUAAUCAAGCUCGAAAAAUUGCGUCCAAAAACCCAACACCAUCGCUAUCAAUCUCAUCAAAAUUAGGCUGCAUCAUCGGCUGGGUUCUACUCCUCAGGUCACCAGCUUCCAUUUCCGAUCGGUCUUGUCACCUAGGGGUGUUCGCGGAUCGAAUUUUACGGAUUGGACAUCAAUCCAUAUCCGAUCCAUGAUUUUACGGAUUAUAAUUUUUUAAUCCAAUCCAAUCCACAGAUUGAUAAAAUUCAAUACAAAUCCAAUCCAUACAUCUGCGGAUUGGAUGCGGAUUUGACUCAAUCCAUAUCCAAUCCAUACGUCUACAGAUCGGAUGCAGAUUUGACUCAAUCCAUAUGCAAUCCACCAUUUUGCGCAUUAGUUUUCGAAUUAAAAAUUUUUAGUUCUCUCCAACUAAUGAAAUAAAAUAAUCUAAUAUAAAAAUAAUUUUGCUACCAAUUAAAUUUAAAAUUGAAUAAAAUUUAAAUAAAUUAAUUAUUUGAAUAAAGUUAAAAUAAUACAUUUAAAGUUUCAAAAUAUAACACAUCGAGACUAAUUAUUCAAAGAAAGCUAUAAUAAUACGUUCAAAGUUUCAAAAUAUAAUAUACCAAGCUUAAUUGUUCAAAUAAAAUUACAAUAAUACGUUAAUAUAACAACGAAAUUAAUUGUUCAAAUAAAGCCACAAUUAAUUGAAAUGGCAAAUUUUCGAAAACCAAACACAGUCUGAUCCUUCACCAGGGCUAUUGCACCUGUCGAAAGUGGUGAUUACGGAGCCAUCCACGAUGGAAACCAGAAGAAGCUGUACGGGUAGUGAUCUUGAAGGUUGUGAUAGUGAAAUUGUUCAGCUGGAACCAGUGAAUGUGAAGUGGCUCGAUUGACUUGGGAAAGAAGAUGGCUUGCUCUGGCCGGAAUCGCACGACCGAUGUCCUUUAAAUCCGUGUCGAGAGUGUAUCCAACUAGUAUUGAGUGUUGCUAGUGUGUGUGACGGCGGGGAAGCUUACAAUGUCACCUGAAACAGCCGGAUUAUCGCUGAUCAGCCACUUGAAGGUUCACAACUUUGGGAGCCGUCACUGCGCGUAGGAGCUCACGACCACCACCAUUGGACUUAACGUGGUCAAAAGUAUUAGACAUGAGCUUGAUGUUGCCGUUGAUUGAACUCUGGUCAUCGUUGACCACCAGGGGCAAUUUGGUAAUUUCAUAAAACUUCGGGGUAAAUUUGUAAUUUAUUAAGAUAGUAGAUAAUUUGGUAAUUUUAGAUUAGGGCAGUGAGGUAAUUUGAGAUUUCAGGGGUAAUUCAGUAAUUUAAUUUUGUUAAGGGCAUUUUGGUAGUUUCACACUCUGAGGAUAAUUUCAUAAUUUCUGAUAUUAUGGUUAUUUUUGUGAUCUGAAUUGAGGACAACUUGGUAUUUAAGGAUUUUGAGGAUAAUUUGAUAAUUUCAUAUUAGGGCAGUGAGGUAAUUUGAGAUUUCAGGGGUAAUUUGAUAAUUUAUGUUGUUAAAGGGAUUUUGCUAAUUUUACACUUCGAGGGUAAUUUCAUAAUUUAUGAUAUUAUGGUUAUUUUUGUGAUUUGAAUUGAGGGCAGCUUGGUAAUUAAGGAUUUUGAGGAUAAUUUGGUAAACAUUGACAUCGAGGGCAUUUUAAUAAUUAUGGCAUGCAAGGGUAUUUUGGUAAUUUUGUGCACAGGGAAUAGUUUAUUGCGGAUAAAUAUUUGUUUCGAGAUUUAUUGCAUAAAAUUAGUUGUAUUUCACAUUUACAGAAUAUGAGUAUGUCGUUUCCUUGAAUUAAGAGGAGGAUCCACGAACGAGAAUCAACCCAUAAAGGUUGACGCUACUAAGUUCGAACAUUGUCACUGUGAGUGGAAUAUACAAAAUCUAUUUUGACAGUAUAUUUUAAUUUUAUGAUAUAGUACAACAUGUUUUGAUAAAUAAGUAUUUGAUGCUUCGAUUUAAUGAUUUUCUAGAAAAUUGAUUUUUAUCUGCGUGUUGAUAUUUAUUAUUAUUAAAAAUGAGUUUGAUUAAUGAUUUUACUAUCGUUUUUGAGUAAAUGCAUGAUAAUAAUUUUAAAGAGAAUUAAGUGGAUUGAAUUAUGUUAUAUGGAAAAGAAAUGAGAUUGAAGUGUGAUUAUAUGUUUAUGUAUAUGUGUACAAGAGGAUGUUUUUAAAAUCAUUAAACAGUACAUUUCCCUUUAAGAUAUAGUGAUACAAAUGAGAUUAGAGGCCUUUGGGAUUCGUUUGAACACGUAUAGAGGUUUUAGGCCAUGUAAUUGGGCGCUUUUCCCUUUUGGGGGCUUAUGCAUGCAGUAUGAUGAUUACAGAGGUACAGACAAAUAUUGAUAUUACAGAUGAGAUAGAUAGUAUAGAUGAGAUACGAUAAUACAAAUGAGAUAUGAUGAUACAUAUGAGAUAUGAGAUGACAUUUCCCUGUCUAUCUGUUAUAGCUCCAGGGUAUGAUGGUAUCCUGAUUGCCCGUUCGUCGAGGUCCGGAUAAGAUGAGAUAUGAGAUAGUACUUCCCCGUCUAUCUGUGUAGCUUCGGGGCAUGAUGGUUCCUUGAUUGUCUGUCCGUCGAGGUCCGGAUAUGAUGAGAUUAUUCCCCUGGGUACUUGUUUGGUGAUAGUUUUUCGGUAUUCAGUAUAGUUUUUUGGUAUUCAGUAUUUGAUGUUAUCAAUGUUAUGAUUUCAUUGAUUUUAUGUAGAUUUAUGAAAUAUUGUUAUUCCAGUAAAUGAUUUGAAUUAAAUGAGUUUAUGAAGGUUCUUAUGAUAUUUUAAUGAGAUUGUUUAGAGAAGUUUUAAUUAUUAUUUUUUGAAUAAAUUUAUUUUUUUAAAACUAUUAUCCACUCACUGAGCUCACUGAGUUUUAUACUCACCCUAUUUUCAUUAUAUUUUCACCCCCACAGGAGACUUGUAGGUACAUCAAUCAACCCAGCAACGUUAGUUAGAUUUGAUAUUCUAGCCACAUAAUAGUGCUAGGAAUCGUAGAUAUUUUCUUGGGAUAUUGUGGAUUGUAUAAUUUACUACAUAUUUGUGAUAAGAAUAUUUUACUGUAUUUGAUAUUAUAAUGUUUGGAUGAUAUUUGGUAUGUUGAUUAAGGAAGUUGGUUGUGGGUGUUGAUUGUAUUUGGAAUUAUUUUGGGAGUGUUAAUUUUAUAAUUUGUACGUUUCGGUAUAUUAUAUUUAUAAGGGAAGCUCUGCUAAAUUUUUGACAGAAUCGUUAUUAAUUAGAUUACUUCCUACUCUUUUUAAUAGAUUUGGAUAGACUCCCCUAGGGGAUUGGAGCGGAUCGUUUCAAGCACAAUAUUUUAAAAGAGUAGAUUUUUUGAAUUGGGAUACAACCAUCCUUUGUUUGGAGAAAUAUUCUGUGGGGGUAGACAAAUACUUCACCAUGGUUUGAGAUGGAAAAUAGGAAGUAGAGAACAAGUCAAAAUACAACAGCACCUGGAUCCCAAGGCCCUCAACUUUCAGGAUAAUGUCGGCACCCCUUGUCCCCUUAGAUGCCACAGUUUCUCUAUUGAUAGAUGAAGAUCAUAAGUGGAACGAAAAUUUUGUCAGGCAACAAUUCAUGCCUGAGGAUGUAGAUCAGAUUUUGAAGAUUGCGCUGCCAAGAAGUCCAAGACUAGAUCAGCUUUUAUGGGGUUUUGACAAACAUGGUAACUACUAGGUUAAAAGUGGUUAUCAAGUUGCUUUAGGUCUUAGAAUCUCAGACUGCCCAAGCCCAUCAAAGAGAAGUCAUUCAGAAUGGUCUGCAAUUUGGAAGCUGGAAUUGCCAGAGAAAUUGAAGAUAUUCAUGUGGAGGGCUGCACAAAAUAUGCUCCCACCGGCAGAAAAUCUUUGGAAGAAUAAAGUUUUGCAACAUCCAUGGUGUCAAAGGUGUGGUAAACAAGGAGAAAACCCUUCCCACGUUCAUCACGGAAGUCAUGGAGGAUUACAGAUUUUUCUGAAGAUAUGAAACUUUUUGUAAAUCAAGACCUACUUAGUGUGUUGCAAGCUCUGGCAGCGAAGAGAAGUAGGGCAGAGAUAUAAUUCUUUGGAGCUCUGUGUUGGGCAAAUUGGCACUCAAGGAAUCUUUUUGUCUUUGAGGGAAAGAGAGAAGAUUAGCAGGUAUCAUUGGCAAAAGCAGAAGCAAUUGUAAAUUCAUACAAGAAAAUCAAAUCUCAUGUGUUGGCAUUCCAUGUGAGUCAGAGUAGCUUGAGAAACCAGCAUAGGAAAGCUCCUCCAAUAGGUUGGUUCAAGGUGAAUGUGAACGCAGCAACAAAGCAAGAGAAUCUGGUGGCAGGCUUGGGAGCAAUCAUUAGAAACUCAGAAAGAAAGUUUGUAGCAGCAGCUCAAAAGCAAACCACAUAUUAUGGAGAUGUCACUGCUGUAGAAGCAAAAGCAAUAAAACUGGGAAUUGAAACUGCAGUUUCUGCUGGUUGCAUGCCUCCGAUAAUUGAAUCUGACUGUCGAGAAGCCAUAAGCUUGGUUAACAGGAAGAACUUGCAGCAGAACAUAAAAUUUCUAGAGUAUCUCAGAUAUCUAGGACAGUUUAAGAAGCUUGAACAAAGCUAAAGUGCAUCACACUUCAAGACUUCGUUAGAGCACUGCACACUCAAUUGCCAAAAAAGCACUAAGCUCGAUAGAACCAACCAUGUGGAAGGAUGAUUGUCCUUCUCAUGUUCUGUACCUUUUCUCUGAUUUAGGUUCAUGAAAGCUAAGCUUUUCUAUCCCAAAAAAAAAAAAAUUCAUUCCAUUUUCUCCUGAUGUCCAAAACUUCGCAAAAAAACUCAUACCAAUCACAAAACACUAUUUUCUUUGUUAAAAUUUUAAAAUUAAUGGAUAACAAUAUUAUUUUGAAAACUGUAGCGAAUAAAUAGUAAAACCAAAAAUUGUUUUGAGGAGAAAGUGUCAAUAAUCUCCCUCAAGUUAUUGAAUAUAAUCCUGAAAUUGGAUUGCAAAAGAACUGCUUAAAUUUUUCCCGCUAGCCUUAAGAGAAUACGUUCUUUCAGUAUGCAUUGGCUUUGCAGCACAUGGUUUUUUGUUGCUAAGUGUCAAGAUUUGAAAAUACCAUUGUACCAAUCAAAUGCAACAGAUCUGUAUUUAUAUCACAUGUGGCAUGAUCUUUUUUCACUUGGUUUCCAACCUUCACUGGUUUAUACACUAUCCAUUAUAUCCAUUCAUUGGAGUGUAAAAUUUGCAUGUUCUUAUUUAAAAUUUUUGAAAAACAGUCAUAUAAUAUUAAUAAAAAAGUUCGUCGGGAUCUGUCUUGGAGUACGUAUUUCAGUGGAAGAGAAGUUAUGCACUACAUUUUAUCCAAUUUUCUUGUCUUUGAGUUCUUGAAAUUGAACUGGAGAAGUGUGGUAAAAACAACCGAACCAAGAGAUGAUUCUGGAAUAUGUAUGAUUAAAAAGACACAGAAACUUCUAAUGGGAAACUAAAGCAAUAAGUUUUGUCAUUUGCUUUACGAAAAAUUUUAUGAUGCCAUGACUAAAAUUACAGCAUUAAUGCCAUAAUAAACAUAAACUUUGUAAAUUAUAUAAAAAACUAUUAAAUAAAAGGUAAAAUAAAUAAAUUAAUAUCGAAUAGUAUAUUGAUAUUUUAAAAUUAUGGAUUAAGCAAAUACUUGUCAAAGUAAAAACUUGUAAAUCAACAUUAAAUUUCAAUUUAAAAAACGUUUAUUUAUUUAAACCAAAAAAAUUACUCAUCAAUUGAAAACAAAAAAUUUGUAUUGAAAAUAAUUGGAAUAAGUUUUAUUAAAUUAGUUUAACCAUAAAUUUUAAAUUAAUGCUAGGACAUUUAUAAACUUUUUUUUUCAUUUUCUAUCAUUGUAUUUGUUUACCAUACUAUUUAACCAAUGAAAAUUAUUUUUCUUGAUAUAGAUCAAGCCAAAACAAAAUAAAAAGACAUUCUUAUAUUAAUAAUAUCUAGUUUUAUACAUAUUUCAUGUAGUUUCAAACAUUGCUUCUUACUCAUGCCAAAAUAUCAGUUGUGAUUAUUGUCGAGGAGGCUUAAAAUGAUGCAAAAUCACUUAUAUUACAAAUAAUUUUGAAAAACAUAAAAAAUUUCUCAAAAUUUGAUUUUGAGAAUAAGUUUUAUCAAGUAUAUACACUACUAGAAAAAUGGUCUUUACUGACACUUGGUUUGUGACACUUUAUUACAAAGUAUCAGUAUUCGUAUGCAUAUGGGUCAUUUUUCGUGUUUAACACAUAUGUAUCACAAAUUAAUGAUACUAUGGUGUCUGCAAUUUGGACAUCAGAAAUCGCUGACACUGAAGUAUUAGUAAUAAAAGUAAAAUAAUUCUAAUCGUGUAACGGAUGGAAUUCGAACCUGGGACCUCGAACAUCGGAACAUUUAAGUUUAAGAAAAAGACCUUUUUCUUGGUGACAAAGGUAUCAAUAAAAGAAAAGAAAAUUUAAAUUUCAUUCCAAACUAAUUUUCGAACCCAGGACUUUUCAAAGCCAAAGCUUUUAAGUUUAAAAUUGAAACCGUUCUGACUUUUUGUUAGUUAUUCUACUGAAUUAGUAGAAUAUUAUAAUUUUAAUAUGAAGCACUUGAAAUGUAUUGAGGACGGCUGAGUGAUAAUUUUAGCGGGUUUUGACUGAAAAUUUACUAGUAAAUAAUAUAUUUUCAGUUAGAAACGAUAUUGUUUCACUUAGGAAAAAUAAAGAUAAGUAAAACGCAUCGUUUUAUUCAACCCUAAGACCAAAAUCGAAGCUAAUUUUUUUCUAAGUCAUUCACUCAUUAGUCUUUCACCACUCAGUUCUCCUUCUCUGUCAAAGCUAAGUAAACCAAACCCUAAAAUCAUAUCCCUCACAGUAAUCAAACUUCACAUCGAUCCCAACCAAGCUUUAAGCAAAGGAAUUCAUUUCUAUCACGAUUUUGUUCUCUCUGUCUCUCUCUCUGCACUGCGAUAAAUUCAUUUCUGAAGGUGCCAUUUAUUCAUUUUUAUUUAUUUUAAUUAUUAUGUUUCCAAUUUACAGUGCCUAUUUUCCUCAUGCAUGUUGAUUUGUUGUGGUUUAACUGUAGAAUGUGUUUUAAAAUUCUUAGUUUUUUUUUGUAAUCUUGAUUGGUUAUAAUUUGGGACCUGGGAAAACCUAAUAGAGAGGUAAAGGUAACUGAAGUUGAAUUAUUGUACUAGAGUCUUUAACUAAGAGUAGUUUUAUAAGUGCCUGAUUCAAAUCAGUUUUCUUUCGUCUCUUUCUUUAGUUGCCAUGUCACUAGACUUUGAAUUUUGUGUACACUUUUACUGGAAUUGAUGGAUACAAUGUCAAUGCAGAUUUGGGUUUUUCUCAUUUUCCCCAUCUCUCGAAAUUGCAUUUUAAAAUUUGCAUGAUGCUUUUAAUUUUGGGCCUAACUUGUUCCAUUUAAUUAGCGCUUGAUAAAGAUACAUAUUAACAAAGGGUCAAUUCAUCAAUCCUUUCCUUGUAAUGCACUUGCUAGACUUAGUAUAAAUGCAAUAUCUCACAUGCAAACCCUUCAACAACAACAAGUAUUGUCCUUAUUUUUUUUUUAUGUGAUUUCCCUUGUACAGCUCUCUGACAUAGUAUUUAACAAUCUGUCGCUUUUAAAGAAUCACAAAAGUUUACGGUGUAACAACUAUCUUCAUUUGGUAAUUCUUUUAAAUCACUCACUUUCUUUCAAUUUAUAUUAUGGUUGUGUUCUGAGUUUUACUUGUACUGACGUGUUUUAAAUAUUGACAGGCAUUGUUUUACUUUCUUUUUUGUUGCAUAGACUGUUCUAGAAUAAAAUUUUUCAUUCUAAUAUAUACUUUUGUUUGUUCUAAUAUGAAAAAGAAAUUUUGAAAAAUGUGGAUGUGGCAUGUUUUGUUGGCUUACUGAAUGUGUAGAUGUAAGUUACUUUUGCUGGCUUGGUGAAUGUGUACAUGUAUGCUCUGUUGGCUUGUUGAAUGUGUACACGUAUGCUCUGUUGGGUUGCUGAAUGCUUACAUAUAUGCUCUGUUGGGUUGCUGAAUGCGUACAUAUAUUUAAGUGACUCUAAAUAAAUAAAAUUUAGAUUUAUUUUGUAAUUUGUAUUUUUAAUUUAAACCUAAAAGUUUGGAGUUAUUUGUGCAAUUUAAGUAAACUUAUUAAACUAACAACAUCUAACAAAUAAAUAGGUAACAAUACAAGUUAUGGACAAAACUUGGAUAUUCUAUGAUAGAUUGUCUGAUGAGUAUAGUGUUGGGGUUGAUGAUUUCUUGGAGUUUGCCAUUCUUAAUUCUAAAAAUAAAAUGUCAAUUAGAUGUCCUGGUACCACUUGUUGUAAUAUGGAGUUUUUGAGUCCUCAACAAGUGAGGCUACAUCUAUUUAAAAAAGGUUUUUUGGAAAACUAUUUAGUUUGGAAUUGUCACGGUGAGGUGGACCGGAAACCUACCUCUGUAAAAUGCCAAGACCAGCCACAAAAUCAACGUUUUAGAUGUCCGGAUUAUAGUUAUGUAGAUGACAGGGUUCAUGAUGCUUUUGAGCAGUGUGAUAAAGAUCCUAGUUCUUUUAAGAAUGUGCUUGAAGAUCCUGAAAACCCCCUAUAUCUGGGUUCAAAGCAUUCAAAGUUAUCGAGUCUAUAAAACUGUACAAUAUAAAAGGACUUUAUGGCUUGUCUGAUAGUGGGUUUUUCAGUUUUAUUGGAAGUGCUUAAUGAGAUAUUGCCAAAUGAUAAUAGUUUUCCUAAGUCCAUGUAUGAGGCCAGAAAAAUAAUGAAGCUAUUAGGCCUAGAUUAUGAGAAAAUACAUGCAUGUCGAAAUGAUUGCAUUCUUUAUAGGAAUGAAUUAGAGAAUCUUAGUGAAUGCCCAAGGUAUGGAGCAUCUAGGUGGCAAAUAAGAAAAGAUGGAUAAAAAAAAAAUUAGAAAGGGGUCCCUAAAAAGGUGUUAUAAUAUUUUCCUAUAAUUCCUAAGUUGAAAAGAAUAUUUCAAUCACCACAAACUGCAGAGAACUUAACAUGGCAUGAAAAUAAAAGAAUUAGGGAUGGCAAGCUUCACCACCCAACAGAUUCAAUAGCUUGGUAGUUAAUUGACAAGAAAUGGCCUGAUUUUGCCCAAGAGUCGAGAAAUAUUCGGUUCGCUUUAUCAUCUGAUGGGAUUAACCCACAUAGCACACUUGGCACUACUUAUAGUUGUUGGCCUGUUACAUUGAUAACAGAUAACCUUUCUCCAUGGUUGUGUAGGAAUAGGAAAUUUAUGAUGUUGUCUAUACUGAUAUUUGGCCCUAAACAAUCUGGAAAUGACAUAGAUGUAUACCUAGCACCAUUGAUUGAGGACUUAAAAACCCUAUGAGAUGUAGGCGUCGAUGUGUUUGAUGGUUAUAGGAAAGAAACUUUUAAUUUAUGAGUUGUGUUGAUGUGGACAAUUAGUGAUUUUUCAGCUUAUGGAAACCUGUCUGGGUGUACUGUUAAGGGGGAUUAUGGUUGUCCAGUUUGUGGGAUAAACACAUGUGCAUGUUGGCUACCGCAUAGUUGGAAAAUGUCAUAUAUGGGUCAUAGGCUGUUUAUUGAAAACUCUCCUAGGCCUUUGUCUGGUACAAAUAUCUUAAACUUGGUGGUUGACAUUGACACCAAGUUUGGGAAAAAGGUCCAAAAACAACGAAAACGGGGUGAGGUUGAGGGUCACAAUAAGGGUAAAGGUGAGGGUAACAGUAAGGGUAAAGGUGAGGGUGAGGGUGAGGGUGAGGGAGAUAGUGAGAUUGAAGGUGAGGGUGAGGGUAAUGGGGAUGUAGCUUAGUUGCGUUACAAAAAGAUAUCAAUCUUCUUUGAUUUAGAAUAUUGGGAACAUUUGUUAGUUCGCCAACAACUAGAUGUGAUGCAUAUUGAGAAAAAUGUAUGCGAGAGCAUCUAUGACAUAUUACUCCAUCAACCGGGCAAAACAGAAGAUGUAAUUAAUGUUAGAAAAGAUCUUACAAAUCCAGACCUUAGAGAAAAAAUUAAUAAAGCAUUGAUUGUAUUAGCUCCUGAUGAACAAAACAAAGUCCUGCACCCUGCCCCGUACACUUUAAGUAAGAAGGAAAAAAAAUGUUAUGUGAAACCUUGCAAAGUGUUAAAGUUCUUGAUGGCUAUUGUUCUAAUUUUAGAAAUAUUGUUUCAAUAGAUGAUUUUCGUCUUCACGGGCUUAUGUCUCAUGAUUCUCAUACCUUGAUGCAACAACUACUACCAUUAGCAAUUCGAAAUUGUUUACCUCAAAAUUUCAGAUAUGUCAUAAUCAGGUUGUGACUCUUCUUUAAUUCUUUGUGUUCUAAGGUAGUAGAGCCCAAUUCUCUAGACCAAUUGCAAAAAGAACUUACAAUCACCUUAUAUAAUUUAGAACAAUCUUUCCUACCUGCCUUCUUCGAUAUAAUGAUCCAUUUAACAGUCCAUCUAGUUGAAGAAGUUAGAUUAUGUGGCCCGGUUUACCUUCGAUGGAUGUAUCCAUUUGAGAGAGAAAUGAAACCUAUAAAGGGCUAUGUACGCAACCGACACCGUCCUGAAGGUUGCAUUGCAGAGUGCUAUAUUGUUGAGGAAGCACUUGAAUUUUAUGCUGAAUACCUUUCAAAUUGUAAUUCAAUCGGACUACCUACUGGUUGUCUAAUUGAUUUUACAGUCGAAAGGCCACUAGGAGGUACAAAUAUUAAGGUGGUUGAUGGCCUUACAUUGGCGCAAGUGCACCGAUGUGUUCUGGUGAACACCCCCGAGAUUCAACCAUACAUAGAGUAUGUGACUGAAAAUUUGAACCUCUUUUUCGUUAAUUUUUUUUCAAUUUUAUUAAUUUUGUUGGUAUAAUUUUAGGGAGCAUUUGGCCUUAUUGCAAUCAACACACCCUCGUCAAUUAAAAAAGCCUUUAUGGUUGCCAAUCGAGCACUCCUGUACGUUUGCUGAUUGGCUGAAACAAAAGGUUAGAUUAACUUCAUUAAAUCUAAUAAAAGUAUCCAAGUAAAAGCACACAAACUUUUCUCUUUCAACUAAUUAUUGUGAUUUUAUUAAUUGAACAAUAGGUAACAAUUGAUAAAACAAAUAAUAUAGUGGUUAACAAAAAAGUAUGGUGGUUGGCAAACAAACCCAGCUCAAGCGUGGUUACUUAUGAUGGCUACUAUAUUAAUGGUUUUAAUUUUACUACAAGAGAUCGGGAUAGCAACCGCAUAACACAAAACAAUGGUGUUUAUGUAGUUGCUAACACUUUAUAGAUUUCAAGUUCGAAAGACAAAAAUCCUCAUUCUAGGGAUAUGCCUUUUUAUGGGGUUGUUAGUGAAAUUUGGCAACUUGAUUAUCUGGGGGUUAAAAACGUACUUUUCAAGUGCGAUUGGGUAGAUGAUAGAGGGGUUAAUAUUGAUGAGUUAGGGUUCAAUGUAGUCAAUUUAGAUCGAAUAGGCUACAAAUCUGACUGUUUCAUUCUAGCUGGUCAUGCAAAGCAAGUGUUUUAUGUGAAAGAUCAGUUAGAUAAUAGUAAAUCAGUUGUUUGUUCAGUGAGCUCAAAAUGUAAUUAUUUAAAUGAGGCCUUGUGUGAUGGCAUCGAUGAGUAUGCACCAUUAUCCAACAAUUUUCCAGAAUGUAAGUUAGGUUUAGGUGAUGAGGAGUUUGUGUCAGAGUAGUUGUUGAUGUUUUUCUUGUAAAUAUUGGUGCGGAAAAUGAAUAAUCCAACUACUAUGCCUUAUUACCGCUACUUCCUGUAAGUCAUCAACAAAUUUGUCUUUUAUUAUUUUAUUAUUAUAUUGGGAUAUUAGAUUGGUAUCUGGUGCACUCAUCCACUUUGAUGUAUUUGCAGGUUUAUUGGAGACAUGGCAGAAAAAGAGAAGCCAACAUUUGAUCUAGAUCUAGAAGGAAGACCAAGACAAAACCUUACAAAGAAGAAAGACCCCGUAGAGAGGAGCUAGUGACGACACUGAGGUUAUGUACAAUUCCUAAGGAGUUCCAGUUGGAAAAAAGAAAAACGAUCUGAGAAACUACAUUGGAGUGUUUGCACGGGAAAGAGUUCCAAUUAUCUAUGAUGAUUGGAGGAAAGUGCCACUAGACAUCAAGGAGAUGUUAUGGAUUCAUUUUCAAGAAAAGUUUAAGUUGAGUCUUAAGGCGAAAACCUAAGUGUUUAAGUGGAUGAGAAUUGCAUUAAGGGGCUUUAGAUGUAAGUUGGCCAAUGAAUAUAUUUUGCCUAAUGCAAACAACUUGAGUUCACUGAAAAAGCCUUCUCUUGAGUAUGAAGGCAUUAGAAAAGAGGAUUGGAAGAGCUUUGUUGAUAAGAUUUUAUCUGAAGACUUUUAGGUACGUUUAAAAUUAUGUUAGUUAGAUAAUAUUAUUGAGUUCCUGUAACCAUUUUAAUCAAUAUCCGCUUUGUGCACGAAAAAAGUAAGGCAGCAAAGGACAAAAGAGCAAAGAAUAUGUACAAUCAUCACUUAGGCAGCACAAGAAAUGCUGGGUUGUUGUAUAAAAGAGUAAGUAUAAUAACCACUCUAUACAAACUUAUGACAUUUUCAAUACAAAUAAUAGGAUGAUUCAUAGCAGUUUUCAAUUCAAUUUUUGUUGAAUUAUUACAGCAGUUGGACCUCGGAGUUACUGAGCGCGAGAUUGACCGCAAUGAAGCAUGAUUAUUGGCUCACAGGAGAAAAUAUGGAACUUAUACACCUGAAGUGCAGCAAGUGGCUGAGAGAAUUGUAAGUUUCCACCACCACUGUCGUUAUUUAACUUAUCUUUUUGUAUUCCUAAUUUUGAUCAAAUUAUUUUUGUAUUUAUUUUGUAGAGUGAGCUAAGAAGUCAAGUUGAGCAAGGAACGUUUCAAUCCCAAGGACCGAAUAAUAUCCUAGGUGAAGCACUUCCAAAGAAGCCUAAUGGAAGUCGAGUGCAAGGAUUGGGUCAAUUUAUCACCCCAUCCCAUGUAUUUCAAUGUUCCUAACUCCAAGGAGUUGGCACAAGAACGGAGAAUGUAGCAGAAGAGUUUUCAGUUUAUGCAAGCUCAAUUAGAUCAAAUGAAUGCAAGGAUAAACGCCUGCAACAACACUAAAGUUGGCAGUUCCAACUUUCCUAACUCCAAAGGUGGUUGCAGUGUUAAGAUGGAGAUAGAUCGUCGAUCACCCAACAAAGUUACUCCAAAGUCAGUGACUAACAACCCCAAAGCAACUCCAAAGUCAGUGACCAACAACCCUAAAGCUACCAUAAAGUCAGUGACCAACAACCCCAAAGCUACCCCCAAGUCGGUGACCAAAGUUAGUCCAAAGUCAGUGAUCAAUGACCCCACUGUUUGUCCAAAACCUGACAAAAACAUCAACACACCUCCCCUACCAUCCCCUGCACAGAAUCCACCCACAGUAGUUUGUGAAGCCACUUCAAAAAUCACCCCAAGAAGAUCUCCAAGAUUAACUCCUUCAAAGAGAAAAGUGGAUGGCCGAAAGUCUCCUACAAAUCCCGUGGUAUAUCUGUAUGAACAGAAAUGAAAACGAACAAUAAAGGAACUCGUUGUUGUAAAACCAGUGACAACAAGGAAACUGGUUCAGAGAAAGAAUACCCGUGGAGCUGUGAAAGCAAGAAAAGAGAACAAAAGUUCACAAAUGAACAUCUUUUCUUUGAUGAUUGAAAGCUCCCUACCACAGACGAUUAUGAUUGCCCAUGAUUUGAAGACUUUUGGUGUCUACUGGGAGAGCAGAUUUGCAAUGAAGCCAUUGAGUUUACAGAGCUCUCAAAUUCUGUUUUGGAGAUAUGGAUCAAGUAAGAAAUAAAAAACUUGAUUUAUGUUUUUACUAUGUGUUGUGCAAAUUUUAUUGAACUCGCAAGCGCACAAAUCUAUUGUAGUAUAGAUCUAUGGUGACGAGCGUUGAUCCCACGAGGAGGUGAAUUUUAAUUAUAUAUAGAAUUAAUUUUGUAAAUGGGUGGUUGGAUUUGUGGUGGAAAUGAUUUAAAAUAUGCUAAAACUUAAAUUAAAAUAGCAAGAAUAAAUUCUGAAAUUGGAAUUGAAAUGGCAAGAAUAAAUUGAAGAGAAUUCUAUUGAAAUGACGUACUUGAGUAUCUGGAUCCGUAUCAACAUGCAUCAUGGGCUAAAUAUUCCAUAUUAAUACCAAUUAAAUCAUGAGGGGGGAAUCCACACCUCAUGAACCACACUCUAAUAAACAUGGUGCUAAGAGCUCAUCGUGCCAAAUAAUAAUAAUCUUAUACUAGGGAGCCGGUGAAACCAGGGCGAUACUAGACAAGAUUAGUAUUAUUUGUCGACGAGAAGUCAAAACAUCCACAAAAACUAGAGGGGAAGAGAAAAUAAAUUUACCAAAUAGAGCCCAUGACACAUGUUGAGACUUCACCUUCAACCCAAGCUUGAAAGAAAAUUAGCCACUCAUAGUUAAACUAGGGGCAAAAUGGAAAUUUAUUAAAAUACGUAGAAAAUACAAGAUAGAGAAGGAAUUACAGAAAAUGGAGUCCAAAAAUAGAUUCAGAGGUGCCAAAUUAGGGGGGAGAGGCCCCUUUUUUUAUAGAUACAUCGAGUAAAUCAUGGCCAUCGGAUUAAAAACAGUUUGGACGCUCAGGAUUGCGCUACGUCAUCAGUCAACAGUACGCGUGAACAGUACCACGGUUUGACUACGGUUUGAACAGUGACACGGUUUGAACAGUGACACGGUUUGCACACUGUUUGAACAGUAACGCGGUUUGCACAGUAAUAAUCUCAUGUGUUGCAUGUACCGUACGUGCAGUUUUUAAUCCACUAAUAUGCUGCCACGUCACCAUUAAACAGUACAUAAAAAUUUUAGUCCAACAGGAUCUUGACACGUCAUCAGUCAAUGCCACAUCAUUGGUCAAUGCCACAUCAUGGAUCCGUCUAUAUGAACAGUGCCGUGAACAGUAACGUAGACAGUACCCGUACAUGUGAACAAUGCCCUUUUUCCUUUUAUGCUCCUCCUAAGGUUUUCGACCGUCCUGAGUUCAAAAAUGAUGUCCGUUUUAUCAUUUGAUAUCUCGUUUAUUGUGAAAUGACUAUGAUGCCCCUAAAAUACAUAAAACACUUAAUUAAAAUAAAACACACAUAAUUAAAUUAUAAGAAACUUAAACAUAUAAAAGUAAGGGUUGUUAGUAAGACUUGAUAUGUAAAAUGAAGAUUUUCUCCUUUAUAAAUAUGCAUUUUCUAACACUCAACAUACCCCCCAACCAGCUUAUUGCUAGUCCCUAGCAAAUAAAGCGAAAACAAAAUUCAAAAAUGAUUUUUUUAAAACACUCUUGUUUAUUCAAUCAGACUAAUGAUAACAAUCAAAUAAAAGUAUAAGUAUUAUCUCAAGUCGAAAGAAAGAUCACACCCACAUCAAUCAUCCACAUGAAUCAGCCUAAUAGACUUUGUCGUAGCUACCUUCAAGAAUGACAUGUCAAACCCCAAAAUCUCACUAGAAGUAGUGACACUCUCACAAAGAAAUUAAACCCAAUAAAAAUAGUCACUCCAAUGAAUGGUAGUUGAGAGAAAAUAAUAAAGAAGUGAUAUCACAUGCUCUCCCCAAAAUGAAAGAAAUAUGCCCUUAGCUUAGAAAUAAUACGAUCUCUAGUCAAAUAAAAAUGCUAGUCAACCCAAUUUAUUUAUUUUUUUUUUUCAUGCAUCACUACAUUCUUUUAGCCCAUAUAACUAGGCUAGGGACAUGACUAACAAAGAAGGGAAAUAAGAAAAAUAAAGUGUAUGUUUGAGAAAAAUGCAGAGGAUUUUUUUUUGGAAGUUGCAAGGUGGAUUUCACCUAUUAUUAUUAUUUUUCUUUGAAACAACAAUUUCUUUUUUUUUUUGAAGCAACAAUUUUUUUUCUUUUUUUUUGAACUAGGCAUAACUUCACUAUACAAAAUGUUUAUUUACAUUUUUUUCUCAAACAUAAAUAGGUAAUGGAUCUUAUAAGAUAUUGGGUAAUACUCCAAAUCGGAGUGGGUUAAGAUGAUAAGUUGACAAAUAAAAGGUUUUUUUUUAAAGGCUUAAAAGGGUUAACUAUGGAUAUUUGAUAAAAAAGGAUGGCUAGAAAGGCUCAAACGGAUCAAAGAUGACAUUUCCAUCAUCUUUUAGGGCUCUAAAUAAUCUUCCAUAUCUACUAAUUAGAUGGGCCUCCAAAUGUAGCAACACACAUUUUUUUUCUUUUUUUUUUUAAUUUUCAAUUUUUUUUUAGGGUUAACUCAAAAGAAAUCUAAAGAUCGUGUAUACAAUAAUAACUGCUAAGCUGUAUAAAAAAUGGGAAAAAGGGUUACUCUCCAAGAAAAAUGAUAGGCUCAAAAACUCACUUGGUAUUGAUUAUGACAUGUUCAUUCCUUCAAGCAACUCAUAUUUAUCUCCGACAUCAACAUGUAGAGUAGCAAACAUAGUGUAACAUCACUUCAGACUAAAGAUAAUACAAAUACUAAAAUUUGAAAUUCAUCAUGUCAUCCAAUGUUAAAACAAAUCACAUUUUUUUUUAAACAACACCCUACCCCCCAACCUAUUCUAAACAUGAAAAGAAAAUAUAUAUACAAAAAUGAGAAAAUGAUGCAGAAAAACUAAUUAGAAAAUGAUAGAAAACAAAAAUUGUUGUUUUUUUUUUGUUUUUUGUUUUUUUUAACUUAAGAAGAUGCAUUUUUAGAGUUACUACACUCCAUAUUCAGCCAUCUUUAACUAAAAAAAUUUGAAAAUGUAUUGUUCGUGAUUUGUGCAUUUUUUAAAACAAUGUGAGUUUCUCCAUAACUUGUUUAAUAUUUUUUUGAAGAAUGCAUUGUGAAAUGGAUUUUCUUAAGUGAAUUGUGAAGAUGGUUAAUGAGUGAACAUUUUGCUGCUUUAUGCUUGAAACUAGCAAUAUAAUCAUAUCUUGUGCUAGGGAUUAGAGGAAGUGUUGUGUAUGUUUAGGAUAAUCACAUACACUUUAUUUGCCAUAUUUAUUAUAGGUAAAAGCUAUAACGCUAUAUACAUUUUAAUGAAUGCAUUCAACAUGUUUGGAAAAAUUAAUGCCAAUUUUUACUGUGUUCUACUAUGUAUUUUAAGGCACUUUAGUGUAAACCAAAAUGACUGGAGUUGUUGCAUGUACAAAUAGAAUGCAUAGAAAUCUCGGUGUUUAGUGUUAAAGUAGUAUUGAGCAAUGAUUGGAGCUGCUGUAUGUACAGAUAGAAAGCAUAUAAAUCCCAAUGCUGAGUGUUAGAAGUAAUAUUGAGUAAAGCAAAUAAUAUAUUAUAAAUUAUCAGCUUCUUAGACAGCUUUGGUAAUUGUUGUUUGCUAUGGUGAUACAAUUUAUUUGCAUGUUCUUCAGUUUUGAUAUUAAUCCUGGCAAACUUAAAAAUAUAUGUUUUUAUUGUGUUGUUUUAUUUUAGAACAGAUUCUAUAAUAUAUGAAUACAUUUUGUUGCUUUAUUUUUGAAGUUCAAGGGCUGUAAUGAGUACAUUAUGGAUGAUCUUUCGCAACUUCGCGAUCAGUGGGCGUUGUAUAUUGCAAAGUUACUUGUAGCAUACAAUAAUGAGGUAAAUCAUAUUUUUGCUUGUAAAUAUCAAAGAAUUGAUUUUUGUAGCAUAGUCGCUAAUUGAUUCUAUAUACUGUAAUUAUAGGUGGGAAAGGUGAAAGGAAAGGCAAAGAUCAAAGAGUAGAUGUACUGAUUGUUUCCUGGAAAGGCAAAGAUCAAAGAGUAGAUGUACUGAUUGUUUCCUGCAAAUUGUCAUUAUGUGUUCAUGUAAAUAUUUGACAUGUUUUCAAACAAUAUGUUAGAUAUUUGUAUUAUUAUUUUAUUUGAUACCUAUUUAAAUGUUAGCAGGAAUGUUAUAUACUUAUAUUUAAUUAUUCAAAUUUUUACUUUAGUUUAAUUUAAAUAGAUUUUCUUUGAAUACCAUUAUUUCAUUGGGAAAACUAAAAGAAUAAUGAAAAUAAUCGAGUAACAACAAUAAUUUCAGCAUCUUUUCUUUGAAGCCAUUGACGCUAAAAAAUGUUUCAGCAUCAUAAUAUUAGUGAUGCUAUAGUAUUACAAAUUGCUGACACUGAAGUAUUAGUAGCCGUUUAUUCUAUCAUGUCACCUCACAGUGUAAAACAAACUAUUGACGUGUAAUAAUUGUUAGUAAAUACUAUCACUAUAGUGUCAUAAUAUUUUGUGAUACUAUGGUGAAAGUAACUUUUAACAAGUGAUCAUUAUCAGUAAUUACUAAUACCAUAGUGUCAUGGAUCUGAUAAUACUAUAGUAAUAAUAAUCACUAACAUCAAUUACAAGUGUCACUAUUUUUCUGACUCCUAGAUUACUGACACAAUUAACAAGUGUCAGUGAAAGUAAUUUCUGACACUAUUCUAAAGUCAGUAAAGACUAUUUUUCUAGUAGUGAUAUAUAAACUCAAAAAUAUCAUUAUUCAAAUUUAGGAAUCAAAACAAUAAAUAUAUAAGGUAAUCAUUAUUAUAAUGAGUUUUUAUCUUAAAUUUGUAUGUUUUUAUUAUUUUUUCAAUAACUCUUUUAAUAUUUACUUAUUUUACAUUUCAUUUAUAAGUAUUCUAUUUCAUUUACAUAAUUUAUAUGUUAUUUUACACUUGACAUUGAUUUACAAGUUUUAUGUUGCAUCUAAAGGUUUAUGUUUUGUUUACAAUAAUAUAUUAUUUUACUACUCUAUGUUACUUUACUUAUUUUACAUUUUAUUUAUAAGUCUUCUCUUUCAUUUACAUAAUUUAUAUGUUAUUUUACACUUAUAUGUUAACAUGUAUGUGUCUAUAAUGUUGAUUUUGAUGAUAACAAAUAAAAUUAACAAUGAUUAAUCUUUUAAAAGCUCAAAUUAUUUUUCAUACAUUUUAAAUAAAUUAUUAUUUUCAUAAUAUAAAGGUUUUAUACUUAAUGAAAAAAUGGUUAUUUUUCAAGUUUAUGGUCUAAUUGAAAAAGUUUUGAAACUCUAGAAAUGGACUUAAUUGUAAAGUUUUUUGACGAUUUGGGUCAUAGUAUCAUUAUAGAAAGUUGGGGGCAAUCUUAUAAUUUUAGAAAAUAGUUUUACUGUAGCAUUUUUAGUAUAUAUUAUAUGUUAUUCACACUUUGAGCAUUAAUUUGUAAUCAUUUGCAUUGUGUGAGGGAAAAUUCAUUUCUAAUAUUUGUUUUUGAGUGAUUGUAAGUGUGGGGAUACACUUGGGUUAAGAGAUUGAGAAUAAUCUCUUAUUGUAAAUGUCUAUUGAUACCUUGGAAGUCAAUUGUAAGCAUUUGAAGCGUUGAGAGGUUUGGAUAGUGAAAUUCUUGAGUUUGGUUGGCUUGGAGGCAUGGACGUAGGCGGAAAUUGCCGAAUCACGUAAAAAUCAUUGUGUUUGCUCUCUCUUCCCUUACUCUUUUAUUAUUGUACUUUAUUAAAUUUGUUGUUUUUGAUUUCAUUGAGACAAUGAUUGAACUGUUGUGUUGUGUUGUUUAGCUUAAGUUUUAAAAUUCCAAUUUACCCCUCUCUUGGGUUGCAUAACUAGUAUUUUAUUAUAUUGAUUUGUAAGUUUUUUUGUUACAUUUGUAAGUUUAUAUUUUGUUUACCAAUAAUAAAUUAUUUUACCAAUCUUACAUUAAUUUACUUGUUUUACCUACGAUUUACAGGUCUUAUACUUUAUUUACUUUAUUUAUAUUUAAUUUUAUAUUUAAUGUUGACUUACAAGUUUUAUGUUAAAUUUACAUGUCUUAUAUUUUAUCUAUACAAUUAAUGUUUAAUUACGGUAUUGAUGUCCUAAUUUUAGUUAGGGCAUCAUAGGAUGACCCUUUAGUUUAUUAAUAAUCUUAUUGUGACAGAUUCGUCAAACCAAGGAAUAACUUAGGGUACCUCUUCCUUGGAUAAUAAAGGCAUGUCAUGUUUUGGCCCUCAUAGAAUUAAUUCCGUUUUUAUUUUUGAGAAAAAAUCAUAGUUAUGAACUUUUAUCUGCAUUAAAGUUUUGAUACAACAAUUAACCACAUUUAAUUCCUAGGGCAAACAGAAUCACGCACGCAUAUUUCUUGGGUGGGCGAUAUAAUAUUGCUAUGAAUUCUUUGGACAAUCAGAGAGACAAAGAUCCAGCUCCUCUUGGAGAAAAUUCAGGACAAUAUUCUUGAAAAUAUUGUUAAAUCAUAAAAAGAUUGUGGUGGCCAGACGGAUUAAUAAAUAAAUAGAUAGAGCUUCACAAGGGCUAAUGCUCUGUAUGAUUUUUAGUUGCGCUAGGCUUCCCAAAUUGCCGGGGAUUAAUAAACAAGGGCAAGUAAAGUUAGAGGCAAACUCCUAUUAGCUUGUUAUUAAAGAUUUUGUAAUUUACUUACCUCUCUAAGAAUGAUUGUUUAUUAGUCCUAUUAGGAAUAGGAUAACGUACAUACUCUCUAUAUAUUAUAUAUAUAUAAGAAGUACAUGCGCAUAUAGGACUGAAUUAAAUUUAUUUGUCUAGUUUUAUUAUUAGUCAUCAGCAGCCAUGGGCAGGAACUCGCAACUUCAUGUCGUUCUCGCCGCCAAGCUUUCUUUAGAUAGAAAGACAAUGUAUAUGAAAGUAAGUUGGUUAAUUAAAUUGAGUAGCUUAUCCACCCCGACUAGUUUUUGUAUAUUUACAAUUUUGUUUUUUUGUUUUUAUUAAUAAAUUUAAAACUAUUAAUUGCAUCUGCAUAUAUAUACGUAUGCAGUUGAUUUCGGCAGAUUUUGUCCCUGUGCUGUUCCUACACUUUUGGUGGGUGUAUGGCGUCGACACCCCUCUCAUGAAUUUGACGGCAAAAACAUGCUUCAUAGCACUAAUAAUGACAGUUUUGUUCGAGGUAAGGUGGAGGUAUCUAUUCAAAUAUUUUAAAAAGGUACGUAAAAAAAUUAAUGAUGCAUUGUAAUUAUUAAGGUUAUGGUUUGACGAGGAUACUAAUUUGUUAAUUUUUUUCUAUUAACUUAAUUAUGUUUUAUACAUUGUGUUUCAGGAAGCAGAUUUGGAGAAUAUCAUACAAUUUACUGAGACCCCACAUUAUUGUCAGGCAUGUCUCUACUAUUAAUAAUAUUGCAUAUAUAUAAUAAGAGUCAGCUUCCAAUCAAGGAAUCUCAAACUUUAUUAAAACCCAGGAUGUGUUUAUAAAUGUAUAUCGUUAGUUAAUUGCAUGUUGUUAAAUAAAUAAAUUAACCAGUUCCAGUUAGCUGACAAGCGAAUGGAUGGAUUAAAAUUAAUUACUUUCUGUUUUACAGAUAAUGUAUGAUCAUCAUCAGGAACCACCAAAAUCUCUCAUCAUGUCAUCUCUAGCAUUCCGCAUCUGUGCGGUUUGUCCAAAUGUGGCCCUCUACGUAGCACCGCUGGCAUUGUUUCUCAAACCAUCCGACGACGAAGGCUUAUUCUAUUUAAUGAUUUCUGUUUUGUUAGGCUUCUCGUAUUUCCAAAUAAGUUUUAUACAGCCGCUGCUACUAGAUUGUGAUGCUGAUACCUUGAAGUUUAUUAGAAGCCAACACCUGGUUUUUAUGGAAACCAAUAUCGCUGCUGCUACUACAGUAAAAGAACCACCUAACAAAUGAUUUGUUUUUAGUUUAUACUAGAGGGAUAUAGAGAGAAAGAAAGAGAAAUGUUCCUGUCCAUGAUCCUAAAAUUAUUAAAGUUUGGGAAAAUUAUCAAACCAUGAGUUUUAAUAGUAGUUUUAUUUGUUAAAGCUAUUAAGUCAUGUGGUUUAAUACUAUAAUUACAUAAUGCUAUUAAACACACUAUUUAAUAUCUUUUCUAAACUUUAAUAAAAUCCAAAAUCUUGGACUAACAAUUGAAAUCUUGUUAUUAUAUAUACUUGCAUGGUCAGUGCAUUUAGAGUGCGUUUGGCAUAUUGUAUUAUAUUACGGCAUUAUUUUAAUGCUUGUGUGUUGUAUUAUUAUAAUACUGUAUUGUAUUAAGUUUUUAUGAUUAAUUUAAAUUAAAUAUUAUAUUAAUAAAUUACAUUAAUAUAUUUAAAUUGUAAUAAUAUUUUAUAAUAUUAUUUAUACUAUUAUUAAUUUUAAAUUAAUAUUAUUAAAAUUUAUUCAUAUUUAAAUAUUUAUUAUUGUUUAUAAUAAAUUAUAAUGUAAAAAUAAAAAAAUUAUAUAAUAUUAUACUAAAUUAAAAUAAUAAUAAUAAUAAUAAUAAUAAUAAUAAUAAUAAUAAUAAUAAUAAUAAUAAUAAUAAUAAUAAUAAUAAUAAUAAUGAUAACAACAACAACAGCAACAACAACAACAACAACAACAACAACAACAAUAAUAAUAAUAAUAAUAAUAAUAAGAAAAAAGCAAAUGUAAAGUUGGAAACCGAAAGGGGGAAAAAAAAAGAAAGAGCAAGCUGGCCCAUUAUGCAGUGUCCCUAUAACUUUUAGCUUACCAAAUAUGUAAUGAGGAGUCAUAAUAAAUUUAAUGUAAUGAAGAGUCAUAAUACAUCAACCAAACAUGCCUUUAUAGUGUGUUUGACAUACUGUAUUAUAUUAUGUUGUAUUGUAUUAAUAUUAUAUUAUAAUAAUAUUAUAGUUCUACACUGCAUUGUAUUAAUUUUUUUGUGAUUAACUUAAAUUAUAUAUUUAGAAAAUAAUAUUUUUUAGUACCUAGAAAAAUUCUAAAUAUAGAAGUCUUAAAUUUUAGAAAUUUAACAUUAUUUUUUAGUAUAAAUGUUAAAAAAUCAUUUUUUUUUCAUAAAGAUCGAAGCUUAUAGCCUUAUAUUCUCGGCAGCAUAACAUUUAUUUUUUAGUAUUUUCUAAAUAUAUAACAUCUGAAAUAAAGAAUGAAGUGAAUAAUUUAAUCAAAUAAUCUCUAAAUAAUAUCAUAAUGUAAUGAUAUUUUAUAUUAUUAUUUUUAUUGGUAUAAUUUUAAAUUAAUAUUAUUUAAAUUUAUUCGUAUAUAAAUAUUUAUUAUGAGUUAUAUUAAAUUGUUAAAUAAUAAUCAAUUUUUAUAUAUCAAUUACUAUAAUAUAAUAAAAUAAUGUAAUAUUAUGUUAUAUUUUUAUUUUUAUAUAUUACUUAAGUACUUAUUGUUAGUUAUGUUAACUUAUUAAAUAUUAAACUAUCUUUUAUAUUAAUUAUUAUAUAAUUAAAUAAUACAUUAUUUAGUUAUAUUUUUAAUAUAAUAAAAAAUAAAAUAUGAGUAACAAUUUAUAAAUUUAUUGAUUUAUAUCAAUAAUUAUGAUGUAAAAAUAAAAGAAAAUAAAAAUUAAUAUUAUAUAAUAUUAUAUUAAAUUAAAAAAUUGUAUUUAUUUAUUAUUAUUAACAAAAGCAAAAGUAAAAAGGAAAAAAAUAAAAAAAAAAACUAAAGCAAAACGCUAAUGCGCUAGUUGGCGCAUUAGUAUACCCCCUUAAUUCCUUGUAAAUUCCAAAUAUAAUAUUGGUAUUAAGUUAAUGUAAAUAGUAUUUUAAUACUAGUAAUCCCAUGAUCCAAACACACCCUUAAUUAUUUCAGUAAUCACAAUUUAUUCUUAUUCACUCCUUAAAGGAAUUAGCGUCAGCUGAUUUAAAAAGCAAGAGAAAGCACCAGCUAGCAAAGUAUCUGAUGCAAACUCAUGAGCUGAUGAGGAAUUAAUGUGAUACCACUUUGUAACGUACUCUUUUUCCAAAUCACCGAAAAGAAAAAUAAAUAAAUAAAAUAAAGCACUAUCUGACGUAUCAUGUUUAAGAAUAAUUUUUUACUACUAUUUUGUUCCUUGCUUGAUUCUACUUCAAUUCCUGCAUGAAUUAAAUCUUACGCCAAUUGCUUGCAGAAAGUCAUUCAAUCGAAUUGAAAUUUAUACAUAGGAGAUUGAAUCCAGAAUUCGAGUCGUCGAGAAACUCAAUUUCCAACAAUAAAUUUCUCAGAAGCAUAAGAAUAUAUGUAUUAUGAAAUUCACUAUUCCUUAGAAGUGACGACCUAAAACUCAAGAAUUGUUAUUUAAACUUUUAACUUGAUCGACCAUGAAAACGUUUACUAUCAGUUUUCCUUGUUAAAUUCAAAGUGAGGAUACCUCCACUAAAGCAGGAUUUUACACACGCGCGCGCGCGCACACACACAUAUAUAUAUAUAUAAUAUAUUAGUCGAAGAUGAUGGGACGGGACUUGGGCUGGCCUUAAUUUGUCUUUUCGGAUUUGUUAGACUUGAUAAGAGUAAAUCUUAUCUUUACUAUAAGAUAAAAGUCUGAGUAGGUUUGGCCCACACUAUCUCAACAGUUAAAAUAAUAAAAUAAUUUACUAAUAUUCAACAAUGAUAUUCUCACAAAAAUGGAUACAAAGGUUUGUACAAUGAGGGCCUUUUUACAAAUCAUUUCAAAGUUUUGUGUUAUUUUUAUAAUUUAUGAAUUUUAUUAAUUUUGAUUGAUUCGAGGAUUUCCCAUUCUAUCUCUUCAACAUCUAAUUUUAAAUUUCUUUAAAGUUUUGACCAUAUCUUUAUAGAGUUCUAAAUGAUUAUCUUUUUCAUAAAAAGCUAUACUUAAAUUAAUCCCUGAAUUUAUAAUCAUUUGUCUUCUUUGAGUUAUAGACCAAAUUUUUUCUUCUAACAUAUCUAUGUAUACUCCUAAGCCAUCUUCCCAGCUUAGAUACAUUCUAUCAAAACUUUCGCAUAUAAAUUGUAAUUUGAGAUCAGCAUCUUGAAUCAACAUCUCUAUAUUAUUAUUAUUAUUUAUUGUUUUACGCUUGAUUUUGAGUUUUAUUAUUAUUAUUUCGAGGGUAGUUAAAAUUGAUUCUAUUAAUGUUAUCCUGUUUUCUUCUUCAAAAGAAUCGAAUAUUUCUGGAUCAUUAAUUUCGUUUAUUUGUUCAGAUAAGCGUUUGUUUGCAGUUAAUCUAGUUUUAAUCAACGAAAUUGUAUAAGCAACUUGAUAUUCUUGACAAAAGUCUAAAUGAUCUAUUGCAUCUAAAAAUUUAUUAACAGAUCUUUCCAUUUUUAAGAAAUUGAGUUACUCUUAUCACUUCCAAUCUUACAACAUCUCAUAAAACAAACAAGGCCCAACAUACUUCCAUUUGUAGUUAAAAUAAUAGAAGAGUUCAGAUUACUAACCAAUGUACUAUCUCUCGGAAUUCUGAGAUAGACUCACUUAUUGCCUCCAGCCAUAGAGAGGUCCAUGGUCAGCACCGCCAUAGCUCCACACAUCAUACACGAUCACUUCAAAGACUGUUCCACAUGGCCCAACACAACACACACCAAAAUGACCUAAUAGGAUAUGUCUAAAUGAUUUCCUUGCAGUUGUCUCUGGAAGAGUGCUUAGUAAUAGAAAAUCUUCUUCGUUUAGUACAAGUAUUGGCAUGUAAGAUUCUUGGUUAAUUUUCAAAAGAUGUUUAAGAUAUCUGGAAGAUGAUAAUUUCACUCAAAAACAUUUUAUUUAUUUCAUUAUUGAAAUUGUUUACAGAGGGAGGUUACAUAUAUUACAUAGGUAAUUGAAGGUUAGACACAUGCUGUCUUUCCUUUCUUACAUGCUUUCAUUUAUAUAUCUCAAGGGAUAAGAUUAACUAUGUUACAUAACACAUGUUCGAUUCUUGUGGUAGAUUCUCGAUUUCCUUUUGAUAAGGUGACCCCCCAUCUUCAUCAUUGAAGGCACUAGUUGUCCUCUUUUCAUGUUGGCAGACAACCUUUAUCUGGUGAGUCUUUUCUUUUUGAAUUAUUGAUGCUUUUUGGAUAGCAUCUUUUAUCUUUUGUAGUGGUCCCCAUCGCAUGCCAAUUAUCAGAUCUUCAUCUGGAGACAUGUCUUCCCCACUAAAAUCUCCUUUUGAUCCUUCGUAGCAGUAGCCACAUGAUAACUGAUGCUUUAGCACCUUACAUACCUCGUGGUGUGUCGGUAAACUGGAUUCCACGAGAUUUUCAUAUAUGCCCUUUUUCUUUUUUAAUAUGGCCUGUCUGGGUAAAAUAUUUUCUUUUCUACUCAUAGAAAAGAUUAGAUGCUCUUUUGUGGCUUCGUGGAGCCAUAUUUUCUCCUUACUCAUCCUCUCAAGAGAUUCAUAGAGGACUUUCAUUCCUAUAACCCUUUUGCUGGUGAGAGCUUUUGGCUCGAACAGUUUAGGAUCAUAAUCAUUGUAGACUUGAUCUAAAUCAACAGUUGGACUAACUUUUUUGCUGCUAAUUCCAACUUGAAUCAUGUGCUGUGCUGGAUACCACCUGCUACCACAAUAUUCAGGGCAAGCAGUAAGGAUCUUGAUAAAAUCAAUAUCUUUUGUUUGAGAUAUCAUUUUGAGAUUAGUAGCAGCCUCUACAACUUUUGCGAGGAGCUUUUUUAUUUCUUUGCAAUCAUCACUGACAUAAACAAGGUUAAGAAAACCAUAUUUAAACAUGUCUUUUAUUAGUUUUGGAUCAGCUCCUGGCAUAAUGUUUAUCCUUGGAUAUAGCCCUGAAUGGUAUGGUAUAAUAGUCUGGCUAGGAUGAAUCCCAUAGGCUAUUUUAUUAAUUCUUUUAUAAUCAUAAGUAUAGUCGCUUCCUAUCGGUAUUUUAAUUUUUAACCAUAGGGACAGACUGUCCGCUUUUAUCAUACUAGGGUCUUAGGCUUAUUAAAGAUCCUUGAGAUUCUUCUUUCUUUGUACAUUGAUCUUUAAGAUCAUUGAUUGUGAGAUAUCUCUCUGGACAUGUGACCUUUGAGUUUUGUGAAGAACUCUGAGCGAUCUAUCCCUCAGAUUGAUCCUCAAAAUGGACCUUUUUUUAGCAUAUUGCUAAUAUAUUGUUAUGACGUUUGGACUUGAGGAUGAUCUUGCAAACUUUUAUCUAGGCAAAGUUUGCUCAAUUCUUCAUGGGCAUCAUCUAUCAUGGCAAGCCCAGCAUAAAUCAUACUAUUGCCUUUGAGAAGUAAUUCUUGUCCUUCAGGGCACAUUAUUAUGCCCUUAAUUAUUUUGGAAAUGCUCUGUUCCAUUAUAUUCUCGGCUAAGAAAAUCUGUAAUGUAAUUGUUAGAUUCCUUAAUAUAUUCAAUUUCAAAAUCAUAUUAAGCAAAAAAAUGUUGCCAUCUAAUUAAUCUUUUAUAAUGAGGAAGAUUAGGCAAUUUAUUGAAUAUAAAUCCUUUGACUUAAGUGUUAUCGGAUCUUACAUUAAAUUUCUUUGGUAACAAAAAUAAAGAAAAUUUAGCUAUUCCGUUUUUAAUAGCCAAUAAUUCCUUUUCAUUACUAUGAUAAUUCAUUUCUGCGGGUUUGAAGGUUCCGCUAGAAUAUCUACAAAUAUUUUCUUAAUCUGUUUUUAAGACUGCUCCGCAGUGAUUAUCUGAAGCAUCGAUUUCAAGAAUUAAAUUAUCACUAGAGGUAGGGAAUCCUAACCUUGGAAGAUUUUUAAAUUUUUCUUUUAAUCUUUUCACUACCUUGGUAUGUAGAUCUUCCCAUGAUUUCAUAUUAUUCUUUCUUAAUAAUCCUUGUAAAGAUUGUCUUUUUUUAGCUAAGUUUUCUAUAUAACCUUUAGCAUAAUUAAGACACCCUAAAAAUCUUUGAAUUUUUUCUUUAGAUUCUAAUUUAUGUGGGAAUAGAUGUAUUUUUUCAGAAAUAUGGGGUUGCAUCUCAAUUCCUGUUUCAUAUAGUAUUAACCCUAGAAAUUCUAUUUUGGGUUUUAUCAUUUCAACUUUCUUUUUAGAGAGUAAGAUUCCAUGUUUUUUGCAUUUUUCUGCGAAAGAAAUUAGAUGAUUUACAUGAUCUAUCUUAUUAUUUGAAAAUAUAAGAAUAUCAUUUACAUAAAUUAUGCAAAAUUCAUGAAAUUCUUUGAAGAUUUUAUCCACCCUUCUUUGCAAUAUUUGUGGUGCAUUUUUUAAUCCAAAAGGCAUUACAAUCCACUCAUACUGUCCUUGAGGGUAACUAAAGGCAGUAAGUGGUACAGUUUCUUCUUCAAGUUUAAUUUGCCAAAAUCCAGAUUUGCAAUCAAAUUUGCUAAAUAUCUUUUUAUUAAUUACAGAAGUAAUUAAUGUAUCUUUAUGAGGUAAAAAGUAUCCAUCGAAUUUGGUAUACUUAUUUAAUUCUUUGUAGUUAAUUACCAUACGAGCUUUUCCUCGUUUAAUUUCAUCAUGAUUUCUAACCAUAAAGACUGGGCUACUAUGAGGACUUUUAGAUUCUCGAAUAAUCUUGAGUUCUAAUAACUCUGUAAUUUGUUUAUCAAAUUUUUGUUAUCAAUUUUUUGUCUAUCUUCUUGUCCAUACCUCAUAGGCUUGACUCUUAUGAUAACAUUUGGAUCUUUUAAUUCAAUUUUUUCAUAUGUUUUAUCAAUUUCCCAUAAUUGAAUUGGGUUUUCUCCAAAAUUUUUAUCAACUUUUUCUAAUUUUUUUUUCAUAAUCUGAUAUGACUUGCUUGAUUUUUAUAUUGUAUUCACCACCCUGGCUGCUUCGAAAAUGUAAUUUUUGAGUUGUUCACCUAAUAGGGUUAUAAAUUCUCGGUGUGGUAAUGGAAUGAUUACAUGACAUUUUAAGAGUAAUUCAUUCGUUAGUCAUUAUAUAAGUGAACUGACGGAGGAAAUUGACUCCUAAAAGUUUAUCUGCGCCCAUAUGAUCAUAAGACCAAAAUAUAAGGAUACUUAAGAUGUAAUUUUUUAUUUGAAUUAAAAUUUUAAUCCUACAUGUUCCUAAGAUGAUUUUUUCGCCAUUUAUUCCAUGUCCUGUUAAGGGUUUAUAAUCUUUCCAAUAUGAUUUUGGAUAAAUCUUGAAUUAGCUAAGCAAACUCCGGAACCAGUAUCUAUUAAAGCAUGAAACCAUUCUGACUUAUACUUAUAAUAUGGUAUAAUCACUUUUAUAUAUACUAUAAAAGGAUUAGACACAUCUUGAUAUGGUUUGCUUAAUUCCUUCAAUUGUUAAGCUUAUUUAUCUAUCUCCUAUAGAAUAAGGAGUAAAAUUCUCAAGAAAGUUCAUCCUUAAUAAUAAAGGACUUAUUUCUGUUUCAUAAUCUGGUUCUAUGAAAAAAGGAAAGAUGAAUUCUAUCCCUUUCAUUCUUAAUAAUAUUUUACUAUAUUGGCUUAAUGUCUUUCUUUCUCCAUAAAUCCUAUAUAAGUAUGAGCCUCAAUUAAAAUUUUUCUUUUUAGAUAUUUAAUCAUUUUAGAAUCUACAUAAGAUUUUGCAGCUCUUGUAUCAAGGAUAGCAAAAGUCUUGUGCCAUGAUUUUCCAUUAUUAUAUUCAAUCUUAAUUUUUAGAUUUUGAUUAUUUUUUCUAAUUGCGGCUAAUAUUUCAUGUGAUGGUGGUAUCACAAGAUGACUACAUCUAGUAAAACUUUGGGUUCUACUUAAUUUUGGUUCUCUUUUUGGUAUAGAGAACGAUCUUCUAUUUCCUAUGAAAAUUCUUCCUUUUAGAGUAUAUUUUAUAGCUUUAAUGGUAUUUCCUUUGAUUAGGGUAGCUUGAGUACUUAGAUCCAUUUCCCAAUCUAUUUCCCAUUCUUCUGGUAAAUAUAUUUCUCUUAAAGUUUAAGGAGGUUGUAUUUUUCCAACUUUAUUGAAUAAUUUAUCAAUUUCAAUAAAAUCUUUAUCAGCAAACAUUUUACUAUUUGCUGAAUUUGUUAAUGCAUAUUCUAUGGCAUGUGUUAUACUAUAUGGAUAUGAUCCAUCAUGCAUUAUGUCAAAAUAUUUAAAAUCAUGACAUAAGGUUAAUGUCUUAUUUAUAUUUCUGUCUUUUAGACUUAUAGAGUAUUUGGGAAAUAUUUUAAAUAUCAAAAUUUUGUAAUUUAAGUUUCCUUGUAUUAUUCCAAGGAGCGCAUGUUUUUGAUCUUUGAUUCUAUUAUCCAGUAUUGCUAAAUUUACUGGACUAUUUAUUCUUUCUCUAAAAUGAGCUUUUAUCAUGACUUGAUAUGCGAUGAAUAUUUAUCUUCUGCCCCUGGAGCUUUGCCGAGAGUUAGAGCGUAUGAUGAACUCAUUUUGGUGGGGUCGAAAAGGGCAGGGCAGUGGUGGUAUCAACUGGUUGAAAUAGGAGAAGUUGUGCUUUCCUAAGACUCAUGGGGGCCUUGGUUUUAAAAGUUUACAUCUUUUCAAUGUUUCCAUGCUCGGUAAACAGGGCUGGAGCCUCCAGACCAACCCCAAUACGUUGGUAGCUCGUCUUUUCAAGGCCCGUUACUACUCACAUUCCUCGUUUGUUGAGGCUUGUCUGGGAAACAAUCCUAGUUAUGUAUGGCGCUCUAUUCUGUCAGCUCAGCUAGCCAUUUCUUGUGGCGGCCGUAUCCAAAUCGGAGGGGGUCAGCACACUGUUAUUGGAAGUGUGCCUUGGCUGUCCGACCCUGUUAACGGCUUCAUCUCCUCGAUCAUUCCAGCACCCAUCUCAGAAGCCUCAGUUGACAGUCUUAUGGAGCUUAAUCAACGUAAAUGAGACUUUGAUGUGGUGGCUGACAUCUUCAACAGCAUGGACCGCGAUCUUAUCCUCCGAAUCCCUCUCAGCUCAGGGCGGGAUGCUGACUCAUGGUAUUGGCUGCCUGACCCCAAGGGGCUGUACACUGUUAGGAGUUGCUACCGCAUGCUAGACCAAAAGCUUUCUCCCCCCAGCAGCAGCGUUUGGCGUAAACUGUGGCAGCUCCCUGUUCCUCCCAAAGUUAAGAAUUUCCUCUGGCGAGCUAUGGCCAAUGUCCUCCCCACCGCGGAUAACUUGCGGCAGCGUCGUGUUGAGGUACCAGUUCUAUGCCCAAUCUACCACUCCUCCUCAGAAUCCAUUUUUCAUAUUCUGGUUACUUGCCCUUUUGCUAAGUCAUGUUGGAUUUCCUCUAUAAUUGGUUUCAAUGGAUCUUGGUUGUAUUUUGACCAGUGGUUGGAGGAGUUGUUUGAUCGAUGUCAGCUUGAGGAUUAUAGCUUGGCAGCCAUGAUUUGUUGGGGUUUAUGGUUGAAUAGAAAUAACAUGGUUUGGAAAGGUGUCAUUGGGAGGGUCCAGCAGGUGGUUAAUGUGGCUGGGCAAAGUUUGUUCCUUUGGCAGCAAGCUUGUCAGAGUGACCUCUAUUCCCCCCCUAAGCAUGAUUCCUUCGUUCAUGGUUCUGUUUGCUGGACAAAGCCAAGGGCUGGGUGGCUUAAGUGUAAUGUUGAUGCUGCUCUAUUUCGUUAAAAAGGGCUGACUAGCUUUGGGGCUGUUCUGCACUCAGAUGGAGGUGUUUUUAUUGCGGCAAAAAGCAGCUCUCUCCCCGGAAGUUUUGAUCCUCGUGAAGCUGAAGCGCUUGCUGUUAAGGAGGCCCUUAGCUGGCUCAAGACUUUUCCUUUUACUCUUGUUAUUCUAGAAAUGGAUAGCUUGUUAGUUUUUAAUGCUUUACAUGAUCAGCUUGUCUAUCCUAAUGGUUUUGGUUCUAUCAUUGCAGAUUGUAGAGUUUUGGCUCAAUCCUUAGGAGAAGUGGCGUUCUCUUUUGUUCGUAGAUCUGCGAACUCCGCUGCUCACACUGUUGCUCGAGUGGGGAGUUCUAUGUCAGGUUCGGGAGUGUGGAAUUUUGUUCCUCCUCCCUGGUUAUGUAAUUCUUUGGCUGUGUAAUGAAAAUUUCUCCUUUAAAAAAAAAAUCAUGACUUGAAUUCCUCCAAUAUGAACAUUUCCAAUUUUAAGUCUAUCACUAGAUUUUAUCUUAUUUAUCCUAUCUUCUAUAUCAGUUUUUAAUAAUAAUGGUAUAUUUGUAUUUCCUCUUGCAUACCUAAUUUCAAUCGGUUUUUCUCUUACGAUAGCACUAAAAUACACUAUAUUUUUUUCUUUUAAUCGUGUUAGCAAUGCCUUGUGCUAACUUAUUAACUGAAGUCAUAGAUGAUUCCAAUCCUUUUUUAUUAAUCUUGAGAUAUUGCUUUUUAUCAAAUAUUAAUUCUCUAUUAAAAGAACCUUGCUCUUUUAACUCUUCAUCUUGAUAUAAAUCUUUGUUUUCUAAUUCUUCUAUACUCAUUCUGAAUUAGAUUCUGAAUUAGAACCUCUAAAAGUUUCAUCAGAUAGAUAAUAUAUGCUACAGUUUUCACUAACAUCUUUGCUAUCGGUGAUUAAUUCUAAAUCAUUGAAAUCUUCAAAUAUUUUUAUAUUUGCUUUCUUCUUUUUAGGACAUUCAUUUGCAUAAUGUCCUUCUUCAUUACAUAACCAACACUUACAUUUUUUAGGUGCAUUGGUUUUAGAUCUUCUUUUAAAUUUAUUUUUCUUGUAGAAUUUCUUUUUAUAUUUAUUUUUCUUGUAAUAUUUUCUGUUCGCUUUAAAGAAUUUCUUCUUUUUGAAUUUCUUCUUGUGCUUAUAGAUUUUAUCUAAACAUCCAAAUCUUGGUGGAUCUUCUAACCUAGAACAACAUAAUCCUCGAUUUUGCCUUUUCAUAAGUCUUCUAUCUCUUAUUUCAGAACACCAUUCAUUAAUUCUAUUUUGAGCAAAUCUAAUCCUAUUUCCUAAUGUAUUAGUUUCUGUGGUAUCUUUGUAUUCUUUGUUAUAUUCCAACAUAAUCCUUUUAUCCCAUGGGUCUGGUAUCUUUACAAAAUAUAGAUCAUGGUAAUAGCAUAUGUUAUCUUCAUCUUUAUCAAUUUCACAUUUAUAAUAUAUUUCUUCGAAGCUACAUGUAUAUUCUUCUAAAUAACAUAUAUUACAUAUUUCAAGCCUUAUUAGCUUCAUUAAAUUUUCUAUCUGUUUUCUUUUUAUUUCUUAUUGAAAAUCGGUUUCCCAAUCUUCUCCUAAAAAUUCUUUUCUUAUUUCAUUUUCGAAUCUAUUUAAAACUUGAUCAACACUUUCGUUUGAUCAUUAUUUUCUCCAUACAAUAUUCUAUUUUUGUGGUUAUCAUUUAAUCCCAUAAACCAAUGAGAUACAAUUCCUAUAAACGAAAUUUUAAGGAAUUCUAUACUAUUAUCCCUAUCAAUUUUGUGAAAUGUAAAAGCCAUUUUCAUAUAUUUAACCCAAACAGUAAUUGUUUUACCUCUAUCUUUGAUACAAUCUAAAUCUAAUCAUGCACCAUCAUGAUUGAUUGGUCCGUCUCUAUAUUCUCCUGGAGUUUUAUAAUCUUUUUUAGGCUUGUUAUUCCUAAAAUAUUGACCUUGUGGUAUUUCAUGAGUUGGUAUUUCUUCUCUAGCAUAAGAAGCUCUAUUACUAGUUUCUCCUUAUUCGAAAACGUUUGGUUUUGAUUCAUUCAUUUUUAGUUUAAACAAUCUCUGAAGCAGUGGUAUAACCGAUUUGAUCGAUUUAUGAGGAGACAAAGGCGUAAAAGAAAUAAAUUUGAUCAUUAUGUGUGUCAUGAUCCAACCUAGACCUGGUAAGAUAUUGUACGUUUUGGGCCUUAGCAAGGCUCGCACGGUUUUGUUCCUAGGGCGCCCAUACACCCCAAAACACGUUUUGCCAAUUAAGGUGGAGACCACCCCUUAUAAACCUAGCAUCUCUCCCGUGCUUUGCCGAUGUGGAAUUUGUCUAGGGUGUCACAUACACCCCCUUGGGGACUCAGCGUCCUCGCUAAGGUUUGCCCCACCAUCGCUCAAGAGGACAUGCGGAGCCGCUCUAAUAUCAUAAUGUCACGACUAAACCUAGACUUGGCAAGAUAUUAUCCGCUUUGAGUCUUAACAAGGCCUACACGGUUUUGUUCUUGGGGCACCCAUACACCUUAAAACACAUCUUGCCAAUUAAGAUGUAGAUCACCCCCUAUAAACCUAGCACCUCUCCCAUGCUUUGCCAAUAUGAGAUUGGCUUAGGGUGUCACAGUGUGUAUUUUCACAAGGUACAAAAAGGAUCUUUCAUAUAUUUGCUCUUGCAUGUUGAUGAUAUGCUAAUAGCAUCCAAGAGAAAAUAUGAGAUUGAGAAGUUGAAGACUCAAUUUAAUAAAAAAUUUGAGAUGAAAGAUCUGGGUGAAAGUAAGAAGAUUCUAAGCAUGGAGAUAUGCAGACAUAGAGUUCGUGAAAAAUCAACUAGUCUCAUAAGCAAUAUUUGAAGAAGGCACUAUAAUAAUUUGGUAUGACAGAGCAGACAAAACUUAUGGGUAACCCGUUGACUUCUCAUUUCAAGCUUUCUGCACAACUAUCUCCUUCAACAGAUGCGAAACGAGAAUACAUGUUACAAGUUCCGUAUUCAAUGCAGUGAGUAACUUGAUAUAUACAAUGGUGUGUACAAGGCCUGACAUUUCACAUGCAGUUGGUUUAUUGAACAGGUAUAUGCAUAAUCCUAGUAAAGGACAUUAGCAAUCAGUGAAAUAAAUUCUACAGUACAUUUACAAGACUGUGGAUGUUGGUUUACUAUUUGAGGGAGAUGAUACACUUAGUCAAGGUGUGAUCAGGUAUGUUGUUUCUGAUUAUACUGGUGAUGUGGACAAACGACGGUCAUCUACAAGAUAUGUAUUUACUCUUUCUAGAGGGCAAGUAAGUUGGAAGUGGACAUUACAAUCUAUCGUUAUUCUGUUAACCAUAGAGGUCGAGUACAUGGCAAAUAUAAAGGCUAUUAAAGAGGCUAUUUGGUUCAAGGUUUACAUGAAAACUUGGGAUUCAUACAAGAGUACAUUAAUGUGUAUUGUGACAGUAAAAAUGCUAUUCACUUAGUAAAAAACCAAGUUUAUCAUGCAUGUACAAAACAUAUUGAUGUUCAAUUUCAUUUUGUGCGAGAAAUUAUUUAUGAGGAGAAGAAUCUUUUUCAGAAAAUAAAGACUGUAGAGAAUCCCGCAGAUAUGUUGAUCAAGGUAGUGACAACGAUCAAGUUUGACCAUUGUCUAAACUUGAUCAAUAUCCUACAAGUUUAAAAAUAAUUGGAAAAGACAUAGAUUCGAGGAUGAUUUGAUAUAUAAGGAAUUUUGUAGUUGGCUUAGAUUUGGAUAAAUCUUCACUAAGGUAGAGAAUUGUUAAAAAAAUCAAAACAUGCAUUCAAAAUUAGUUGGUUCAUGCAAUUGAAAAACAUGCAUUCAUAUUGAAAAGAAAAACACAUGCAUGCAUUCAAAAUUGGAGAGACAAAUUUGAAAACAAAUUACUAAGAUAGGCACCUAAUUUUUGUUGACAAAAUUGUUGGGUUUGAUGCAAUAGUGCACUACAUUUUUUCCUAUAAGUUAAAGGCAAUUUUUCAUUUGUUGAGCAUCCAAAAAUUUGAGAAUAAUUGCAAGGGAAGUAAUUUGAGGAAGUUUUGAGAAAACUUCUACUUGAGUGUUCCUGUGAGGAUACAAUUUAGUACUUUGGGGUUUACACCGAAUCACAUAAUUAUUGUAUUUUGUUUUAUUUUUUUGCAUUUAUUUGUUACAUUUAUAUUUCUCUAGAAGUCACAAUCACUAGAGAAUGAGUAUUUGUUCAACCCGUAUUUCCACAACAGAGGGAUGUGAUUCAUGGAUUUAUCUAGCUUCAAUCAAGUCUUAGAGGCUAAACAAGGGUAGAGGAUUAUCCAGUUCCCUGACUCAUUGAUGGCAAGAGUUUUGCAAGCACAAUAUUUUAAAAGAGUAGAUUUUUUGAAUUGGGAUACAAACCAUCCUUCAUUUGGACAAGUAUUUUGUGGGGUAGACAAAUACUUCACUAUGGUUUGAGAUGGAAAAUAGGAAGUACAUAGCAAGUCAAAAUACAACAGCAACUGGAUCCUAAAGCCCUCAACUUUCAGGAUAAUGUUAGCACCCACUUUGCCCUUAGAUGCCACAAUUUCUCUAUUGAUAGUUAAAGAUCAUAAGUGGAACGAAAGUUUAGUGGGGCAACAACUCAUGCCUGAGGAUGUAGAUCAAAUUUUGAAGAUUGCGCUGCCAAGAUGUCCAAGACUAGAUCAACUUUUAUGGGGUUUUCACAAACAUGGCGAUUACUCGGUUAAAAGUGGUUAUCGAGUUGCUUUUGGGCUUAGAAUCUCAUAUUGUCCAGGCCCAUCAAAGAGAAGUCAUUCAGAAUAGUCUGAAAUUUGGAAGCUGGAAUUGCCAGAGAAAUUUAAGAUAUUCAUACGGAGGGCUGCACAAAAUAUACUCCUAACAGCAGAAAAUCUUUGGAAGAAAAAUGUUUUGCACAAAAUAUUCAUGUGCCAAAAGUGUGGUGAACAAGGAGAAAACCCUUCCCACGUUCAUCACGGAAGUCAUGGAGGAUUACAGAUUUUUCUAAAGAUAUGAAACUUUUUGUAAAUCAAGACCUACUUAGAGUGUUGCAUGCUCUGGCAGCGAAGAGAUGUAGACCAAAGAUAUAAUUCCUUGUAGCUCUAUGUUGGGCAAAUUGGCACUCAAGGAAUCUUUUUGUCUUUGAGGGAAAGAGAAAAGAUUCAUAGGUAUCGCUGGCACAAGCAGAAGCAAUUGUAAAUUCAUACAAGAAAAUCAAAUCUCCUGUUCUAGCAUUCCAUGUGAGUCUGAGUAGCUUGGGAAACUAGCAUUGGAAAUCUCCUCUAAUAGGAUAGUUCAAGGUGAAUGUGGAUGCAGCAAUAAAGCAAAAGAAUCUGGUGGCAGGCUUGGGAGCAAUCAUUAGAAACUUAGAAGGAAAGUUUGUAGCAGCAGCUCAAAAGAAAACCACAUAUUAUGGAGAUGUCACUACUCUAGAAACGAAAGCAAUAAAAAUGGCAAUUGAAACUGCAGUUUCUGCUGGUUGCAUGCCUCUAAUAUUUGAAUCUGACUGUCAAGAAGCCAUAAGCUUGGUUACAAGAAGAACUUGCAGCAGAACAUAAAUUUUCUGGAGUAUCUCAAAUAUCCAGGAUAGUUUACGAAGCCUGAACAAAGUUAAAGUGCAGUACACUUCAAGACUUCAUAAUAGCACUUCACACUCAAUUGCCAACAAAGCACUAAGCUCUAUAGAACCAACCACGUGGAAAGAUGAUUUUCCUUAUGUUAGAGUGCCAUUUAUGCACUAGUUUUGCAUUGUUUACUUCCCUUAAUAUCGAUGUUUUGCACUUAAUAAUAGUGAUUUAUUUGUGUUUUAUUUUUAUAGGUGCAAUUCUAUUGAUUAGUGCUAAAAUUGAGUUACAAGAUGAUGUUUAAGGAUGAUUGUUCUCUUGGAGAAAUUUUGAACGUCAGAAGAACUUUGUUGAUAAGGCGUGGGCGCGUGCUGUCAACUACGAACCUGCAGUUUUUAGUUUAACGUGUUUUGUAUUUUUGGUUAUUUUUGUAAUUACAAAUUUAAUAUUUCAAAUAUUAGUAUUUUAUUUUAAAUAGAACUCUAAAGAAGAAGAGAGAGAGAGUAUUUAAGGGAGGAACCUAUUGUGAAAGGGGGGAGAUUGGAAAAAAAAAAAGAAACCCUAGAUCUAAACUUUUCUCUUCUCUCCAUGAAAAACUAAACCUAUUUUUCUGGUUGAAGGUUGAUGAAGCUUUAAUUUAUCACUACUGUGAGAUCUUUCUUAUGCUUUAAUUGUUUUAUUGCUUUUUGGGUAUUUGUUUAUUAUCUGAAUUAUUUUCAUGAUUAUAUUUGUUAAUUAGGUAAUUGACCACUAUUUAAUUAUCAAUUUAAUCUAUUGUCAAUUAAAGGAUUUAUCGUAUGAAGAUUUUAAUGUUUGUGACAAAUAACAUAACAGAGAGUUGUGUUGUGAGAAUAAACAAUCUAAUUUAAAUGAACCAUCGUAUGUGUUUGUUGAUUAGGAUUUGGGUCUCUCUGGUUUUUCAGGCUGUCAAUUGAUUAAAUCCUAUGAUCGUAUCUAGGGUUGUCUAUUGAUUAGGGAAAUAAUCAAUGGUCGUACCUUAGAUAUCAACUAGUUAAGGAGAGACUGGCUAUUAGAGGGUCUCAGUAGCUAUAACCGGUCUAUUAAUAAGUAGUAAUAAUUUAUAUUUGAAUUAAUGAUCAUUUGUCAAAUUAAACUGAGUUAAUUCCUUCAACCAGAGCUUUCUCCAAUUUGAAUUACAAAUUUAAUUUGCAUUCUUGUUAUUUUAAUUUGAUUUUUAUUCUUGUUAACAAAACCCCCAUUUUAUGUUUUAAGUUUUCAAAGGAUUUAAAUAAUUACCGAUCUCUGUGGACACGACCCUGCUUAAUCACUAUACAUAAUUUAUUUAGAGUAGGUAUUUAUUUUUGUUGGCUUCGACAACCAUCAAAUUCUGGCGCUGUUGCCGGGGAUUGGUGUCAUUUAUUUAAUCCUUUUUACGUUUUACUUGAUGUAUGGUUCGUUCUUCUCGUACAUGUACACUUUUGUUUGAUUUUGAAAUUGAGAAGACAGCUCACCAGCUGAGACAGCAAACAAAGCGAGCUAAGCAACGAUCCUUGUCGCCUUUGCUUUCUGAAACAGAUAGGGUGCCUGGUUUAUUUGAAUCAUCUAGCGAUUCAGAAGAACAAGUGAUGGAUAGAGCUGCAGCUGUAGAAAGAACUCUUAGAGAGUUAGCUGAACUAGACUUGAAUCAGCAACCACUCUGCAUUCAAUAUGUAGACUUGGAAGUAAAUUUUGAAUUAAAAUAUGGUCUUAUUCAUUUGUUACCCAAGUUUCAUGGUUUUGCUGGUGAAGAUCCUCAUAAACAUCUCAAGGAGUUUCAUGUUGUAUGUUCAAGUAUGAGACCACAAGGCGUGACUGAAGAGCAGAUUAAGCAGCGUGCUUUUCCUUUCUCUUUAGAUGGACUAGUUAAAGACUGGUUGUACUACUUGCCUCCUGGAUCGAUUACAAUGUGGAAUGGUUUGAAGAAGCAGUUCCUCGAGAAGUACUUUCCUGCUUCAAGAGCUGCCAACAUCAGAAAGAUAUUUGUGGGAUCAGACAACUUCCUGGGGAGACUUUGUAUGAGUAUUGGGAGUGAUUCAAACAAUUGUGUGCCAGCUGUCCUCAGCAUCAGAUUUCUGAUAAACUUUUUAUUCAAUAUUUUUACGAAGGACUAUCAUUAAUGGAUAGGAGUAUGAUAGAUGCUGCUAGUGGAGGUGUGUUGGUGAACAAGACCCCUACUCAAGCAAGGGAGUUGAUCUCAAAUAUGGCUGCCAAUGCACAGUAAUUUGGCAGUAGGCAAGAUCCCACUUCAAGGAAGGUGAAUGAGGUAAAUAUUUUUUUUUUUCUGUUGAACAACGUUUAGAUAAACUUACUUCUCUUGUGGAAAAGUUUAUUGUAAGUAAUGUGCAACAUGUGAAGACUUGUGGCAUUUGUUACAAUAUGGGUUAUUUAAUUGAUAUGUGUCCUACACUUCAAGAAGAACCCGUUGAACAAGCCAAUACAGUUGGAGGAUUUCCAGGCAUGCCUCAGAGGAGGUAUGAUCCUUAUGCACAAACAUACAAUCCAAGGUGGAAAGAUCAUCCCAACUUCAAAUAUGGAGUUAGGCCAUCAGGAUUCCCACAACAGUAUCCACCAAGACAACCAGCACCUCCACAGUCAAACUCCAAGUCAGGUAUAUCUCUUGCAGAAAUUGUUAAAUCACUUGCGACUAACACUCAACAAUUUUAGCAAGAACCUACAACAAGCAUUCAGAAUUUGGAGAACCAAAUAAGUCAAUUGGUGACUACAGUGAACCGUCUGGUGUCUCAAGUAUUAGGGAGAUUGCCUUCACAAUCUGAGGUGAACCCAAAGCAAAACGUUAGUGCUAUAAUCCUUAGAAGUGGGAAGGGGUUGCAAGAGCCUAGUAAGAAAGUGACAAAGCAUGUAGAAGAUGAGAUUGAGAAGAAUGAAUUGAUGCCUAAAUCUCAAGAUGCGCAACCCACUAGAGUGAAACCUCUACCUAUUGUGAUACCUCCUCAUUUUCCAAGCUGGUUUGCAAAAUUCAAGAAGGAGGAACAAGAGAAAGACAUCAUUGAGACAUUUCGCAAGGUUGAGGUAAAUAUUCCUUUAUUAGAUGCUAUAAAACAAAUACCUCGAUAUACUAAAGUCCUUAAGGAAUUGUGCACCUCCAAGAUAAAAUUAAGAGGAGAUGAAAAAGUUCACAUGGGGGAGAAUGUUUCAGCAGUUCUCCAAAAGAAACUACCUCCUAAGUGCAAGGAUCCAGGUAUGUUUACUAUCCCUUGUAAAAUUGGUAGUGUUAGAGUUGAAAAGGCUUUGUUAGAUCUAGCAGCUUCUAUUAAUGUCAUGCCUCGUUCCAUUUAUUCAUAUUUGAAUGUUGGUCCAUUAAAAGAAACUGGCGUGAUAAUUCAACUAGCUGAUAGGUCCAAUGCAUAUCUUGAUGGGUAUUAGAAGAUGUCUUAGUACAAGUUAAUGAGUUGGUUUUCUUGCUAAUUUUUAUGUACUUGAUAUGGAAGAGAAUAACUCUUCUAAUUAUGUCCUAAUUUCGCUAGGAAGACCUUUUCUUAAGACUGCUAGGACUAAAAUAGAUGAACAUAAAAGGACUCUCACUAUGUGUCUAGCCAAAGACAUAAAACAAAGGCGCUUUUUGGGGGGGCAACCCAAAUGAUUUAUUUAUUUUGGUUUUGUUAUAUUUUCCUUUAAUUUUGAUUCAGAUUUUUUUUAAAUAAUGUGUUUGCUUAUUUUGGUCAAAAGAAAUUUUUUUAUAAGGAUUGCCCACGUCUUAACUAAUAAGUAUUUCUGUGAUUUUUAAAGUAAAAUGAUUUUAAGUCGUGCCCACGUGCUUAUUAGAAAAGCACUUCUGAAUUUUUUUUUUAGUGUCUCAAAGUGAUUUAUCACUAAAAAAAAAAGAGUUUUUUUCUUUUUUUUUCUUAUAUUUAUAUUUAUUUAUUUAGUAAAAAAUAAAAAAACAAAACAAAAACAACAAAAAUAAAAAAUCAUUGUUCACAAAUCCCUAAUUCAAAAAUUACUGUUGAUUAUCGUUUUCCAGCAGCGCGCCUCAACUUCAGCCUUCACCAAGCAACCGCGUAGCACCAGCAAUCCACCAUCGUGCAACGCAACCAGCAGCAGUAGACGAGUACGCCCAGCCCUAAUCGCAAUGCGCAGCAUUAUCCCCAGCCUACUCACGCAACAGAUCCAGCGUCACCAGCGCGCAUCAGUCCUAGCUGCAGCACGCAGCAUCGUGCUAUGCAACCAGCCCUAGCAGUGCGCAUUAGUCCCAGCCGCAACGCGCAGCAUCGCGCAACGUAACUAGCCCCAGCAGUGCACAACAGAUCCAGCAUCACCAGCACGCAUCAGUUCCAGCCACAGCACGCAGCAUCAUGCAACACAACCAGCCGUGCGCACAACCAGCCCCAACCUGUGCAGCACAAUCAUCCUUAACCAGUCCACUCGCGUAGCAAGCUCCAGCCGAGCAGAAAUUGUCCGCAACCAACCUGUGCCCUGUAUUUCAGCCGGGUAAUUCGAAAUCCGUGAGUAAAAUUAUCGUAACAAUAUUGAAGAGGAAAGCAUCAACUUCCAAGUCAUCUAAAAAGACACCCGUCGCAAAGAAAUCCAAGAUUGCCGCUCCCACUACGGUUCCAUGUAACACAGUUUCAGAUUCACGCCAAGUCGUGAGACAAAGAUUGAAACAUGGAAAAGACAUGAGUGUUUUGCCACUUGCGGAAUCCAAUCUCGGAGGGUGUAUCACAUUCGUGACUUAACAAGAGAAAGAGAGGUACAAGGAUAUUUCCAAGCGAAAAGUACUUCUAGCUAAGUAUAUUCAUUACCCGACUCUUGAAAAAUUGAAUGUUAAGGAUAAUUUUAAUUCUUUAAUAGAUAAGGUUGGUUGGCGUAAGUUUAUUGAUGUUGAUUGUUUGGGUUAUGUUGAGUUUAUUAGAGAGUUUUAUGCUACUUUUCAAUUUAAUAUAUCGAAUGAUUUUACUUUACAUACCCCGGAUGUCAUAAAGUUUAGGUUAAUGGGACGAAUUUUUUCAUACUCUAUCACUGAUUUUAACCUAGCUUUAGGAUUCAUUGAUGAUGAUUAUUCUUCUAGUAAUGCAUAUUUAGGAACAACUUGUGACUUUAGCGAAAAUUUUGAGCCUUAUUGUCUUUGGCGUAAUUUAUCUGUUGAUCACAAUGCCUAUGACCCGAGUAAAUCAAAGAGUUCUUUCUUACAUGAUCCUGUUUUGAAAUGUGUGCAUCGAUUCUUAGCAUAUAAUUUUUUAGGAAAGAAAGAUCACUCAUGAUUUUUCUCUAAAACUGAAUUUUAUUUUAUCAGGUGCAUGUUAAAUGAUGUGAGGACUAAUUUAGGUUUUUGGUUAGCGGAUCAAUUUCAAAGUGUGCUUAAAUGGUAUAGGACUUUAUUUCUUAGUCCAUACAUUACUCUGUUAGCUAUAAACCUAUGUGUGCUUGAUCUUGACAAUAAUGAUUUGCAUCCUGCUUGGCAAAAGGAAUUUUUGGAUAUGUCUGUGUUUGAAAGAACAGGUGUGGUCGAAUUCAAGGAGGGAAGAUUUCGGUUUACUGAACUAGGACCCACUCAACCUCCAAAGAAGCUUUAUGCUAGGAGUGGUGCUACCUUUGAUGACGAGUUUGACGAUGACAUUGUUGCCCCGCCAACUAUUCCUUCUACAUUUGCACUACCUUUGGGCAUUCAAUUAGAGAAAAUGGAGCACAAGCUAAACAAGAUGGAGCAGAAUUUGGCCUACUUUGAGAGUGUGGGAUUUAUCCCACCAUUUCCGCUAAGCCAAUAAACAUUAUGUGGAUCAAAGCUCACAAUUCCGGUAAGUUUUUGCCUUUAAUCUUUUAUCCUUACACUUUGACCUACGACCAUGCAUGCAAGAAACACAAAAAUAAAUGGGAACAAAACAAAUAAAAAUAAAGAAGAGUGAGAAAUUACGAUACUAACCUUAUUGCGCUAUUACAACCUUACUAUAAAAACACAAAAAUAAAUACGUGAAAUAAAUUAACUAAAAAUAAAUUAAUAAGAUAAAUAAAAAUCACAACGAAGAAAUAAAAAAAUAAAUUGAAAAUUAAAUUAUAGAAUUUUAAAGAAGAGAAAAAGAAAAGAAAUACUAACCUCUAAAUGUGGAUUCACCUUUUUUUUUCUUUUCUUUUUUUGGUAAAAAAAUACAAGAAAAUAAUUAAAUGGAAAUAUUCACAAAAAUUAAUUCUAUGAAUUAAAAUUACUUACCUCCCCGGCAACGGCGCCAAAAACUUGUUGUGCAAAUUUUAUUGAACUCGCAAGCGCACGAAUCUGUUGUAGUAUAGAUUAAUGGUGACGAGUGUCGAUCCCACGAGGAGGUGGAUUUUAAUUAUUUAUAGAAUUAAUUUUGUAAAUGGGUGGUUGGAUUUGUGGUGGAAAUAAUUUAGAAUAUGCUAAAACGAAAUUAAAAUGGCGAGAAUAAAUUCUGAAAUUGGAAUUGAAAUGACAAUAAUAAAAUGAAGAGAAUUCUAAUAAAAUGAAGUACUUGGGUAUCUGGAUUCGUAUCAACAUGCAUCAUGGGCUAAAUAAUCCUUAUUAAUGCCAAUUAAAUCAUGAGGGGGGAAUCCACACCUCAUGAAUCACACUCUAAUAAAUAUGGUACUAAGGGCUUAUCGUGCCAAAUAAUAAUAAUCUUAUACUAGGGAGUCGGUGAAACCAGAGCAGUACUAGACAAGAUUAUUAUUAUCUGUCAACGAGAAGUCAAAACAUUCACAAAAACUAGAGGGGAAGGGAAAAUAAAUUUACCAAAUCAAGAUCAUGACACAUGUUGAGACUUCACCUUCAACCCAAGCUUAAAAGAAAAUUAGCCACUCAUAGUUGAACUAGGGACAAAAUGGAAAUUUAUUAAAAUACGUAGAAAAUACAAGAUAGACAGAGAAUUACAGAAAAUAGAUCCCAAAAAUGAAUUCAGAGGUGCCAAAUUAGGGGGGGAGGCCCCUUUUUUAUAUAUACAUCGAGUAAAUCAUGGCCAUCAUAUUAAAAACAGUUUGGAUGCUCAAGAUUGUGCCACGUCAUCAGUCAACAAUAAAGUCAACAGUACGCGUGAACAGUAACACGGUUUGAAUAGUUACACGGUUUACACACCGAACAGUAACGCGGUUUGCACAGUAAAUAAUCCCCUAUGUUGCAUGUACCGUACGCGCGUUUUUUAGUCCACUAAUAUGCUGCCUCGUCACCAUAAACAGUACAUGAGAAUUUUAGUCCAACAGGAUCUUGACACGUCAUCAGUCAAUGCCACGUCAUCGGUCAAUGCCACAUCAUCGAUUCUUACAUGUGAACAAUGCCGUGAACAGUUCUCGUACAUGUGAAUAGUACCGUACAUGUGAACAAUGUCAUUUUUCCUUUUAUACUCCUCCUAAGGUUUUCGACCGUCCUGAGUUCAAAAAUGGUGUCCGUUUUACCAUUUGAUCUCUCGUUUAUUGUGAAAUGACUAUGAUGCCCCUAAAAUACAUAAAAUACUUAAUUAAAAUAAAACACACAUAAUUAAAGUAUAAGAAACUUAAACUCAUAAAAGUAAGGGUUGUAAGUAAUACUUGAUAUGUAAAAUAACGAUUUUCUCCUUUAUAAAUAUGCAUUUUCUAACACUCAACACACCCCCCCAAUCAGCUUAUUGCUAGUCCCUAGCAAAUAAAGCGAAAACAAAAUUCAAAAAUGAUUUUUUUUAACACUUUUGUUUAUUCAAUCAAAUUAAUGAUAACAAUCAAAUAAAAGUAUAAGCAUUAUCUCAAGUCUAAAUAAACAUCACACCCACAUCAACCAUCCACAUGAAUUAGCCCAGUAGACUUUGUCGUAGCUACCUUCAAGAAUGGCAUGUCAAACCCCAAAAUCUCACUGGAAGUAGUGACACUCUCACAAAGAAAUUAAACCCAAAAAAUAGUCACUCCAAUGAAUGGUAAUCGAGAGAAAAUAAUAAAGAAGUGAUCUCACAUGCUCUCACCAAAAAGAAAUAUGCCCUUAGCUUAGAAAUAAUACGAUUUCAAGUCAAAUAAAAAUACUAGUCAACCCAAUUUAUUUAUUUAUUUAUUUUUUUAUGCAUCACUACAUCUUUUUAGCCCAUAUAACUAGCUUCUACUUCAGAUUAUAGUUCCCUAAAAUCAAGAUGAACUUUUAUUAGAACGUAACGUAAGCUAGGGACAUGGUUAACAAAGAAGGAAAAUAGGAAAAACAAAGUGUAUGUUUGAGAAAAAUGCAGAGGAUUUUUUUUUUUUGGAAGUUGCAAGGUGGAUUUUACCUAUUAUUGUUUUUUUUUAAACAACAAAUUUUUUUUUGAAGCAACAAUUUUUUUUCUUUUUUUUUGAACUAGGCAUAACUUCCCUAUACAAAAUGUUUAUGUACAUUUUUCUCAAACAUAAAUAGGUGAUGGAUUUUGUAAGAUAUUGAGUAAUACUCCAAAUCGGAGUGGGUCAAAAUGAUAAGUUGACAAAGAAAAGUUUUUUUUUUUUUAAGGCUCAAAAGGGUUAACUAUGGAUAUUUGAUAAAAGGGAUGGCUAGAAAGGCUCAAACGGAUCAAAGAUGGCCUUUCUAUCAUCUUUUAAGGCUCUAAGUAAUCUGCCAUAUCUACUAAUUAGAUUGGCUUCCAAAUGUAGCAACACACUUUUUUUUUUCUUUUUUUUUCAAAUUUUUUUUUUAGGGUUAACUCAAAAGAAAUCUAGAGAUCGUGUACAAUAAUAAACUGCUAAGCUGUAUAAAGAAUGGGCAAAGGGGUUACUGUCCAAGAAAAAUGAUAGGCUCAAAAACUCACUUGGUAUUUAUUAUGACAUAUUCAUUCCUUCAAGCAACUCAUAUUUGUCUCCGACAUCAACAUGUAGAGUAGCAAACAUAGUGUAACAUCACUUCAGACUAAAGAUAAUACAAAUACUAAAAUUUGAAAUCAUCAUGUCAUCCAAUGUUAAAACAAAUCACACAAAUUUUUUUUAAACAACAGUCUACCCCCCAACCUAUUCUAAACGUGAAAGGAAAAUAUUCAUGCAAAAAUAUGAAAAUGGUGCGGAAAAACAAUUAGAAAAUGAUAGAAAACGAAAAUUGUUUUUUUUUUUUUUUAACUUAAGAAGAUGUGUUUCUAGAGGCAAUACACUCCAUAUUCAGCCAUCUUCGACUCAAAAAUUUUUUGUUUGUAAAUGUAUAUUUAUAAAGGAGAAAUUAAAAAGGAGAAGAAAAGUGAACAUCAAAACAUAAUAAAGAAAAAGAAAAUAUCUGAUUUUUUUAUUUUUUAUUUAUUUUUUAUUUUUUUAAACAAUGAAGAUGCGUUUCUAGAGUCACUACACUCCAUAUUCAGCCAUCUUCAACACAAAAAGUUAGCAAUAGUUAGUUUCUACAACAAAAAAUUAGUAAAACUUAACCAAGAUUCCACAGUUGUCAACUAUUCCCUCCCCCCACCCAGAACGAAACAUUGUUCUCAAUAUUUUAAAGGAAACAAGUAGAGUUUAGAAGACAUCACCUGGGUGGUGCAACACAGAAGAAAAUAUUUACAGGCGGAGAGUUAAAUCUAAUUUAUACUUCUUACUGCGGCUACUGUUACCGUCAUCAUUUGAGCGCUCCAACACAAAGCUCCAGGGGUCUGGCUCCGGUUUAUAAGCUUGUAACAUAUCAAGUAGCUCAUUAGCAGUGUGAGCACAAAUAAAAAGCUUUUUCGCACUGGAAGGAAUAAAGUAGUUUUUUAUUGCAUGGUUAAGAAAUGUGAUAAAGCCAUCAUAAAAAUUAUUGACAUUUAACAAACCGAUGGGUUUCUGGUGAAUGUGCAGUUGGGCCCAAGAUGCUAGUGUGAUAAGUGCCUUUAGUGUGGCAAGAUCUCCUGGAAGGAAAAUAAAAGCAUCAGCAUGAUUAAGCAUUUCAAUUAUUCGUUCUUGCAUACCUGAGACGACUAACUCUUCUCCAGUCGGUGAGUCAGACACACUACCCAAAGGUUUUAGGACUCUUGGAAUGAUGCCUAACACUUGGCUUCCUCUAACAAAAGCAGCUUCUGAGACCAAUUUUGAUAACCCUCAGUUACCUCCUCCAUACACCAAGUGUAAUUUUCUCUCUGCUAUGCUUCGACUAAGAUCUAUGGCUGCAUCAACGAACUCUUUAUGUUUGCCAUAGGUAAAUCCAGAAAGCACACAAAUGUUCUUGAAUUGUCUAUUAGGAGUAGCUGCCAUGGGAAUAUUUCUCAAAAAUAAUUUGUGAGUGCUUAACAAAAAGUCGUAUUUAAGAAUCUUGGUGACAAUGGAUCACAACUGUGUAUGAGGUGGCAUGUCGAUGUCAAAUAACGCGUAAAGCACAUGGCUCGAUAGUCAAAAAGUAAACAGUAAAAACAAACAGUAAUAAAAUUAUUAAAGACAAUAAUGCAAAUGAUAAAACAACAGUGAAAUGAAAUAAAAUAACAAUAAAGUAAAAUGAUAUUUAUAGGUAGUUGCGACUGUGGCUCACAUCUUCCUCUGGUUUUACGUCCAGAAACGGCUUGAACGCCCUCUAUGGGUCGAGGAUAGGCUUCCCAUCCAAUUUUCUUAUAAACUGGCAAACAGGGUCGUUUAUAGUCAGAUUCCCGAGACUAUAUCGAGCAUGCUCUUUCUGGAAUAAUGACCAUAACUGGAGAAUCGCUCUUUGCACAUAUCCACUGGGAUGCGUUUCAAGAGAUCGAAGGAUAUAAUCCAAUGACUUUUUAUUCAAGCCAUCCCUAAUGAAUUGAAUCUUAUUUUCCCUGUUAUCAGACAACAUUCCUGCCAAUCGUACUUUCGCCUCGAUUAACCAACGAAUGUCAGUAGGUAUGUUAUUCCUCAUGAGCAAUCGCAUGCAUUCAGACCGAGCUUUAUAGAUCGUAAAGAGGACAUUCUGAGGGAGUGAAGGGAAUCGCUUGUGAAGCUUCGCUAGAAUCUCAUUUCUGUCCAUACCAUCGCCUCAGAAUAUCAGUUAUUAUGGGAAACUAAAGUAACCGACUUGAUUGUCACGGAGUACCGUUAACCGCCACUUCACCGGGGUAACAAACUAAAGCACACAAACAGAAAAACAAAUUAAAACACAUAAAGAAAAUUAAAAUCAUCCUCUUUUUGAAUUUACCUCAAGCUCCAACUGGAUGUCGUAAACACCUCUCUCAAUAUUUCUGAGUUGGCUUUCUAAAUCCUCAACGUAGGCUACUAACUCUGGUGGUUGUAGAGCCCAAAUGCGAUGUGUUUUACAAGAUUGAAUCUGCCUUUUGAGAUGAGUUUUGAUACGUUAAAGUGGUUUAAGAAUGUUCAGGAGGAACGAUCUUCGGCACUCAUGAUUAACAAUGAUAAGAGAAAACUUAAUGGUAAAACAAACACACUUAUGCAAAAAUAAAUUCAAUAAGCAAAAGAAUAAUAAAAAAAAGAAAAAGAUCAAACCACUGAAAAGCAAAAAUCAAUUCAAAUCUGGUGGGUCACUCAAAUUUAUUUCGGUGUCUUCUCCAUGUGGUUGGUACUCUAGAUAUGACUUUAAUCUUUGACCAUUAACUUUAAACGUAACACCGUUCUUUGGGUCUUUAAUUUCAAUUACCCCAUGUGGAAAAACAGUAUGAACAAUAAAUGGACCAGACCAUCGAGAGCGCAACUUACCUGGGAAUAGGUGCAAACGAGAAUUGAAUAAAAGCACUUUCUGACCUGGAGUGAAAGACUUUCUCAUAAUAUGCUUGUCACGAAAGACUUUCAUUCAUUGCUUGUAAAUCUUGGCAUUUUCGUAUGCGUCAUUACGAAUUUCUUCAAGUUCUGCCAGUUGUAAUCUUCUUUCUGAGCUGGCUUGCUGUAUGUCAAAAUUGAAUUUCUUGAUGGCUCAAUAUGCACGAUGCUCGAGUUCCACAGGUAGGUGGCAAGCUUUUCCAUAUACUAGCCUGUAGGGUGACAUCUCAAUCGGUGUCUUGAAAGCCGUUCUAUAUGCCCAUAAUGCAUCAUCAAGUCUUAAUGACCAAUCUUUUCUGUCCGGUCUCACCGUCUUUUCUAAUAUGUGCUUUAUUUCUCGAUUGGAGAUCUCCACUUGGCCACUGGUUUGCGGAUGAUAUGGGGUCGCCACUUUAUGAGUGAUUGAAUAUUUUGUCAAAAGAGCCUUGAAUGCUUUAUUACAAAAGUGGGCACCACCAUCACUUAUUAUUGCUCGAGUGAAUCCAAAGCGCGAAACAAUGUUGCUUUUCAAAAAUCCUAUCACCACCUUGUGAUCAUUGGUUCUGCAUGGAACUGCUUCUACCCAUUUCGAUACGUAAUCAACAGCAACCAGUAUGAAUUGAUGACCAAAAGAAGGGGAAAAUGGUCCCAUGAAGUCGAUACCCCAUACGUCAAAAAUCUCGACCACUAAAAUUGGAUUUAGUGGCAUCAUGUUCCUUCGUGUAAUGCUCCCCAUUCGUUGACACCUAUCACAUGAAGAACAGAAAGUGUAAGCAUCUCGAAAUAUAGUUGGCCAAUAGAAACCACAUUGUAAAACUUUUGUAGCUAUUUUCUUAGCACUGAAAUGGCCUCCACAAGCUUGAUCAUGGCAGAAUGAAAUGAUAUUCUGAAUUUCAUUUUCUGGGACACAUCGUCUCACAAUUUGAUCUGCACAAUACUUGAACAAAUAUGGGUCAUCCCAAAAGAAAUUCUUUAUUUCUGCAAAGAAUUUAACCUUGUCUUGCUUGGUCCAAUGCUCUGGAAGUUUACAUGUAACAAGAUAAUUAACUAUAUCAGCAUACCAAGGUAAAACUUCCACACUCAUUAAUUGUUCAUCUGGAAAGGACUCAUUCAAUGUUAAUGGCUCUGUAAUUGUGUCAAAAUGGAGACGAGAGAGAUGGUCUGCCACAACAUUUUUUGUGCCUUUCUUAUAUUUGAAUUCUAAGUCAAAUUUCUGCAGAAGUAACACCCAACGAAUUAGUCUAGCUUUUGCAUCUUUCUUUGUGAGAAGAUAUUUAAGAGCAGCAUGAUCUAUGAAUACAAUUAUUUUACAACCAAUAAGAUAAGAUCGAAAUUUUUCCAAUGCAAAAACUAUUGCUAGCAUUUCUUUUUCAGUAGUUGAAUAGUUCAACUGUGCAUCAUUCAAUGUCAUACUAGCAUAAUAAAUAACAUGGAGAAUUCGAUAAACUCUUUGUCCUAAUACUGCUCCUACUGCAUAAUCAGAUGCAUCACACAUUAACUCAAAUGGUAAGUUCCAAUUUGGGGGCUGAAUGAUGGGUGAUGAUGUCAACAACUGCUUUAAUUUUUCAAAUGCCACAAGACAUGAAUCAUUAAAGAUAAAAUGUACAUCUUUAGCAAGUAAAUUGUAUAAGGGUCUAGAAACUUUGCUAAAAUCUUUAAUGAAACAUCUAUAGAAACCAGCAUGCCCAAGGAAAGAUCUUACUUCUCUGACUGUUUUGGGUGGAGGAAGAUUAUAAAUGAGAUCCACCUUGGCUUUGUCAACCUCAAUACCUUUGCUCGAAAUGAUGUGACCGAGAACAAUACCUUGUUUUACCAUAAAAUGACACUUCUCCCAAUUUAAGACCAAGUUCUUUUCGAUACAUCUCUGCAGAGCUAGUGUUAGAUGACGUAAACAUUGAUCAAAUGAAUCACCAAAGACAGAAAAGUCAUCCAUAAAGACUUCAAGGAAUCGUUCAACCAUAUCAGAAAAAAUGCUCAACAUGCAUCGUUGAAAUGUAGCAGGUGCAUUACAUAAUCCAAAUGGCAUUCUCCUAUAUGCAAAAGUGCUAAAAGGGCAAGUGAAAGUGGUCUUCUCUUGAUCUUUUGGUGCUAUGAGAAUUUGAUUAUAUCCUGAGUAGCCAUCUAGAAGGCAAUAAAAUUCAUGGCCUGCUAAUCUAUCAAGCAUUUGAUCGAUAAAUGGUAAAGGAAAAUGAUCUUUACGUGUGACAGAAUUCAACUUCCUAUAAUCAAUGCAUACACGCCAUUCUGUAGUUACUCUAGUUGGUUUCAAUUCAUUAUCGGCAUUUGUAACUACAGUGACUCCUGACUUUUUGGGGACAACUUGCACAUGACUGACCCAUGAACUAUCAGAAAUGGGGUAAAUGAUACUUGCAUCUAAUAGCUUAAGGACUUCAGUUCUAACUACUUCUUUCAUAUUAGGAUUUAACCGACGUUGCAUUUCCCUAGUAGAUUUAGCAUUUUCAUCAAGGUGAAUGUAAUGCAUGCAGUCUACGGGAUUUAUACCUUUUAUGUCUGCUAUGGUCCAUCCUAAUGCUCCUUUGUGCUCUUUUAAAACAUCCAACAACUUACCUUUUUGUUCGUCAUUGAGGGAUGCUGAGAUGAUUACCGGUAGAGUACUUUCUUCCCCCAAAAAUGCAUAUUCCAAAGUGUUGGGCAAUGGUUUGAGCUCGAGUUUCGGUGGUGAUUCUGAUGAUGGGAUGAGUUUUUUCUCUGAUGGUGCUAGUUGUUCAACUCUUGGCUUCCAUUUAUUAGUGUCCAUGGAUGGUGCUGAGUCAAGUAGGGCGUUGACCUCAUCGACCGAUCUGUCAAUAUCAAAAUUUAAACCUAAGUGAGUUAAACAUGUUUGUAAAAGGUCAUCACUAAGGUUUGAAACAAAAGUGUCAUCAACUAAUGCUUCAAUUAAAUCCACAUCAACGAUUCCAUCAUCUGUAUUGUGAGGUUGUUUGGCAAUGUUGAAGAUGUUCAGCUCCAUAGUCAUGUUGCCGAAGGACAACUGCAUAUUUCUAGUCUUGCAUUAAAUAUGAGCAUCUGCAGUUGCCAAGAAAGGUCGGCCUAGAAUAAUGGGGAUGUGCUUCCUUGAAUCCUGUAUUGGUUGAGUGUCAAUUACAAUGAAGUCAAUAGGAAAAUAAAACUUGUCUACCUGGAUAAGCACGUCCUCCACAAUAUCACGAGGUAUUUUCGUGGACCGAUCUGCAAGUUGUAAUACCACUGGAGUUGGGUGUAAUUCUCCCAGUCUAAGUUUCACGAAAACAGAGUAAGGCAACAAAUUUACACUAGCUCCUAAAUCUAACAAAGCAUUCUCAAUUGUGUGGUUCCCUAUGCUACAUGAGAUAGUGGGGGAACCCGGAUCUUUGCAUUUUAGAGGAAUUUUAUGUUGGAGUAUAGAACUAACGUUUUCUGUUAAAAAUGCCUUCUUUUGAACAUGCAUAUUUCUCUUUUUAGUACACAAGUCUUUAAGAAACUUGGCAUAAGAUGGAACUUGUUUAAUAGCAUCAAGCAAUCGGAUGUUAACACUUACCUGUUUGAAGAUUUCGAGAAUCUCACCUGUAGAUUUUCCCUUUUUCCCUUUAGCUAACCUUUGAGGAAAUGGAGCUCUGGGAACAUAUUCUCGUGGGUUGAUUUCUUCUUUCUCCUCCGAUGAUGAGUCCUCAACAUUCACAGGUACAAUUUGAUUUUCUUUCGUCACCGGCAUCUCCACUUUAUUGUCAACUUCUUUUCCUUUUCGCAAGGUCAUGACGGCUUUGACCUCUCCAUGCUACUGCGGUGAACUGGUACUUGCUUCAUGCACUCCUUUAGGGUUAGGCACUGGUUGACUUGGAAAUUUACCUUUCUCGACAGUCAUUGCCAAAGUCUGAAUUGAAGAAGCAAGUUGUCCCACUAUCUUCUCAAGGCUUAAAACUGAUUGAGCUUGUGAGUUGAAGCCCGCUCUUCUAGUACUCCUGAGUGAUCGACUCCGUUGUUGGGAAUUAUCCGCUUGUCGCUGGAAGAAUUCCCAAAUCUCUGAUGCACUUUUUGACAUUAGCUUUCCUCCACUUGUUGCCAUUAGUCAUUCUUGCAUAUUCGGUAAUAAUCCCUCCAAGAAGUAUUGGCAUUGGUGCCAUUUCUCGUACCCAUGAUGUGGACACUUCAAAAGUAACCCAUUGAAUCGCUCCUAUGUUUCGAAAAAUUGCUCGUCAUCUCUCUGGGUAAACUCUGAGAUUUCCUUGCGAAUAGCAUUGGUUUUAUGUACUGGGAAAUGUUUAUUUAAAAAUUUUGUAACCAUUUGUUCCCAUGAUGCAAUGCUAUUAGCAGGUAAUGUAUUAAGCCAUGAACGAGCUCUAUCCUUCAAACAAAAUCGGAAUAAUCUGAGUUUUACAUCAUCAUCUGAAAAAUUCUCAUAUUUAAAUGUUUGACAAAUUGGGUGAAAAUUAUUCAAAUGAUUGUAUGGGUCCUCAUUUUCUAAGCCAUAGAAUGUGGAAAGACAAUUUAGCACACUAGGUUUUAAUUCAAAACUCCUAGCAGCUACAUUUGGGUAUCGUAUGCAUGAUGUGCUCAAAUUAGCUAAGGGACUAAAGUAGUCCUUAAAUGGCCUCUCCUGUGGUGCUUGUAAAUCCAUUUUGUUUUUAAUGUUUUGGCGUGUGCGAAAUGUUUUCUCUAGUUCAAGGUCUAUAGGUUCAAGAUUAGGUAAUAAUGACCUACGACCAUGCAUGCAAGAAACACAAAAAUAAAUGGGAACAAAACAAAUAAAAAUAAAGAAGAAUGAGAAAUUACGAUACUAACCUUAUUGCGCUAUUACAACCUUACUAUAAAAACACAAAAAUAAAUACGCAAAAUAAAUUAACUAAAAAUAAAUUAAUAAGAUAAAUAAAAAUCACAACGAAGAAAUAAAAAAAUAACUUGAAAAUUAAAUUAUAGAAUUUUAAAGAAGAGAAAAAGAACAGAAAUACUAACCUCUAAAUGUAGAUUCACUUUUUUUUUUCUUUUCUUUUUUUGGUAAAAAAAUACAAGAAAAUAAUUAAAUGGAAAUAUUCACAAAAAUUAAAUCUAUGAAUUAAAAUUACUUACCUCCCCGGCAACGGCGCCAAAAACUUGUUGUGCAAAUUUUAUUGAACUCGCAAGCGCACGAAUCUGUUGUAGUAUAGAUUAAUGGUGACGAGUGUCGAUCCCACGAUGAGGUGGAUUUUAAUUAUUUAUAGAAUUAAUUUUGUAAAUGGGUGGUUGGAUUUGUGGUGGAAAUAAUUUAGAAUAUGCUAAAACUAAAUUAAAAUGGCGAGAAUAAAUUCUGAAAUUGGAAUUGAAAUGGCAAUAAUAAAAUGAAGAGAAUUCUAAUAAAAUGACGUACUUGGGUAUCUGGAUCCGUAUCAACAUGCAUCAUGAGCUAAAUAAUCCUUAUUAAUGCCAAUUAAAUCAUGAGGGGGGAAUCCACACUUCAUGAACCACACUCUAAUAAAUAUGGUGCUAAGGGCUUAUCGUGCCAAAUAAUAAUAAUCUUAUACUAGAGAGCCAGUGAAACCAGGGCAGUACUGGAGAAGAUUAUUAUUAUCUGUCAACGAGAAGUCAAAACAUCCACAAAAACUAGAGGGGAAGGGAAAAAAAAUUUACCAAAUCAAGCCCAUGACACAUGUUGAGACUUCACCUUCAACCCAAGCUUGAAAGAAAAUUAGCCACUCAUAGUUGAACUAGGGGCAAAAUGAAAAUUUAUUAAAAUACGUAGAAAAUACAAGAUAGAGAGAGAAUUACAGAAAAUGUAUCCCAAAAAUGGAUUCAGAGGUGCCAAAUUAGGGGGGGAGGCCCCCUUUUUAUAGAUACAUCGAGUAAAUCAUGGCCAUCGGAUUAAAAACAGUUUGGACGCUCAAGAUUGUGCCACGUCAUCAUUCAACAGUAAAGUCAACAGCACGCGUGAACAGUAACGCGGUUUGAACAGUAACACAGUUUACACACGGUUUGAACAGUAACGCGGUUUGCACAGUAAAUAAUCCCCUGUGUUGCAUGUACCGUACGCGCAUUUUUUGGUCCACUAAUAUGCUGCCACGUCACCAUAAACAGUACAUGAGAAUUUUAGUCCAACAGGAUCUUGACACGUCAUCAGUCAAUGCCACGUCAUCGAUUCGUACAUGUGAACAGUGUCGUGAAUAGUACCCGUACAUGUGAACAAUGCCAUUUUUCCUUUUAUGCUCCUCCUAAGAUUUUCGACCGUCCUGAGUUAAAAAAUGAUGUCCGUUUUGCCAUUUGAUCUCUUGUUUAUUGUGAAAUGACUAUGAUGCCCCUAAAAUACAUAAAAUACUUAAUUAAAAUAAAACACACAUAAUUAAAGUACAAGAAACUUAAACUCAUAAAAGUAAGUAAUACUUUAUAUGUAAAAUAACGAUUUUCUCCUUUAUAAAUAUGUAUUUUCUAACACUCAACAAUAUCCAAAAAAAUUAUUAUAAAAGUAAGCCAAAAGAAAUAAAAAUGAAUGGUAUGGGUAUUAAUACUUUAACGACAUGGAUCUUUCAAGGUAUUUUAAAACUAUAGGGACUAAAUAAGCACUAAUCUUAAAAUACAUGGACUAAAUGAGCUUUUACCCUUCAUCUUAGGGUAGCAAGAAGAGUGCUAAGAUACUCACAAGUCACAAUGAAUUAUGGCUGGAAAUUUUAAUAGAGAUAUAGAUGUGAACUUAAUUAGUUUCGGUGAUAGUGAUUGGGGUGGCUGUCUUGAUGAUAUGAAAAGCACCUCGGGUUAGUUUUGACAUAAUCUCUUAGGCAUUAUAGAAGCAACUAAUAGUGGCAUUAUCCACUACUUGAGCCGAACAUAUUUAUGCUUCAUUGGUAACUUCUUAAACUAUUUGGCAACGAUGAAUUUUAGGAGACAUAUAAGAGAAAUAAGAUGAUGACAAAAAGUUGUUUUAUGACAUUAAAUCAACUAUAAGCAUGGUAAAAAAUUUAGCUUAUCACAGCAGAACAAGAAGCAUAAGCAUAAAGUAUCAUUUUAUAUGAGAAGCAAUUGGCAAUGGAGACAUUUAGCUCAAGCAUUGCAAGUUUAAAGAGCAGACGACUGACAUAUUCACAAAAGCUCUGCCAGAAGUGACAUUCCAUCAGCUAAGGGAACUUUUGGGAGUUGAAAAACAUCACCUAAAGGGGGAGAAUGUUGAUUAAAGUUAUGUUCAAUUUUCUUUAAUCCUAGUCAUAUUAGUCUUGAAAAGCCAGUUCCAAAGCCAACUUUUGUUGAACGUAUGCAUAUGGUUAGCAACUCUUGACUGCAAUUGCAUAUGCUAGCAUGAAAUUUCUUACUUUUCAUCAAAGUCAGCACUGAAGCCAUUAAAACUGAAAGAUGGCCAAGAUUUUUUCCAUGCGUUCAUAUUGUAAGCUUUGCCUAUAAAUAGAUAAGCAUAAUGCGGUCGUAGUCCAUCCUAAAAUCCCAAGUUUGAGAGCAAUUGCAAGUGAAGUACCUUUAGCAAUUUGAGAGCUUUUAGUUGAGUAUCCUAGUAACCAAUUAUUGCCAAAGCAUAGGUUGCAUAAUCAUCAAUAUCACGGUGGUUUCGACUUUUAGAGAAAUAUAAAUUAUAGUGACAAGUAAAUGCAAAGAAAAUCAGGUACAAUAAUUUAUAUAGUUUGAUGUAAAGCCUACUUCCAUAGACAAAAACUGCAAGAUAAUUUAAGGAUAAUUAUCAUUUGUAUACCUUAAAUUUAUUCUGUUAUAAAAAGUACUGAUGUGCUCAUAAUUUAUUUAUUAUUUUAAUACUUCUUUAACUUAAUUUUAGGUUAAAUUGUAUUUUAUUAUAUUAAUUUUAUUUUAAUUUUUAUAUUUGUUAUAUUAAGUAUAGUAUGAGAUUAAAAAGGAAUUAAAUUGGAACAUUUAGGAGGAAAUCAACUUGAAGGAAUAAAAAAGGGAUCGCAAUAAAGAGAUUUAAUUGAAAUAAUUCAAGGAAGAUUUUAUUAAAUGUAGCAACAUGCAUGCAAUCGCGUGGGGAAGCAUUGAAGAAUUAUUUUUCAAAGAAAAUAUGGCUUUCACGUGAAGUUGGGCCUUUUGAUUUUGCAAGAUAAUGGCCUAAGAUUGUAAAGGUGGUGGCUGCAAUUUUAAUCCUUUCCAUGUGAGGAUUUAGGGCGCAACAAUAUAAAAAGAAAAGUGAAGAAGGCAGCCGCAAAAAAAUUGAAAAUUGGAGAGAAAACCCAGAGCAAGAAAAAAAAGAAAAGAAGAAGAAGAGAAGCCACCGCUGCAAAUUCGAGAGCAACAAUUUAGAGAAGUCAAUUGUGUUGAAAUUGAUUAAAAAAAAAAGGAAAAGUCAAAUGGGAACACAUUGAUUGCAUUCAAAUUGGCGGCUGGACUUUGACAAGCAAAAUGCCAAUUUUGAACCGCGUGAUGAAUUUGUCAAAAAGGAAGAAAGUUGUUGCCAACUUGUUAGAUUUUUGACGUGAUAGUUUGGCUAUAAAUUGGAAUGUCAUUUGAUGAGAAAUUAGUAGCAAUGAGCUUCGGCAUUGCUCAAGAAAAUAGACAUGAAAUGUUGGCCAUGGAGAGAAGCAAUCCAAAUUGAGAGGAGAGAAAUGUUCUUAAGCAUGUAGUUAUAUUGAAUGAGCAUUUGGCUCCUCAAUAUGGGUAUUACGGGUGUGCUUUGUUAAGGGAUAUUUCUCAGGAUUAUGUAUUUGGGGCUUGGGUGAGAGAAAAUUAUUUCUGAGAGUGGUUGUAAUAAUUUUCCACAUAGUGAAUAUUUUUCUCUGGUUGUCUUGUGACAACGGCCGUGGUUUUUCUCCGUAUUUGGAGUUUUCCACGUAAAUCUUGUGUUGUAUGAUUGGUGUAUUCUCCAUUUAAUUUUUCUAUUAAUUUGUUGCUUGAUAAAUUGCUUGGAGUGAUCUUGGGAGGAAGCUCAAUUUUCUAACAAAUUGUAGAGAUUGGAGAGAGACAACUUCUUGAGUGUUUUUUUUCCUCUUCUCUAUUAUCUUACUUGAAUGUUCCCAAUUAAAUUCAUGAAUUCUCUUUAUAUUCCCAUGAACUAAUUUAUUUUGCUAGGGCUACGAUAUAGCCUAAGUAUGAAGAUUUAAUUCAAUAAAUCUGUGUUAUUUUUAAUUUAUUAUUUCAUGGUUGAGUGUUCAUUAUUUUGCUUAAUGCUUUUAAAUAUCUGACCAAUAUUUGAAUAAUUUGAGGAUACAUAAUGAGACCGAGAGGAGAUUUAUGUAUUUUUGUUUUGUGUAAUGGAUGCCAUGAAUUGAACAAAAGACAAAGAUGUGCCAAUGUGAUUCGUGCAUUUUUAUCUAAGAAUUUUCAUAGAGCUUAAUGAAUCUUUGUAUAUUUAAUUUCACAUAGAGAUAUAGUGGGUUAAUACGUGAAAGUAUUUUUGAUAAUACUCGAGAGAGGGUAUUGAAUAGAUUAGGGAAAUUGACUGUCAACAUGUGUAAUAAAAUUUAAUAGCAUAGAUGGAGGAUUAAAUUAGAUUAGUUAUGGUGAAAUCGGAUAUCCUAGUGUUUUAAUCUCUUGGUGAUUUCUAUUAUUACCUGCAUCUUUAUUUAAUUUUUAGUUAUUUAAUUUUAAUCUAAAUUCGCCUAUUUGACUGUUCAACUAAAUUAGGGUUAGAUAAUUUCGGUAGCUAAUAUGAUAUAUAAUCUCGGUGGAAAGAUACUCUACUCUUUAUUAUAUUACUUAUGCCGACUAGUACACUUGCUAAUUUACUCAUCAAAUACUAUAACACUUUGAGGGUAUAUCAAUCGUCUAUCUUAAAUUGAUAAGAGUUAUUUGCCGACCACUAAAUCAUUAGCCGUCAUUUGAAAGUUAACAGAAUUACUCCGAAUUGAUGAUUUUACCCUUGGAACUAAAAUUAAAUUAAAGAAAAAUUAUUACUUGUAUACCCUAAAUUCUCGUAUUAUCACUUAUAUACCUUUAAAUUAUCACUUGUAUCAUUUAUUUUCAUAUGAAAAAACUAGAUGAGUCCUCUGACAUCAGCAUAUUUAAACAGAAACUAACAAUUUAGUGAAUGGGAGAUACAUUUUGUCAACUUAUGAUAAACGAUUGAUAUACCCUGAAAGUGUUGUAGUAAGUUUGAUAAUGGAGUAAACUAAGGGUAUGCGAGUAAUAAUUUUUCAUAAUGUUACUAGUAAAUGGAAAUUUUCAAAAUUUGGGAAAAACUCUUAAAACCUAUGUGGAAGCAUGGAUUGAGUAAUUACCAGUGUUAUGGUGACUGUGACUUUUGGAGAAAUAUAAAUAUGAUGAUAAACAAAUGCAAAUAAAAGAAGACACAAUAAUUUACUUUGUGCGGCUUAAAGUUUAUGUCCACGGGUAAAAAUUGGAAGAUAAUUUCACUAAUAAAUGGGAAUUUACAAAGUGGGAAAACUCUCAAAACCCAAAAAACCCUAAAUCACCUAAUUAAAUCCUCAUUAGAAUACUCAAGUAGAAGUUCUCUUAAAUCUCUCAAAUAGCUUCACUUGAAAUUGCUCUCAAAUGUGGGAUGUGUAACAAGUGAAGAAUUACCCUUUAUUUAUAGGGAGUAUUGCUCACCUACUACAAGUUUUAAUUUGGCUUCAAUUUGCCAAAUUGGCAAAUUGGCAAAUUAUGCUCAACUUUGUGAGCACCAAAUUCGAUUUUUCAGCACUUUGAAUUUAGUGCCCACAAAGUUCAACUUUUUUUCAACAAUUCUCCAUCUGGACAAAAAUUUUAAAACCUGAACCAACUGUCAACAAACCAUCCUCCAAUCUUUAUCUUCUCCGAGUACUUUCAAACUUGGAGAUAUUGAUCAAGUUUAGAAAAUGCUCAAACUUGAUCGAUGGCACAACCCUGGUCAAUAUAUAUGCGAGAUUCUCUGCAGUUUUGAUUUUUUGAAUAUGAAUAAAAUAUGUUUCGUACGUAUAUGAUAAACUUGAUUAUUUACUAAGUCGAUUGUGCCUUGACUAUCACAGUACACGUUAACAUGUUCUUGUACCAGGCCCAAGUUUGCAAGCGAACCUUGUAACCAAAUAAUCUCUUUAAUAGCCUCCAUAAUUACCAUUCACGCAGCCUCUGUGGUCGACAGUGCGACUGUAGACUAUGAUUCCCUGCUUCGUCCAACUUCAUUAAUUUUAAAAAAAAAUUAAAUUUAUGAAUUUUUAUGCAUGUUAAAUUUUUGUUAUAAUAAUUAACUACAUUUACUAGGGCGGGUAGAAUUCACUCAUAUUUAUUGGGUGGGCAAUAUAAUAUUACCAUGAAUUUUUGGUUCAUCAGAUCCUAAUCCUCAUGGAGAAAAAAAUUCAGGAAAAUCUUCUUGAAAUGUGGUUAUAUCAUAAAAAGAAUGUGGUGGCGGGACAGACUAUAAAAUAAAUAAGUAGUCUAUCAUUAAAGUCAGAGCUUCACAAGGGAAAAUGCGUGCUCUGCACGAUUUUAAUUGCGCUAGGUUUCCCAAAUUGCAGAGGAUUAAUUAUUAAUGCUAUUGAUAAAGAAGGGCAAGUAAAGUUGGAGGCAAACUCCUAUUAGCUUUUUAUUAAAGAUUAUUUUAGUCCUGUUAGGAAUAAGAAACACACACACACACUAUGUAUAUAAUAAUAAAAUAAGAAGUAUAUAUUCAUAUAGGUCCGAGUUUAAUUAAUUUGUCUCGUUUUAUUAUUAUUCAGCAGCUAUGGGCAGCAACUCAGAGCUUCAUGUCGUUCUCACCACCAUGCUUUCCUUAGAUAGAAAGACAAUGUAUAUGAAAGUAAGUAAAUUAAUUAUCUUUUUCCUUUUUUAUUAAAAAAAGAAUUUAAAAUUACUAUUUGCAUCUGCAUAUAUGUGUGUAUGCAGUUGAUUUUGUUGGAUUAUUUUCCUGUGCUGUUGCUAUUCUGUUGGUGGUUCGUCAUGUAUGGCGUCGACGCCCCUCUCAUUACUUUGACAGCCGAAACAUGCUCCAUGGCACUAAUAUUGACAGUUUUGUUUGAGGUACGGUGGAGGUGUCUUUUCAAAUAUUUUAAAAAGGUACGUAAAAGAUCUAAUUAUAUAUGGUAAUUAUUGAGGUUAUGGUAUGAGAAGGAGAUUAAUUUGGCAAUGUUAUUUCUUUUAAUUUAUUUAAUUAUGUUUUGUAUAUUGUGUUUCAGGAAAAAGAUUUGAAGAAUAUCAUUCAAUUUACUGAAACCCUACAAUAUUGUCAGGUAUAUAUAUAUAUAAUAAAUAAUAAUCAGUGUAUUCCUAAAUUUUAAAUUAGUAGAUCAAAAUACAAUCUGAGACCCAUAGAUCGGAAAUUUUUGAUAUAAUGAUAAUGUAUGUUGUUAGUUAAUUGCAUGUUGUUUAAAAAAUAAAUUAACCAAUUGCAGUUAAUGAACGAACGAAAGAAAGAAUUAAAAUUAAUUAAUUUUUGUUUUACAGAUAAUGUAUGAUCAUCAUCAGGCGCCACCAAAAUCUUUCAUGUUGUCAUCCAUUGUAUUCCUAAAUUUUGCGGGUGUUCUAAAUGCGGCCGUCCUCUACAUAGCACCACUGGGAUUGUUUCUCGAACCGGACGGGGACGUCUUUUUCUAUUUAAUGGGCUUUGUUCUGUUCGGCUUCUCAUGUCUCCAAAUAAGUUUUAUACAGCCACUGCUACUAAAUUGUGAUGCUGAUACCUUCAAGUUUAUUAGAAGCCAAGCCCUCGUUUUUUCGGAAACCACAACUGCUGCUGCUACUACAGCAAAAGAACCACCUGAGAGCUCAGGCUCAGCCGAAAUUGUGUAACUAUCUUUUUUUUUUUUGUAAAAAUAAUUUUAUUUUGUUUUAUUUUGUUAUUAGCUGUUACUCAUUUGUAAUUGUUUGCUUUUAUUAUACAUACAUAUAUAUAUAUAUAUAUCUGCGUCAUUCACCAAUUUAUGUUUUUUCCUUCAUGAAAUGCAUGCCUUCACUUAAAAAAUUUUAGUUGUCGACUGUUUUCUUUGUUAAAAUUUUAAAAAUUAAUAGAAAACAAUAUAUUCUGAAAACUGUAGCGAAUAAAUGGUAAAACCAAUUUUUUUUUUUGAGAAAGUGCCAAAAAUCGCCCUCAAUAAUCUGCAAAUUGGAUUGCACAAGAAUUGUUUAAACUUUUACCGUCAACCUUAAGAGAAUACGUUCUUUCAGCAUGCAUUGGCUUUGUAACACAUGGUUAUAUGUUGAAAAAUAUCAAAAAUUGAAAAUACCAUUUUACCCAUCAAAUGCAAUAGAUCUGUGUAUCUAUCAUAUUGCAUGAUCUUUUUUUACCUGGUUUCUAACCUUCACCAGUUUAUACACUAUCCAAUAUAUCCAUUCAUUUUAGUGUAAAAUUUGCAUGUUUUCAUCUAACAUUUUUGAAAUAGAAUAAUAUGAUAUUAAAUAAAAAAUUCGUCGGGAUAUGUCUUGACCUACGUACUUUAGUGGUCUUUGCGUUUGUAUAGUCAGAAAAUUUUUUACCGUUACUUUUUCCAUUCAAUUUCUGAUAAUUAUGUAACUAGUGAAAUUGAACAGGAGAAGUGCGGUGAGAACCACUGAACCAGAUUAUGAAAUACGUAUUAUUAAAAAGACCUGAAACUUCUUAUGGGAAACUGAAGCAUAAUAAGUUUCGUCUUUUACUUUAUUAAUAAUGUUAUCAAUUGUUAGGGGACAAAGUGGAUGGCCCAGCAACAAAGUGCCACAUGUCGGUACUAAAUUUUAUAGUAAAAGAAAAGUCAUCAAAAGGAUAUUGGCUUAUGUUGGGCACCCCAGGUCUUUUGAAGAGUACCUACGGUGCAUUAUGUAUGAGUAGAAAAGUCAGAAAAAUAUUAAAAAAAUUUAGUGAUAAAAGAGGCCUAAUCUUAAAAAGAUUGGUUGAUCUUUGUCAAAAAAAUAAGGAAUUAAUGACGGAAUAUUGUGUUGAAAAAGAGGGGAUAACAACAUGCCACACCUACAAAUGGGCCAAAAAAGGUUGUUAACAGGAUAGUUUGGAUUACAUGUCAUCUCCUGACACAACUGCAAAUCCCCAACAGCCUCAGUAGAGGUACGCAACACUAACCCUCUACGCCCAACACGUGUAAAUGCCUCAAACUUGUUCUCCACGUAUAUUUUGAAUUACCCGAAUGGUUAUGAAGGACAAAAAUAUCUUUGACAUGAUAGUAAGGAAUGCCAAUAAGAUAAUGCCAGGUGGUAUGGCAGGCAAGGCACUUCGUAGAAAAUACUUAGGUUUUAUUUUCUCAAAGCAACUAACACAAACACCAUGAGGGCUAAGUUUUAUUAAACCUCAGCCACCAUUACUAAUGUAAGCUCUCUAACAUGAGAUAACUUAACUUUGACUUGAGCUUAAGAUUAUGGUCGCUAGGCCACCCAGUUUCCACCUCUGAACUUUUUCUCAUUAUAUUGCAGGUCUAAGGUGAUUUGGCAAGCUUUCUGAGUCCAGAUUCAAACCUCCCACCAGUCCUAUUUCUUUUCACUAUUCCUUCACACUAUAACAACCAAAACAGCCUGUACACUACUACACCCCGACUAAGCUAGGUACCCUACAUCCCAACAAAAAUAAAUUCAUUGUUGUUAGUUAGAUUUUGUAGCUUUCACUCACACACCCAAAAUCAACUAAAAACAAUUGGCACCGUCUGGAUGGGGAGCACACAAAAAACCUCUACACGGUGAUAAGUUUGUCGGUACAUGUGCUCACACAACCAUGGCACCUGAUGUACCCACUGAUAACAUGAUGCUGGAUCAUGAUAGAUUGGAAGAUCACAAUAAUGAUGAGAGGGGCGAAUCUAUCAAGCAGUCAAUCGGUGUUUACCCUGAUAAAGAGCCCGUUUCUCAUAAGCACUUUUAGGAUUUAGCCCACACGAUCCAUAGAAUAGUAGGAUCUCAAGUACCCGAACCAAUUGCCUCCCCUGUGAUUCGUGAUAUUCCUCCUCCGUGAGGCGAAAGCAGAGCAUACUAUGAUCGGAGAUACCCUAGAGCAGUAGAUUGAAGCACGAGUCACUGGGUACCUGUUCAACUGGCAAUUCUUGAGAAGAAUGUUCCAUCACCUCUUGCGACUCCCGUAGUAGCUAGGGUACCAAGCACAAACAAAGGGUUUAAGAAGAUCUCCGAGAUAAGUUAAACACCAAAUGAGCUUCCCAAACGACAGUGGCAUCCUCAAGAGCACCUGGGUUGCUCCGCAAGUUUAUGGCAAAAAUGGAAUUUUUUUAAGCUCAAGCACCCUUUUUUGAAAAUCAAAAUGUCAUCAGUACUCCAGCACUAGUAACGUAUAAUUCACCAUUCACUAUUGAGAUUCAAAUAGUAACUCUCCAGGAAACAUUUGCCAUGCCUUAAAUACCACAAUACUCGGGUACCUCAGUUUUCACAGAGCAUGUCGAGCUAUAUCAUGACCAAAUGUUGAUUAAGGGUGUGGACGACAAUGCUAUGUGUUGGAUGUUCUCACAUACUCUCACUGUUCCUGCUAAAUCAUGGUUCUGGUCAUUGAAGGCAGGUAAUGUAUCCUCUUUAGACCAAUUGUUGAUAGAUUUUGAUCACGAGUUUUGUUACGCUUUCUUUUCAACUUGCUUUUGUUAAGCAAGGAGAAUAAGAGUCUUUGGCUGAUAUGUAAACUGCUACCACCAAGAAGUGUUGCCUACGAAUGUGUUUAGCCACCAAUAAACACUCACUAAUUUUGAAAAGAGCUUGUGUUUAGGGAAAUUAUGGCAGUUGUUCUAAAAGCACUACUCCUUCUCGUAUGGGGAAGAUAGCUCAUAGGCCUUACAACAAAUUAAAAUGGAUGAGAAGUGUCAUUUAAAAUGAGAGGAAGACAAAGCCAAAGCUGUAAAAAGUAAGGAGAAACAUAAGAAAAUUGAGGUACCCCCAAUAAGGAUACUCUGAAUACGCAGCCCACCCCAUCUUACUUCCCAUGAUAGGGAAUUCAGCGUACUUGGUGUACCCCGGGCACCACCGUUUGAUAAGUUGCCAUCGUCAGAACAACGCGAACCGCCACAGAAACCAUGAUACAAUUCUUUUAAUCUUUUGAAUCAAUAUCCAGAAUAGAUCUUAUACCAAAUCAGAAAUACUGGCCUACUCCGUUUGCCCAAGCUAAUAUGGAGAUACCCAAUAUUAAAGCAUAGUUUGAAAUACUGUGAGUUCUAUGAGAAUUUCGGCCAUAGCACUGUCAACUGUUUUAGCGUACUGGAAGACAUCGAGUUGUUGAUCCUGAAUGGGUACUUUAAUGAGUUUGUGGGCAACAUGUGACAAGCUAAGAAGUCUUUGAAGUAAGCUAAGGGCAGAUAAAUCGCCGACUUUAGUUCUGAGCUCAAGGAACCCUAGGGAUCCAAAAGUGGGGUUUACAUUCGACUGAUAGCGGAUGAACCUACCCUAACCAGUGAAUCUAGGUAGGCCAUCAAGCGCUAUAAAAUGUCACUGAUCCUAGAUACCCGUAUUGCCAACGAGGUCAACUUUACUAGUCGAAAUCAGAUUUGGGUACCUCAUGUACCCGACCAUCGUAUCCCCAUCCUUUUUACAAAUAAAGAUGCUGAAGGUAUCUCAUACCCUCAUGAGUUAUUUUAGUUAUUACCCUAAAGUUGCCACUGAUAAAGUAGCAAGAAUGCUUGUAGAUACCAAUAACUCCAUAUACAUCAUCUUUAAAAGCACAUUGGAUCAAUUGUUGAUCGAAUCAUAAAGGAUCACUAUGUAUGACACGCCUCUCAUUGGCUUUCCAGGGAAUAUGGUCAUCUUUAAGGGCAUCAUCACAUUGCUCAUUACCAUUGGCAAGGUACCCCACCAGGUCGUCUACAUGAUUGAUUUUAUUAUGGUGGAUUACCCGGGUGCCUAUAAUAUCAUUUUGGGAAGGUCGUUCCUAGCGGCAAAUAAAGUUAUGGUCCCCAUGCAUUACUACGCCAUUAAGAUUUCAACCGCCAGGGCAAUAAUCACAAUCAAUGAGGACUAGCAAUCAACUUAAGGAUGUUAUUUUGUCGCCUCUACGAUGAGUUAUCAAAUUGCUUCUAAUAUUUUUCUGCAAUGGUAUCCCACCAUUGUAGGGCCAUCAAUUAGCCGAACUAAGCGGGCAUUUGCUAAAUGAUAGAGAAUUGCAUACAAGAAAGCCCUAUAGAUAGCCGAUCAUUUAAAGCAACAAGAAGCAGAGCCAAUGAAGUUAGAUGCAAUAAUGCAUGGUGUACUUGGGGUACCACAUGACCCAAGUUCGGAGUCAAUCAAAGAGUUGGAAACACCUAUAGAUCCUUUGGUACCAAAGAAGGAGAAAUAAGGUACAUAAAUUAAAGAUCUUAUUUUUGUUUCAAUCUACAAUAAUGAACUCCACCAAAAUAGAUAAUGUUAGCUCUAACCUCUCUUAACAGUAAGGGAAACAACUUAUCAAUAUGCAUGAUCUAUAUUUCAUUUAUCGUGAUGUGUUAACCUGGUCUCAUGUCGAUAUGCUGGGUAUCUAACCUGGUCUCAUGUCGAUAUGCCGGGUAUCUUACCUUUCAAUCAAGAAUGAUAUGAUGCCAUUGAGUAAGAAGUAGACCAUUUAUUAGAGUCGAAUUCAUUAGGGAGGCAGUGUACCCUGAUUGGGUGUCUAACAUCAUCUUAUUCAAAAUGGCCAAUGGACUUUACGAACAUGAACAAGUCCUGAACCAAGGAUAGCUUUUCGCUUCCCCGAGUAGACCAGCUAGUCGAUGCCAUGGCAGAACAUUAGAUGCUCAUCUUCACGAAUGCCUUUUCUGACAACAACUAAAUUCUAAUGUAUGAGCCUGAUCAGGAGAAAAAAACUUUCAUCACCAAUCGUGGAUUAUGUUGUUACAAGACUAUUCCAUCCGGUUUGAAGAAUGUUGAUGCCACUUAUCAAUGCUUGAAAGACAAAAUCUUCAAAGAGAAGAUUGGGUGCACCAUGGAGGUAUAUGUUGCGAUAGAUUCUAAUGAGAUGUGUGUCAAAGUGUAAGUGUACACAAAAAGUAAUAUAAUGAUAAAUAUUCAAUAUCGUCUCCAUAGGAAUUGAUGUUAUCAGAUUUGCUAUAGUAAUUAUGACAAUGCAUAUUUUGUUCUAAAUUAAAACAAAACAAUAAAUGUAACUAAUAUACUAAUUAAAAUAAAAACGCAAUAAAUAAAAUGCAACAAAAUAAAUUAUCACGCCAAACUCAAGGAUAAAACCAAUGAGAAUAUAGAAUAGUUGAGUAAAUAUUCUCUUAAUGGUGUGGAUUAUUUUUCUAAUGUUUGGCUCGGUUGUUACAACAUUUGCCACUGCACUGGGCAGAAUCGUUAUGUAUCAUCAACUGUUGCAUGUUGGACAUCUUAUAUCUAUAUGCAACCUAAUAGUGAUCAGUUCUUAUGCCAACAUAAGAUAUAGUAUUACGCGCUUAGAUUCUAAUUACCCUACAAAGUGAAUCUCUAUGUUUAGUUCAUUACUAAUUUUAGAUUAAGUAUGUCCUUUUUGGAAUCAAAUAAAAUUCAACUUAGAAAACUCAAUCUAAAACAAAGUAUUGUUUUGAUAUGUUCCACUAAGAUAGGCCAUUUUAUGGCUCUUUCUUAGUUAGUAUCAUUAAAUGGGUGAUUAACCGAAAUAAUGAAUAGAAAUAAAUACUAUCAAAACAAAAUGUUACAGCAAACAUGCAGUAACACGUAUAAUCAGUCAAUGAACUAUCAAGAUUGCUUAUCACCCAACCACAAAUAAAUUUAGUUCAGGGUUUGCAAAAGAAAAAUAAAGAACAAAGUUCAGCCAUCAAACACAUCCUCGUGACUAAAAAGUAAACAAGAAAACAAGAGAAGAAUAAAAAGUACUAAGUUCCCGAUUGAUUUAUGUAAAUUCUCCUUUGAUGCCUCCUUAAAUCUUGCUCUUAAGUUCUGUUUUGCUCUUGUUUCUUUUCGGUUUUUGUUUGUGAUUGACGGCUCUCUCUUUUCCUUAUGAUGUGUACUCCUUUUAUAGUUGAAAAUUAUGGUAAACGAAACUUAGGGCGUGUAUCUUCUAGAUUAGGAAACUGCAGAUCGCAAUAUUCAGAGUAUCUCGCGCAAAAUUUUCUCUGUCAUUGUUCUAGGAUUGCUACAACAACGAUUACUAUAACAACUACACUGUUCCAAAUUUGUUUCAAUUCUUUUAUAGCCAAGUUUUUUUUUCAUUUUUUGCAAGCUUAUUGCAGCAGCAUUCCUUCCUUGAAAUUUGAGCUUCCAAUCACCUACAAUUAUGCACACAAAAUUAUUCUAAAACAACGCAAUUUAUUAAAAAUAAACUAAAAUGAUUAUUCAUGUAAAAUACAACUAAAAUGCAAUAAAAACAUGUCAUUUACUCUCUAAGUAAUAAUUAUUUAAGACUAAAAGUACCAUGAUAACUCUGAUUUCAUAGAGUUAUCAGACCUCCAAACUUAUACCAUUACUUAUCCUCAAGUAAUGAUAACAACACUUACACUUCAAUCACACAAUAAUGCAACAAAUAACUUAGCUCUGUCACCAAAUUUACAAGGAUUCUUCCACCCUCAGAUCACACUUUGAAUCACGUAUAAUGGUCACAACAGUUCAGUUCUAGACUAAGGCCUCAUUCUGUCCAAAGUGUAUAUGCCACUUUGAUCAAGUUCCAGAGAUACUGCAACAUUUCACAGGUAUUACGUGCUUAUAGCUUAAAGGUAGAGCAUAAGUUCAUUCACAUAAGGGGAGCAGAAGUUACAAAUAAGCUCAAACUAUUCUACAACUAAAAAGUCUAGUGUAAGUUCACUCAAACCCUUCAAUGCAAUAUUGAGCUUUCAUGUGAAUGCCUAUCACUUGUAAUGACGACACCUUAUUACUUACUCAAAAUACAUGUUAGAGUUGCUGCAAAAAACACAUCCAGAAUGCUAUAUCUAGGUCUUACCUUUGGAUGUCUUUGACUCAAGGCUGAAUAUGGAGCUCAUGAACAAACCUGGUUACACAGUAUCCUAGGCAGCAGACCCUUUUAUUUUUCAUUUCUUCAUCACCAUUUUUUUUAUAAUUGUUGUAGCACUGCUCAUAGCUCUUAUUGCCUUUUGACUUAAGUCUGCAUAUGGGGUUCAUACUCAGCCCUAGUUACUCAGCAACUUAAACCAUUCGAGUAGAAUUUAUUUCAUAACAGGCACAAUUUAACAAAAAUUUUCCUCCAAACUUGAGAUAUUUUCUACCCUUUUUGGUUUUUGUUGUACAAAUUUUAUUGAACUUGCAAGUGCAUGAAUCUAUUUUCGAAUAGAUUAAUGGUGACGAGUGUCGAUCCCAUGAGGAGAUAAAUUUUAAUUAUGUGUAGAAUUAAUUUUCUAAGUGGGUGGUUGGAUUUGUGGUGGAAGUGAUUUAAAUUAUCUUUAAAUUUAAAUUAAAAUGGCGGGUAUUAAUUAAAUCGAAAUUUAUUGAACUAAAGCACUUUAGUAUCUGGAUCUACAUCAACAUGCACCAUGGGCUAAAUAUUCUUUAUUAAUGCCAAUUAAAUAAUGAGGGGGAUUUCCACUCCUCAUGAACCACACUCUAAUCAAUAUGGUGCUAAGAGUUUAUCGUGCCAAAUAAUAAUAACCUUGUACUAGGGAGCCGGUUAAACCAGUGCGGUAUCAAGAUAAGAUUAUUACUAUUUGUCGAUGAAAAGUUAAAACAUCCACAAUAAUUAGAGGGAAAGAGAAAGUAAAUUUACCAAAUAAAGCUCAUUGCACAUGUUGAGACUUCAUUUUCAACCCAAGCUUGAAAGAAAAUUAGCUACUCAUAAUUGAACUAGGGGUAAAAUGAGAAUUUAUUAAAAUACGUAGAAAAUACAAGAUGGAGAAGAAAUUAAAGAAAAUGAAACUAAAAAAUGAAUUCAGGGAUGCCAAAUUAGGGGGGAGCUAUCUUUUUAUGGAUACAUUGAGUAAAUCAUGGCAAUUGGAUUAAAAAUAUUUUGGAUGCUCAGGAUUGCGCCACGUCAUCAGUCAAUAAUACGUGGUUUGAAUAGUGACACGGUAUGAACAGUAAUGGGGCUUGAAUAGUGACACAGUUUGGUUGUAAAUAACUCUGUGUAUAUGCAUGUACCGUACGCACGAUUUUUGGUCCACUAACAUGCUGCCACGUCACAAGCAACAAUACAUAAGAAUUUCAGUCUAAUAGAAUCAUGAUACCUCAUCAGUCAAUGCCAUAUUAUCGGUCAAUGCCACAUCAUCAUUCCGUAUAUGUGAACAAUGUCGUGAACAAUAACAUAGAUAAUACCGUACAUGUGAACAAUACAAUUUUUUCUUUUCUACUCCUCUUAAGGUUUUCGACUAUCCUGAGUUCACAAGUGAUGUCCGUUUUGCUGUCUAGUCUCUUGUUCAUUGUGAAAUGACCAUGAUGCCCCUAAAAUACAUAAAAUACUUAAUUAUAAUACAACACACAUAAUUAAAUCACAAGAGACUUAAAUACAUAAAAGUAGGAAUAUUAGUGAAACUUGAAGUGUAAAAUGAUGAUUUUCUCCUUUAUAAAUAUACGCUUUCUAACACUCAAUACACCCCCCAACCAGUUUAUUGAUAGUCCCUAGCAAAUAAAGCGAAAAAAAAAUUCAAACCCAAAAUAAUCUUUUUAAAAAAAUAAUCAUGUUUAUUUAAUCAGACUAAUGAUAGCAAUCAAAUAAAAGUAUAAGCAUUAUCUACAGUCUAAAGAAACAUCACACCUACAUCAAUUACCCACAUGCAUCAUGUUGAGUUUUAGAAAGUGUAUAUUUAUAAAGGAGAAAAUCGUCAUUCAAGUUUAACUAACAUUCAUACUUUUAUGUAUUUAAGUCUCUUGUGAUUUAAUUAUGUGUGUUUUAUUUUAAUUAAGUAUUUUAUGUAUUUUAGGGGCAUCGUGGUUAUUUCACAAUGAACGAGAGAUCAGACGGCAAAACGGACAUUACUUUUGAACUCAGGACAGUCAAAAACCUUAGGAAGAGCAUAAAAGGAAAAUGUAUAUGUUCAUAUGUACGGUACUAUCCAUAUUACUGUUCACGACACUGUUCACAUACACGAAACUAUGACAUGGUAUUGACUGAUGAGGUGUCAGGAUUCUAUUGGAUUAAAAUUCUUAUGUAUCAUUAAUCGGUGACGUGGCAGUAUGUUAGUAGACAAAAAAUCGCACGUACGGCACAUGCAUAUUGAUAACUCUAUGAAAUGAGAGUUAUCAUGGCACUUUUAGACUUAAAUCAAUACUACUUAGAGAGUAAAUUAUGUUUUUCUAUUGCACUUUUGUUAGAUUUUGCAUAAAUAAUCAUUUUAGUCAAUCUUAAUAAGUUUUGGUCGAUUUAAAGUAAUUUGUGCUAAAAUUGUAUGCAUAAUUGUAGGUUUCCAGAAGCUCAUAAUUCAUGGAAGGAAUGAUAUGCAAUAGGCUUGCAAAAAUAAGGAAAGAACAUGGCUACAAAAGAGUUGAAACAAAUCAGGAAUAGUGCAGUUGCUGUAGCAAUCCUGGAACAACGACAGAGAAAAUUCUAUGCGGGAUAAUUGCAUAAUUGCAUUCUGUAGUUUCCUAAUCUGACUUAUGCGCGACCUAGGCUUCCGUUUACCCUAAUUUUCAACUAUAAAAGAAGCACACAUCAUAAGGAAAAGAAAGGGUCGUCACCCAAGGAGAAAAACACAAAGAAACAAAAGGAAAACAAGAUUCAAGAGACAGAUUAAGGGCUGCACAAGAAGAGAAUUUGUAGAAAUCAAUUGGGAGCUCAAUCUUUCUUAUUCUUCUCUUAUUUUCUCGUUUUCUAUUUAUUUAUGGGGAUGUGUUUCAUAGCCGAAACUUUGUUCUUUAUUUUUCUUUUACAAAUCAUGAACUAAAUUUAUUUGUAGUUGAGUGAUAAACAAUCUUGAUAGUUUAUUGACUGGAAUAUGCGUUAUUGCAUGUUUGCUGUAGCAGUUUGUUUGGAUAGUAUUUAUUUUUAUUCAUUAUUUCGGUUGAUCAACCAUUUAAUGAUACUAGCUAAGGGAGAGCCGCAAAAGGGCAUGUCUUAGUGGAACAUAUCAAAGCAAUACUUGAUCUUAACUUGGGUUUCCCAGAUUGAGUUUUACUUGAGUCCCAAAAGGGCCAUGCUUGAUUUAAGAUUAGUGAUGAACUAGACAUAAGGAUUCACCUUGUAUGAUAAAUAGAACCUAAGCGUGUAAUACUAUAUCUUAUAUUGGCAUAACAACUUAUCACUGUUAGGUUACAUAUAGAUAUAAGAUAUCCAACAUGCGAUGACUGAGGAUACAUAAGGAUUCUGCCCAGCGCUGUAGCAAAUGUUGUAGCAAUCGAGCCAAACAUUAGAAAAAUAGUCAAUACCAUUAAGAGAAUUUAUUCACUCAACUACUCUAUAUUCCCAUUGGUUUUAUCCUUUAAUUUGACAUGAUAAUUUACUUUAUUGCAUUUUAUUUAUUGCGUUUUUAUUUUAAUUAGUAUAUUAGUUACAUUAAUUGUUUUCUUUUAUUUUAGCACAAAAUCUGCACUGUUAAGAUUGUUGUAGUAAGUCUAAUAACAUCAAUCCUUGUGGAGACGAUCUUAAAUACUCAUCACUUUAUUACCUGUUGUGUACACUUGCACAUUGACACCAAUAGUAUUUGAUUAUAAAAAUUACCAACAAGUUUUUGGCGCCAUUGCCGGGGAUUGAUUGUUCAUUGUGAUUUGUGAAAUUAGUUUUAACAGUGCUAAUUUUUAAUUUUAUUUUAAUUUGUUUAUUUUGUUGACAUAGGUGAUCUAGCAACCCUUGCAUGCGCAAAUAUAAAUCUUUUGAAUUCCAGUUUGAUCCAGAAAUUGAAAGAAUUGUAAGGAGAUUGAGAAAAGAGCAUCGGGAAUUACAAGCUGCUGCAGCAAUGGAUGAUUUGCAAGAUUUGAGAAACUUGAACUGUAGAGAAGAGAUACAACCAGUCGAUGUACAUGAAGGUCUGAAUGGACAGUGUGUUCAAAGGCAACCAGGGAACAACAACAUUAUUCACAUGGCGAAUGAUAGAGAUAGAGCCAUUCGAGACUACGCAGUGUUGACUCCUCAAGCCAUACAUCCGGGAAUAGUUAAACCCGAUGUUCAAGCUGACAAUUUUGAACUCAAACCCAUAAUGUUUCAGAUGCUUCAAACAGUGGGGCAAUUGUAUGGUUUGCCAUCCAAAGAUCCUCAUCUACACCUUAAGUUAUUUUUGGAAGUAAGUGAUGCUUUCAAGAUUGCUGGAGCAUCGCAAGAAGUAUUGAGACUCAGACUUUUCCCGUUUUCUUUGAGAUAUCGAGCAAGAGCAUGGUUGAAUUCUCUACCACUAGAUUCUAUCACCACAUGGAAUGAUUUGGCUAACAAAGUUUUGAUGAAAUACUUCCCGCCAACCAAGAAUGCAAAGUUGAGAAACGAGAUCACAUCUUUCCAUCAACUUGAAGAUUCAAUAAAGGCAAAAAAGACACUCAAGUAGAGAAUGAGUCACAGUCUUCCACUUUUCAGAAUGCAAAUUAAUACAAUUGUGCUACAACAUCUGCAGAAAGUCAUGAUCCAGCACCUGGUGGUGAGGAAGCUACAACACCAACAGCAACAGACCUGAGUAGAGCAAAAGAGAAGCAGUCUGCACAACCUGCUACAGCACAACAGUUUAGACAUCCACCACCCUUUCCUCAAAGGUUUCAGAAGCAAAAACAAGACAAACAGUUCAACAAAAUCUUACGAGUGCUGAAACAGCUACAUAUCAGUAUCCCUUUUGUGGAAGCUCUAGAGAAAAUGCCAAAUUAUGCAAAAAAAUUUAAGGAUAUUUUGACAAAGAAAAUAAGACUUGGAGAGUUUGAAACAGUUACUUUAACACAAGAGUGCAGCCGAAUGCUUCAGAGUAAGUUAUCAUAGAAGAUGAAAGAUCCAGGAAACUUCACAAUCCCAUGCUCCAUAGGCACUAAAUACAGUGGCAAAAUACUUUGUAACUUGGGGGCUAACAUCAAUCUCAUGCCUUUAUCAGUGUUUAAGCAAUUGAGAGUUGGUGAAUGUAGACCAACAACAGUGUCUUUACAACUUACUGAUAGAUCUCAUGCAUAUCCAGAAUGGAAGAUUGAAGAUGUGUUAGUGAAGGUGGAUAAAUUUAUUUUUCUGGUGGAUUUCAUUAUGUUAGACUUUGAGGCAGACAAAGAAGUGCCAAUCAUUCUAGGAAGACCUUUCUUAGUCACGGGAAAGACUCUAAUUGAUGUUUAAAAAUGAGAAUUAACCAUGAGGGUGAAUGACCAGCAAGUUACAUUCAAUGUGCUAGAUGCCAUGAAGAGUCCCGAUGAGAUUGAAUAUUGUAAUUUUAUCAGUGUUGUGGACUUUGUUGUAGUAGAGAGAUUACACAGUUGCUGUAGUAAGGAAGAAAUCAAUGCUGUAACAAUUGAAGAACUUAAUGAUGAAGAUCAUGGAGUAACUAACAUAGUAUGGUUAGGGGAGAAGCAACCCUUCAGAAUUGACGAGCAAAUCCAGCAAAGAGAACUCACUCCAGACCAACAAGAAUUCAAGGUUGAUGGGCCAAGAGUGAAGCAUUAUAUGGGAGAUAAUGUGAACAACCUAAGGAAGGAUCGGUUCUUGAAGGAUCCAGGUUGAGGAAACAAGAAAUGUUAGGCUGAAAGACCUAAACUCAAGCGCUAAUUGGGAGGCAACCCAAUAAAGGAAGUUGUUUUAACUCUUUAAAGCAUUACAUCAGAAUUUCUUUGAUACCAUCGAGUUAUAAAUUCUUUGAUACCAUAGAAUCACAAUUUUUUUAAUAUUUUAAAAUCAUUAUGUACGUGAUGUCCUAGCAUCAAAAUUUUUUUGACAUCAUAGGAUCAAUAUGUAUAUGAUGUCUUAGCAUCAAUAUUGUUUUGAUACCAUACAAUCAAUAUCUACGUGAUGUCUUAGAAUCAAAAUUUAUGUGAUACCAUUGUAACACAAAAUUGCUGAUACUAAUAACUAGUGUAAAUUUUUAGUUGAGUGUUCUAGUGGCCAAUUAUUGCCAAAGCAUGGGUUGAGUAAUCAUUAAUAUCACGGUGAUUCCAACUUUUAAAGAAAGAUAAAUAUAGUGACAAGUGAAUGCAAAGAAAAUCAGGCACAAUAAUUCAUAUGGUUUGAUGUAAAGCCUAUUUCCAUAAACAAAGACUAUAAGAUAAUUUUAGGAAAAUUAUCAUUUAUAUAACUUAAAUGUAUUCUGUUAUAAAAAAAUACUACAAUAAUUUAAGGGUAUGUUAAUCGUCUACCCAAAAUUGACAAAAGCUAUUUGCUGACCAUUAAAUCAUUAGUCGUCGUUUGAAAGUUAACAUAAUCGCAGUGAAUUGACAAUUUUACCCUUGGAACUUAAAUUAAAGUAAAGGAAUAUUAUCACUUGUAUACCCUAAAAUCUUGUAUUAUCACUUGUAUGCCCUUAAAUUAUCAUUUCCAUUCUUUAUUUUCAUAUGAAAAGACCAGAUGACCCCUCUGACAUCAACAUAUUUAAACGGAAACUAACAAUUUAGUGGACGGCAAAUACAUUUUGUCAGCUUAGGGUAGACGAUUAAUAUACCCUGAAAGUGUUGUAGUAAGUUUGAUAACGGAGUAAACUAAGGGUAUAAGAGUAAUAAUUUUUCAUAAUUUUACUAGUAAAUGGAAAUUUUCAAAAUUUAGGAAAAACUCUUAAAACCUAUAAUAGUUGUGGAAGAGUGGAUUGAGCAAUUACUAAUAUUACGGUGAUUGUGACUUUUGGAGAAAUAUAAAUAUGGUGAUAAAUAAAUGCAAAAAAAAAAUAGGACAUAAAAAUUUACUUAGUUCGGCUUAAAGCUUAGGUUCAUGGGUAAAGACUGGAAGAUAAUUUCACUAAUAAAUGGGAAUUUACAAAAGUGAGAAAAACUCUCAAAACAUUAAAAACCCUAAAUCACCUAAUUAAAUCCUCACUAGAACACUCAAGUAGAAGUUCUCUCAAAUCUCUCAAAUUACUUCACUUCCAAUUGCUCUCAAAUGUGGGAUGUGUAACAAAUGAAGAAUUACCCUUUAUUUAUAAGGAGCAUCGCUCACCUACUACAAGUUUUAAUUUGGCUUCAAUUUGCCAAAUUGGCAAAUUGUGCUCAACUUUGGUGGGCACCAAGUUCGAUUUUUCAGAUUUUGAAUUUGGUGCCUACAAAGUUUGAUUUUUUUUUCCAACAAUUCUUCAACUCGACAAAAAUUUUUAAACAAGAACCAACUAUCAACAAACCAUCCUUCAAUCUCUAGCUUCUCUGAGUGCUUUCAAACUUGUAGGAUAUUGAUUAAGUUUAGAAAAUAUUCAAACUUGAUCGACAACACCACCCUAGUCAACAUAUCUGCGAGAUUCUCUGCAGUUUUGAUUUGUUGAAUAAGAAUCUUUCCUUUAUCAAUAACAUUCCGUGUAGAAAAUGAAAUCGUACAUUAAUAUGUUUUGUAUGUGGAUGAUAAGCUUGAUUAUUUAUCAAGUCAUUGCACCUUGAUUAUCACAGGACACGUUAACAUGUUCCUAUACCAGGCCCAAGUUUGUAAGCGAGCCUUGUAACCAAAUAGUCUCUUUAAUAGCCUCUUUAAUUGCCAUGCACGCAACCUCUGUGGCCAACAAUGCAACUGUAGACUAUAGGGUAGACUUCCAACUUACUAGUACACCAACAAGAGUAAAUAUAUAUCUAGUGGUUGAUUAUUGUUUGUCUAAGUCACCAGCGUAGUCAGAAUCAACAUAUUCAAUCAUAUUUUGACCAAGUGAAUCAUCCUACUUAAACAAUAAACCAACAUCUACGAUUUUUUUAAUGUACUGCAGAAUCCAUUUUACAGCUUACCAAUGCCUUUUUCUGGGAUUAUACAUAUAUUUGCUCACUAUAUUAAUUCCAUGUGAAAUGUCAGACCUUGUACAUAUCAUUGCAUAUAUCAAACUACCCACUGCAUUUAAACAUGGAACUUGUAACAUGUACUCUCGUUCUACGUCUAUCGAAAGAGAUGGUUGUGUAGAAAGCUUGAAAUGAGAACCCAACGAGAUACUCACAAGUUUGUCUACUCAAUCAUGCUAAACUGUUGUAGUACCUUCUUUAAAUAUUGCUUUUGAGAAAAGUUGACUUUGCCACGUGUUAUAUCUCUGCAUAUGUCCACGCCAAGAAUUUUCUUAGCUUCACCCAGAUCUUCUAUCUCAAAUUUUUUAUUAAGUUGCUUCUUCUACUUCUCAAUCUGAUAUUUGCUCUUAGAUGCUAUUAGCAUGUCAUCAACAUACAAGAGCAAAUAUAUUAAGGAUACCACUUAUAGCUUGCAAAAAUACACACAAUAAUCAAAUUUAUUUCUUGUGUACUUUUAACCUUUCAUAAACCGAUCAAAUCACUUCUAUCUCUGCCUUAGAGAUUGUUUCAAUCUAUAAAGCAACUGUGUCAAUUUACAAAUCUAAUUUUCUUUUCCAACAACUUUGAAUCCAUCUGGCUGAGUCAUAUAGAUUUCAUCUUCUAAAUCACCAUGUAAAAAUGUAGUUUUCACAUCAAUCUAAACUAGUUCAAGAUCAAACUGUGCAAUCAUGGCUAUGAAAAUUCAAAUAAAUGAGUGUUUCACAAUUAGAGAAAAUACCUCAUUAUAAUAUUCUCCUUCCUUCUAAGCAUAACCCCUCGCUUCUAAUUUAAUCUCGUAUCAAAUUUUAUUUUUACGAGGAAAUCUUUCCUUUUUUGCAUAUACUUAUUUGCACCUAAUUGUCUUCUUUUUCUUAGAUAGUGUAACUAGCUCCCAAGUUUCAUUUUUUAUAAAGUGACUGAAUUUUUUCAUCUAUUGCUAAUUUCUACUACACACUUUUAAGGCUACUAACUGCUUCUCUAUAAGUGGAAGGAAUAUUAUCAUCUACAAUUAGAAGUGCAUAAUCUAUCAUAUCUACAAAUCCAAAAGGUCUAUGAAUCUCUCUUCAUGGCCUUCUACAUUCAAUUGAAUCUUGUUUCUGUGAAGAUUCCUGGGUUAGAACCUCUUCUUCAUCCUCGAUCGAUGGAUAAUCACCAUUUGUUUUCUCAAUACCAACUAGAUCAUCUUUAACCUUUUCAAAUUUUACCUACUACGAAGUAUGACUACCUUUGCCAUCAUUUUGUUUCAACAUUCUUGAUUAAUCAAAAGUUACAUCUUUACUAAAAAAAAUCUUUUUGUAAUAGGAUACUAGAAAUAGUAUUCUUUAACUCCACCAGUUAUACCCAUGAAUAGCUUCUUUUGUUUUUGGGUCUAACUCAUAUUCUUUUAUAUGAUAAUAAGUAGUGGAACUAAAAAUAUGUAAAGAAUCAUAACCAAUGACACAACUUAAAAGUAAUUUUUAACUCCCAAGUAUAAGAGUGUCUUGUUGUAUUAUAACUCGGUGAGUCCGAAGUCGAUCCACAGAGAAAAUAUUUAAUUUGUUUAUUUUAUUUUAACUAAAAAUUGAAAUUUAAACUUGAAUAUAAACAACUUAAUUUAAAUGAAACUAUGAAAUUGAACUAGUUAAGGUUGUGGAUCCACUCUUAGUAGUAAAUAAAACUUAACAAAUUCUUUUUGCCUUUUUUUUUAGAUUUAUUGCCCAAAAGAUUAAUUAUAUAAAUUAUUAUUAUUUUCCCUUUAAUUUUAUGAUGGAUUAAGUAUUUAUUGUGCCAAAUUUAAUUUGUCUACAAUAAGUCAAAAUACCAUUUUACCAUACCUUAUAUUAAGAUAUUAAGAAUUUAUUAUGCCAAAUUCAUUUGUUUGUCUACAAUAAAUCAAAAUUUCAAAAUAUAAAAUAUGUAUAAAAUUAAAUAGAAAAUAAUUUAAUUUAUAAAAUUAAAAAUAGAAUUUGAUUAAAUCAUAUUUAUUUCCUAAGAGUUUCACCUUCCCCUAACUAAUAUUAUUUAGUUGAGCAUAAUUGAAAUAAAAAGAAAUAUUAAAAUUGAAUUACUUAUAAUUAAAAGUAAUAAAAACAACUAAAAUUGAAAAUAAAACUAAUUUUAUUUAUAAAAUAAUUAUACAAAAUAUUAAAAACACACCUGAAAAUCAAGAUCACAGGGAGAUGGAGAGAAUUUGAGAAGAAGAGAGUUGUAGAGAGAUGAUUAAAAACAUAAAAUGAGGCUCUUUUUGUAGAAAAAUAAAUUCAUAAUCCAGUGUGUUGCGGUCCAUCAUAACCUUCAUGUAUGUGCUCCUCACAACCUUUAGAUCAAGAUCCAAUGGUUGGUCAAACUUCAAAAGUCAACAUCACACGUGGCAUCGUUUGACUCGUCCAAUUUGCCCAAAGAACGGUUGAGAUUUGGCGGGUUAAUGGGUGGAUCGGGUCGACCCAAAUACAAAGAUUUAGAUCCUACAACUUGCUUCACCAACCAUUGCCACAUGGCACAAUUAUGGCCAUUGAAUCAUGAACGGUUGAGAUUUAGUCAAAAUUGCCAACUAUCCCAUGCACUCAUAUCUAUUGUAAGCUCAUUUUAUCAUCCAAUCAGUGCCCGGUCAACAGAAAAAGUCAACUCUUUUUACACAUGCCCAAUUUUAAGUCGAUCUUGAUUGAUCUUAAGGUUUUCGGACCUCCGAAAUCUAAAUUUGACCUUCGUUUAUCUGUUUGGAGCCUCGAAUUACGUGAAAUUAAUAUUUUACCUAAUAAACACACAACAAUACACAAAAUUAGAUAUAUUUAAAACAUAAUUAAUAAUUCCUAAUAUAUUGCAUAAACACAAAUAUAAAUUAUAACAUAAGCACAAAAUAAUAUUAUUAUUGCUUGAUAAUUAGACAAUUUUUAAUACUAAUCAAUCAGUAGCAGGUUUACCACUCCACAUCUCUAUAGGUGUUUUGCCCUAAAUUGCAGCCGAUGGCAAAAAAAUUGAUCAAAUGACGCGCAUAUACAAUUGCCUCAACCUAAAAUUCCUUGCCCAAUCUAACAUUAGACAACGUGCACCAAACUUUCUCCAGUAUAAUCCGAUUCAUGCAUUCUCCCACCCUAUUUUACUAUGGUGUAUCUCGAACAAUGAAGUAUCUCAUAAUAACCUCAAUUAGGCAUACUUGUAAAAAUGGAUUAUUCAUGUACCACCACUAUUGUCUGAGCGAAUUCUUUUGACCUUUCAACUAGUCUAAGUCUCGACCAUCUUCUUUCAUUUUAGAAAUAUGCAUAAAGCUUUAUUCUUGUUCUUCGUUAAUUUCACACAUACGUUUCUUGAAUUAUCAUUAUCAAGAGUAACAAAAUAGUGCAUACCUCCUAAAGAAGCUAUUGAGAUAGGUCCCCAAACAUCAUUGUGAACAUAGUUCAGAAUUCCUUUUGUACGGUGAAUUUUUUAGCCAAAAAUUUACCGGUGUUUGCUUACCCAGAACACAAUGCUCACGAAAUUUUAAUUUACAAGAAUUCGCACCUUUCAAUAAGCCUUGCUUUACUAAAGUAUGCAAAGCUUUUUCACCAGUAUGUCCAAAUGCAUUUGCCAUAACUAGGUUACUUCUAAAUCUACAUCUUUUCCAAACAUUAUUAACAUGGAUCCAAUAACUGUACUUGCUUAGAAAUAGUACAAAUUAUUUCUUUUUGUGCCUUUUAUCACCAUCAGUGCCUAAGCUACUACUUUUAAAAAUCCAUCUCUCAGAGUGAUUGUAAGCCUUUUGGAUUUUAGGACUCCUAACGAGAUGAGAUUUUUCUUCAAACUUGGCAUGUAGCGAGCAUCUACCAAGACUUAGAUUGAGCCAUCAUGAUUCUUUAAUUGGAUUGAACCAAUUCCCAUGGGUUUACAGACAUUGUCAUUACUUGUAAAAACAACUCCACUAUCCAGCUCUUUAAAGCUAGAAAGCCAGCCUUUGUUAAGACACACAUGAUAAGUACAACCCAAAUCCAAAAUAUAUUCAUCUAUGUGACUUGUUAAUCUUAUGCCAAACAAAUUAAAGUAUGACUCUUUAUCAUGCUUUACUACACGUGCAUUAGAAAUAGCUUUGCCCUUUCAUAACUUAGGACAAUUCUUUUUCUAAUGCCCUUUCUAGGGAUAAAAAAACACAUUCAUCUUUGGCAGGCCUCCCUUUAGAUUUGCUCCUUUUUCCAAGUUUACAGAUUUGUGAAUGACAUCUCAUUGUCAAUGCUUCUGUAAUGUCUUUCUUUCUGAUCUUAGAGUUAUAUAAUGUACUGCAUAUAGCAACAAAUGUGACAUUGUCCUUCUUAAAAAGUAAAGUGGUGAUGAGAUGACCAUAUUCAUCUGGAAGAGAAUUCAAUAACAACAAUUCUUUAUCUUAAUCUUCAAAUUUCUCAUCCAAAUGUAAUAAAUCCACCAAUAUCUUAUUGAAUAAGUUCACAUAGUCAUUCGUUGACAGCCCAAGUGCAUAUAAAAAUCGAUAAAGUUUUUUUUCUUCAUACAAAGCCUAUUUUCAAGGCUUUUUUCAUGUACUUUUCUUCCAGUGUCUUCUGUAAUUUCUUUACUAAUGUCUCCCUCAUGAAAGAGUAUUUUUUUAUUUUUACCUAAAUAUCAACAAACAAUAACACAUGCAUGUUUAUUUAUCUUUAUUAAAUCCUUAUCAUCCAUCUUGUCAGGCUUUUCUUCAGGGAUAAAAUCCAACUCUUGCUAACAUAAGACAUCCAACACCUUAAAUCGCCGCAUACCAAAGUUAUUGGUACCGUUAAAUUUCUCCACUUCAAAUUUCGCAUUAGUCAUAGCAGUCCUUGCUGAUUAAGACGACAGUAAUGCCUUUGCCAUCUUUCUUAACCCAAAUAACCAAUGCCUUCAACAACAACUACUUACAGUUGAAAGAACAGCCUCUAUGAUAUUAAUUCAAGUGAAUAAAUGCGCCAAGAAAGUUUUCAGGAGAAUAGAGGGGUCACAAAGGUCCCACUUAAAAGUCAAACUCCUUAAAUUCUUAUUAUCUUAUUGACAAACCUUUCCUAGACAGCAUAAAUUCACAUUAAUUACAACAAACAAUCUCCCAAGUACAAAUGGUCAUCUUCACAGUAUGUGUGAACAGUACCAUAUACGUCAACAGUAUUGAAUACGUAAAUAGCACCGUAUACCCAAGUAUGAGCCUCUGCUAUGAUACUAAUUAUUGCGAAAGCGCGGGUUGAGCAAUUAUCAAUAUUAUGGUGACUGUGACUUUUGGAAAAAAAACAUAAAUAUAAUGAUAAAUAACUACAAAGAAAAGAUGAAACAAUAAUUUAUGUGGUUCGGCUUAAAACUUAUGUCCACGGGUAAAGACUAUAAGAUAAUUUCAUUAAUAAAUGGAAAUUUACAAAACUGUGAAAAACAAACAAAAAAAAACCCCAAAUCACCAAUUGUAUCCUCACUAGAACACUUAAGUAAAAGCUCUCUCAAAUCACUCAAAUUGCUUCACUUACUAUUAUUCUCAAAUGUAGGAUGUGUAAGAAAUGAAGAAUUGUCCUUCUAUUUAUAGGGAGCAUUGCUCACCUACCACAAGUUUCAAUUUGGCUUCAAUUUGCCAAAUUGGCAAAUUGUACUCAAUUUUGGUUAGCACCAAGUUUGAUUUUUCAGCACUUUGCAUUUGGUGCCCACAAAAUUUGAUUUCAUUUUUUCAACUGUAAUUAAGGGCAAAACACCCAUGGAGAUGUAGACUAGUAAACCUACUAAUGAUUAUGAUUCUUUACAUGUUUUUGGUUCUACUACUUAUUAUCAUAAAGCAUUGUUCAUGGGUAUAAUUGGUUGAAUAAAAGAAUAUUGUCUCUAGUGUCCUGUUACAAAGAAUAUUAUUUUUAGUAGAGAUGUGACUUUUGAUGAAUUAGUCAUAUUGAAACAAAAAUAUUCACAAAAGUUGAGCAUUGUCUAAACUUAAUCAAUAUCCUACAAGUAUGAAAGCAGCCGGAGAAGGCAAAGACUGGAGGAUGACUUGUUGAUAAUCAGCUCAGAUUUAAAAAAUUUUCGACGAGGUGGAGAAUUGUUGAAAAAUCAAACUUUACUUUGUGGGCAUCGAAUUCAAUGCCCAUCAAAGUUGAAUUUUUUAUUAUUUCAAAAUUAAAUUUUCCAAUUUGACAAAUUGGUCAAAUUGAAUGCAAUGGUAGGUAAGCAAUGCCUAUAAAUAGAGAAGAGAGGUUAAAGCUUGAUGAUCCUAAAAUUGAGAGAAUUGAGAACAAUUGCAAGUGAAGCAAUUUUGAGAGAGCUUCUACUUGAGUGCUAGGAGGAUUCAAUUGGAUGUAUUGGGGUUAUAAAUAUUGAGAGUUUUUCCAAUUUUUGUAAAGUCUCAUUAUUAGUAAAAUUAUUUUCUAGUCUUUGCCCGUAGAAAUAUGAAUUAUGCCGAACCACGUAAAUUAUUGUGUCUUAUUAUCUUUGCAUUUGUUUAUCACCACAUUUAUAUUUCUCCAAAAGUCGCAGUUACCAAAAUAUUAGAAUUGCUCAACUCGCACUUAUGCAACAGUAUCGACAUGUGGCACUUUGUCGCUAGGCCUUCUACUUUGUCCCCCAAACAAUUGAUAACAUUAUUAAUAAAGAAAAAGACGAAACUUAUUAUGCUUCAGUUUCCCAUAAGUUUCAGGUCUUUUUAAUCAUACAUAUUCCAUAAUCAUCUCUUGGUUAAGUGGUUCUCACCGCACUUCUCCUAUCCAAUCUAUAUCUACCACAUUGUCAACGCCAACUUAUAGCUUAUAAGGAAAGUAAAAAUUGACAAACCAAUGAGAAUCAAAAUAUUAUUCAAGGCAAACAAUCGAUCAAAUUCACUACAAGAAAAUAGGCAAUAGAUGACGGAAAAUAACUGUCAUAAAAGAGGGUGCAUGACAGACAGUUUAUAUGUCAUCUAUAUCACUGUCAUUAAUUUAUGACAGAAUAUUUUCCGUCAUUAAUUUAUGAUGGCUUUUCACAGUCAUAUAUCUGUCACACAAUAUUUUAAUAUAAAAAAUAAUUAAAUAAAAUUUAAAUUUAUUUACGCGCUUUUUAAAAAAAAUUUGGCAAAAAAUUGAAUUAUCAUUUGUAAAUUUAUUAUUCAAUUUUAGCAGUAAUUUAAUUAUUUAUGACAGAAUGUAUGAUGGCUAUUUCCCGUCAUAAAGUUUUCAUUUUUUUAAAAAAAUAUAUAUAUAUAUUACAAUUACAAUUUAUUGAUGAAUUCCUAUUUAAUAUCAUUAGAAAAACCAAAAAAAAUAAUAUUAAUUAACAUCCAUUCAAUCCAACAAACUAAUUUCAAAAUAAAUACAUCUAAUAUUCAAUGAGAUCACCAUUAAUAAAUAAUAAAAUAUCCCAAAUUGAGAAAAUCAUCCCAAAGUAUUAAAAAAAAAGUUAAAUUAUAAUCAACCUCCAAGAAAAGCAAUUAAAAUUACAACCACAAAGCCAAGUUACUUAACAAAACUUCUAAAGAUUAAUUCAAGUAUUCCAACAACAGGACUUGCAGUAAAACUUCCAACAGCAAUCCAAUCUUCUAAGAGCACUCUAAUUCCAGCCACAUGCCCUGCAACACUCCAACUAUUAGUCCAACUCAUAUGCAGCAACCCAACAUCUUCCAACAGCACUCUAAUUCCAACCACGUAUAUAGAAACACUCCAACCUAUAUCCAGUGACCCAAUCUAUGUAGAAUCAAUCAAAAUACCUAAUGUUAUCAAAUGCAUAACAUCUACACUACAAUCCUUAAGAACAACCACUAUAGUUUGAUACCACAACUUUAAUUUUGACAAAUUGUAACAACUAAUAACAAGGUGCAUCUAUAGUUUUACACUCAUACCAACCAUUUUGCUGAAGCAACAAGGAUGUCAAAAAAAUGGUUAGCCGACUCCAAAGGAACCUCAUCAAGUUCAUCCUAAGUGUAUGCUUUCUUUCCAUUAGAGUGUUAAUCACAAGAUUAAUACUGUCAAACUUUAAAAAUAAUGCCACAGAUAUGGAAUAAAACAAAGUUAAGAUAUAUCAUCAUCAACUUACAUUGUUCAUUAACAAACAAAGAUGUAUAUACUGCACAAGAAGUUUAAACAUUGACCUGCUUUCAUGCUUUUGUUCUUCAGGCUCAAAUGUAUAGAAUUCGGCAGAACUCCUUCCAAUUUGUUAGUUUAUAUCCCAAAAGCAAUAAACACGUGAUUAGCUAUAAAAUUGGAAGGAGCACCACCAUUGUCUACAACUAGAAAUGCAUAAGCCACCAUAUCAACUAAGAGCAAAGAAAGCAUUGUUCAUGGGUAUAACUGGUGGAGUAAAAGGAUAUUGUUUCUAGUUUCCGAUUACAAAUAAUAUUAUUUUUAGUAGUGAUGUGACUUUUGAUGAAUCAGUCAUGUUGAAACAAAAAUAUUAACAAAAGGAUGACAAAACCAAUAGUACUUUGCAGCAGAUGGAGUUUGAAAAGAUUAAAGAUAAUCCAGCUAGUGUUGAGGAAACAAAUAGUGAUUCUUCAUCAACCGAGGAUAAAGAAGAGGUUCUGACCCAGGAACUUUCAUAGCAACAAGAUUCAAUUGCAUAUAGAAGGGGACAAAGAGAGAUUCUAGAUCUGUUUACUUUGUUGAUAUGGUGGCUUAUGCAUUUCUAGUUGAAGAAAAUGAUGGUGUUCAUUCCACUUAUAGAGAAGUAAUAAGUAGCCUGAAAGAAUACAUUAGAAGCUAGCAAUUGAUGAAGAAAUGCAAUCUCUUCAUAAAAAUGGAACUUAGGAGUUAGUUACAAUGCCCAAGGAAAAUAAGGCAAUUGGGUGCAAAUUGGUAUAUGCAAAUAAAGAAGGAUUUCCUCAUAAGAAUGAAAUUUGAUACAAGGCUAGAUUGAUAUCAAAAAGCUAUGUUCAGAAAGAAGGAAUAGACUACAAUGGGGUAUUGUCUCCAAAUGUGAAACACUUGUCUAUUCAAAUUUUGUUAACCAUGGUUGCGCAAUUUAAUCUUGAAUUAGUUCAGCGUGAUGUAAAAAUUGUAUCUUUACAUGGUGAUUUCGAAGAGGAAAUGUACAUGACUCAACCAAAUAGAUUCAAGAUUACUAGAAAAGAAAAUUUGGGUUUGCAAAUUGACAAAGUCGCUUUAUGGAUUGAAACAAUCUCUGAAGUGAAGAAUUGUUGAAAAGUCAACACCGAAGCCAACUUUGUUGAACAUUUGCAUAUGGUUAGAAACUUUUGACUGCAUUUGCAUGUGCUACCAUGAAAUUUCCUACUCUUCAACAAAGUUAGCACCAAAGCCAUUAAAAUUGAAAGAUGGCCAAGAUUUUUUUCCAAGUAUUCAUAAUGUAAGCUUCGCCUAUAAAUAGAGAAGUAGAAUCCAUUUGUAAUCCAUCCUAAUAUCCCAAGUUUGAGAGCAAUUGCAAAUGAAGCAACUUGAGAGAUUUGAGAGAGCUUCUACUUGAGUGUUCUAGUGAGGAUAUAAAUGGGUGUAUUGAGGUUGUGGAUUUUCAGAGAUUUUCCUAAACUUGGUAAAUUCUCAUUUAUUAGUAAAAUUAUCUUUCAGUCUUUGUCCGUGUAUGUAAGUUUUAAUUUGAACCACGUAAAUUGUUGUGUCCGAUUUUCUUUGUAUUUAUUUGUCACCACAUUUACAUUUCCCUAAAAGUCGCAGUCAUCGUAAUAUUGAUAAUUACUUAAGCCGCGCUUCCACAACAACUGGAAGUCCUAUAAUUUUAUAUUAUGUUAGAUUAGAUAAAUUCUUUAUUGUCAAAGGGUUGAAGCUACUAUAUAUAUGUCAAUUGUAAGACUAAUUAAGAUCAUUAAGAAAUAAAAUAAAUAAUUUUUUUUGUCUUCUCUAUAAGUAUUCUGUUUUCUUCUCUAUUUUUCUUGUAUGUAUAAAACCGAAUCAGGCAAAUAACCAACGUUACUAUGAAAUAUUAUAAUUGGAUAAGUCAUAUGAAUCGGAAUUGAGCAAGUGUAGGUAACUACUUGGAAAUAAUUAUAAUAGAGUUCUAUGAUGAAGAAAGGACGAAAGAUUUAGAAAGUGUUUUUGAUAAGUUGAGGUGAGCAUAUCGAAUACAAAAAUUAGUUUUCAAUAGAAUAAUGAAAAGUUAUUUAAUUACAUAUAUUCCAUUUGUUUUAUCUAGACUUUAACAUUUGUUUUGUUAUUUUCGCAAUGACUUUAGCAUUUAGGUGCAAAAAGAAGGCUCUGUGUUUUAGUUAUUUCCUUCUGCACUUCUACUUCAAACGCUUUUUCUUUUCUUUCAUAUCUUAAUGAAUUGUAACAAUUUUGCUUGAUUGGACAAAGGUGAUUUGUUGUAAUUAAAGCUUUAUUAUUGAUUUUUUUUUUCAAGUGUACUGUUUUUAUUGGAUGGGGCAUGUGACGGAUAAAUAUAAAAAAGAAUUUAAAAAAAAAUAGUAAUAAAUCCAAGGCAGUUUCACUCUAACAAAUAGAAUGCAUUAUUUUAAUUAUAACAGGAGAGCAGUUGUUGCUGUUAAACUGACCAUCAAUAGUAAAAGUCUUUUGUCAUGUACUUCUUUUAACGGCAAUGUUUACGGCAUUAAAUCUAUGUCAUAAAAACUAAAUGACUUUCCACGGUUCAUGAAUCAACAUCGCACCCAUUUAUGUGUCAACAUAACUAUUUGACGGCAUUUUUUUUUUUUUUUUUGCCGUUAAAAGUCGUUUUUGUUGUAGUAACAUGACAGUGAUUAAGAUGUUGCCUGGGCAAUUUGAUCAUUUGAUCAUACCAACCGCACGGCCUAUGAUUCCUUGCUUCGUCCAACUUCAUUAAUUUUUCUUUAAAAAAAUCAAAUUUAUGAAUUUUUAUGUAUGUUAAAGUUUUGUUACAAUAAUUAACCACAUUUACUUGGGGCGGGCAGAAUUCUCAUGCCAACCACACCGCCUAUGAUUCCCUGCUUCGUCCAACUUCAUUAAUUUUUUUAAACAAAUUAAAUUUAUGAAUUUGUAUGCAUGUUAAAUUUUUGUUAUAAUAAUUAGCUACAUUUACUCGGGGCGGGCAGAAUUCACUCAUAUUUCUUGGGUGGGCAAUAUAAUAUUACCAUGAAUUUUUGGUUAAUCAGAUCCUAAUCCUCAUGGAGAAAAAAAAUUCAGGAAAAUCUUCUUGAAAAUGUGGUUGUAUCAUAAAAAGAAUGUGGCGGCCGGACGGGCUAUAAAAUAAAUAAGUAGUGCAUCAUUAAAGUUAGAGGUUCACAAGGGAAAAUGCUCUGCACGAUUUUAAUUGCGCUAGAUUUCCCAAAUUGCAGAGGAUUAAUUAUUAAUGCUAUUGAUAAAGAAGGGCAAGUAAAGUUGGAGGCAAACUCCUAUUGGCUUGUUAUUAAAGAUUAUUUUAGUCCUGUUAGGAAUAAGAAACACACACACACACACUAUGUAUAUAAUAAUAAAAUAAGAAGUAUAUAUACAUAUAGGCCUCAGUUUAAUUAAUUUGUCUCGUUUUAUUAUUAUUCAGCGGCUAUGGGCAGCAACUCAGAGCUUCAUGUCGUUCUCACCACCAAGCUUUCCUUAGAUAGAAAGACAAUGUAUAUGAAAGUAAGUAAAUUAAUUAUCUUUUUCCUUUUUUAUUAAAAAAGAAUUUAAAAUUACUAUUUGCAUCUGCAUAUAUGCGUGUAUGCAGUUGAUUUUGUUGGAUUAUUUUCCUGUGCUGUUGCUAUUCUGUUGGUGGUUCGUCAUGUAUGGCGUCGACGCCCCUCUCAUUACUUUGACGGCCGAAACAUGCUCCAUGGCACUAAUAUUGACAGUUUGUUUGAGGUACGGUGGAGGUGUCUAUUCAAAUAUUUUAAAAAGGUACGUAAAAGAUCUAAUUAUAUAUGGUAAUUAUUGAGGUUUUGGUAUGAGAAGGAGAUUAAUUUGAUAAUGUUAUUUCUUUUAAUUUAUUUAAUUAUGUUUUGUAUAUUGUGUUUCAGGAGGCAGAUUUGGAGAAUAUCAUUCAAUUUACUGAAACCCUACAUUAUUGUCAGGUAUAUAUCUAUUAUUAAUAAUAUUACAUAUAUAUAAUCAGUGUCGUCAGCUUCCAAUCUGGUAAACUCAAAUUUUAUUAAAAUUCGUUAUUAGUAGAUCAAAAUACAAUCGAGAUUCAUAGAUCGGAAAAUUUUUGAUAUAAUAAUAAUGUAUGUUGUUAGUUAAUUGCAUAUUGUUUAAUAAAUAAAUUAACCAGUUGCAGUUAGCUAAUGAACGAACGAAAGAACUAAAAUUAAUUAAUUUUUGUUUUACAGAUAAUGUAUGAUCACCAUCAGGCGACACCAAAAUCUUUCAUGUUGUCAUCCCUCGUAUUCCUAAAUUUUGCGGGUUUUCUAAAUGCGGCCGUCCUCUACAUAGCACCACUGGUAUUGUUUCUCGAACCGCAAGGAGACGGCUUUUACUAUUUAAUGUGUUAUGUUCUGUCGGGCUUCUCAUGUCUCCAAAUAAGUUUUAUACAGCCGCUGCUACUAAAUUGCGAUGCUGAUAGCUUCAAGUUUAUUAGGAGCCAACCCCUCGUUUUCUCGGAAACCACAACCGCUGCUGCUACUACAGCAAAAGAACCAGCUGAGAGCUCAGGCUCAGACGAAAUUGUGUGACUUCUUUCUUUAUAAAAUUAUUUAACUUAAUUUUUUCUUAUUUAAUAAUCAAUUACUCAUUUGCAAUUAUUUAUUUUUAUUUUAUAACAAGGUCCUAGAGCGAUACAUACAUACAUACAUAUGUAAAUAUAUAUCUGUGUGUGUGCGUGUACUUAUAACAAUUGAAGAUCAGCUCGUUAAUUAUGUCACUAGCUAGCAGUUGAAAUCUUGUUAUUAUAUAUAGUUGCAUGGUUAACGCAAUCAAUUAUUGCGGUAAGCACAACUAAUUCUUAUUCAUUCCUUGCAAAUAAAGGAAUUGGCCUCAGAUGAUAUAAUGUUUAGUGGUAAAUUUCUACUAAUAUUUCUUCCCAGUUUUACUUUACUUCAAUUCCUGCCUGAUCAGUUGCUUGAUAUCAAUUAUCACUUCCUGCCUGAAUUGGCCUCAGAUGGAGGUUGAAUCCAGAAUUUAUCGAGUCAUCGUGAAACUUAAUUUCCAAUCAUAAAAUUCUGAAAUCUCCGAGCAUUGACUUGUAAAUAUCUGGUAGCAUCCCGGAGAAUGUAUGGUAGCAUAAUCUUCCUCUUCCUAUUCCACUUGAAAGUGCAAUGAGUAAUGAUGACCUAAAUAAUUAAACUUUUUACUUGAUCAGGACUGAAAGCAAUAUCAAAUUCCUAUAAACUUGAUCAAGCCUCGAAAAUUAUACUAUCAGCUUACCCUGAAUAUAGUUAUUAAAAUUGGAUUCCAUUUUCGUUGCAACCUUUGGGCAAUGGCAAUCCACAAAGAAAAGGAUUUCCCUCGUGCGUUUGAAAAUUAUUUGUUUGCAAAUUGUGCAGUCCACUAUGGGGUUAGCCUCAAAAGUUAUAGUGUGCACACUGAAAACAACUAAAUGUGUUUAAAUCCACUAGUUGACGAGGGAUUUCCCAUUCAGUUUGUUGUGUGAAAGUGUUGAAAUAUAUAAUCUUGUGAGUAGAACAGAACUAAAAUGCAACUAAACUAUACAGCUAAAUUACAACAAAUACAGUAACUAAAUAGAAGCUGUAAACAAUAUAAAAUUGUAGAACACCCAAGGCUUGUACUAGACAGUUUUCUUAAAAUACAUUCGCCAUCUAUUGUUCGGUGACCACAUUUGUUUCCUAAAAUACAACGGGUAUGAAAUAAUUUUGGCACAUCAACAAAUCUAUUCCGAGGACAUCCGAAGUGCUUAAACUGUUUGCCAAAGAAAAUGACAAGGGAGGAAAAAUCUUUUACAAUUUAGUAAUUAAAAGCAUGUAUAACUGUUAGCCAUUAUUUGUUUGAUUAAAUGGCAUAAUCACUGUUUUGAAUUUAAAUUCACGCUUAAUCAGCAAAUCAAUUAAAAAUAAUAAUCCUUGCAGUUAAACAUUAAAGAAAAUUGAAUAAAAAUUGUAAAACACAACUAAGAUGAGCUUGGCACUUUUUGGGCUGACAUUUGUCUACACAGAAUGCGACUACAUACAAAUCAAGCUGAUGUUCAUGUAUGUAGAAUGUGAGCGCACACGAAUCAAGCUAACCAGGCUGCGACUUGCACCCCACUGCGUGAGCACAUGCAAGAGGGAAUCUUUGUGCUUAUAUUCUUAAUCAAAUAGACAUGAGUAAUCAUAUAUAACCUUUCAUACCUUAACUUUCUCCCAUGUAAGACAAGUGCAUUUUUUCUUUAAUUUUUCCAACUCCAUGGUUGUACGUUGAGUAACAAUUUCUCAUUCACUCGAAUAUCAUUUUGAUCAUAUAACUAUACUAUUUUGAAGUACCUGCGAAGGAGCAUUUGAAUCGCCCUAGACCUUUACUUUCACUAAGGUCCCACUCAAAAUCAUGCCUCAAAAUAGCGACUGGUACGCUAUUUUUCAACAGAAAAAUCCAAACUUUUCGAUUUACUUCAAGUUUGAAAAUAUUGAAGGGAUUGAGACAGUCAGUUGUUGUGUGACAGAUUUAAUAUUUGAAUCCUAGUCAAAUUUCCAAUUUGAGGAGGAAUCUCAAUGAUUAGCUUGUUACAAGAAAGAUUGAGUCCUAACGGGAAGCGAUCCACUAUUUCUUCAUAACUAUAUCCCUAUCACUAGAGAGGAGAGAACAUUCACCAUCGAUCAGGGUUUUGGCAUGUGACAACAUCUAUUAAUGAUUAUUGAGGAAGACAAGAGCAUUUUACAAUGAGCUUUGCAGAGAGACGUAAUGAUUAUUGAGCCAUAUUUAUCAAUCCCAUUUAUCUCCCCACCACACGCACCGCCAACCCCCCCCCCCCCCCCCCCAAAAAAAAGCAAAUUUAAAAUAACAGGGCACUCUAGUUAGGUCACAAGUUUGAAGUUUUGAUUAUGAAUUUUUUAACCCAAGAUAAUGAUUAAAAGUAAUAUUGUAGAUACCUAAUUUGAACUAUAUCUAAAAG